CAGCGUACACGCAGAGAGUGCCUACAAUAUUCAUCAAACUAUAAGGUGAAAACCCAAAUAUUACGAAAGGUCGAUGUACGGACCAAGUCAAGCCCCCUCUUUUCUCAACUUCUUCAAACAAUAUGUCUUCUUGAUUAUAGUAAAAAAGUUGUACAUUUAACCUUGGCAAAUCCUCAGUAAAAGGCGGGUCGUGAGACGGUAUCUUGCCAAUACACUCGAAUGGUCCCAGGUAAUGUUUGCUACCCGUUUGGAGACAGACGUGGCGAAGAUUUGGUGCGUUUGGGAUUACAGAACGGAGCACGUUACGAAACAUUGCGCUGUUGAUCUCGCAAUUCUCCGCUUGAGCGGGACGACCUGCCCACGUCAUGUAGAAAAUGUGGGUGAUGUUAGUGAGUUUUGAGAGCUUGGAUCGUGUCUCGUCCGGGUCGGAAAUGUCGCAUUGGAUGUACUCAAUAGGGUAUGCGGCGCUCCAGUCAGGCCUAGGACGUCGGGCCACUCCGUAGACCUUCCACGGGCCACCGGGGGUGUCUGACCGGGGCAAAAUCUCAGCUAGGCAAUUGCCUACGAUUCCUGUCACGCCUACUACAAGUCCCACAUUCUGGUAGUCCCAAGGUUGCUCAUAUUCUUCCAAUUUUUUCUGUACAAGUGAAAAUUAAAUAACCAUCGGGGGGUUUAAACAUAGGCAAAUUAGACAAUUGGUUAGGGUUUCAUAUGUUAAGAAAACCCUAUUUCAGCAGUCUAAAUUUUAUAUUAUUAUAAUAGAAAGACCUUUUUUCUUUUAGUAUUUUCUUGAUAUACUCAAAUUAAGGGUCCGCCUAUGUUGCAACAGUUGCAACAUACCACUACUUUUGUCAUUUUGUAAUUGAACCAUUGGAUCCAAGGCAAGAGUGGUAAAAAUAAAUCUAACGGUAGGGUGUAUUUAUUUUGGUUUUUUUCAUUCCAAACCCUCUUGUUUUUUGAAAUACCAGGAAAAAAAUAUAAUAAUUAUUAUUUUAUUUAUUAGCUUAGUUGUUAAAUGAUAUGAAUAAGAAAUAAGUAUGAAAUUUAAGAGAACUUUUAUUAUUGAUAUUAGGCAAUUACAAUACAUGAUUUAAUACUAGUUUAUUUAUUCCACAAAUUCAUAAAUAUUUCAUAAUUUAUUAAUUAUUACUAUCAUUUCUAGAUCUACUCUCAUUAUUUAAAUUUAUUAAUAAUUAUAUAUUAAUAAUUAUUUUUAUAUUAAUUAUUACUAUCUAUGUAAUAUGAUAUAAUAUAAUAAUAUAAUUUAUUUUUAAUAUUAUAAUUAUUAUAGUAAAAAUAAAAAUAUAAUUUAAAUAUAUUUAAUGUUUCAAUUAAGACAAAAGUUAGCACACUGUAGUGAAUGAUAUAAUUGACUACAAUCUAACUUUUAAAACUUUCAAACAUAGGUAAGUAAUAAAUUAAUGUAAACAAUAUUAUAACAAUAUACAAUAUUAUGUUCUAAACACAUUCUAAUAGUGCCUUUAUUAAAUAAGAAUUGAAAUGAGCUAGAAUUGUAAUAAGGAAUUUGAAUUAGAAUAAAUUAUUUACUUGAGCUAUAGGAAUUGGAAUCAGAAUGAACAACAUUCCAAUUGAUGUGUUUACUUUAUUUUAUAAUUGGAAUAAACUAUUAUAAGUUAUUAAAAUGCCUUUUAUUAAUUGUGUCCCUAAUAUUAUUUGUAUAUAUUAUAAUUAAAACAAUAAUAAUAAUAAAACUAAAAAUAAUAAUUAUGAAAAUAAUGUUAAUUAAAGCAAAAAAUAAAAAAAUUUAACAAUAAUAAUAACAACAAAAUUAACUGAAAUAAUAAUAUUAAUAAUGAUAAUAAUAAAAAUAAUAAAAAUAAUAAAAAUUAUUAAUAAGUUUUAAUAAUAAUAAUAACAACAAUAAUUAAUAAUAAUUAAAAUAAUAAAGUUAAUAUACUUUAAUAACAAUAAUUUUAAUCAUAACAAGAUAAAUAUUAAUAUUAAUAAAUUAAUUACAGUAUAAUAACAAUUAAAAUAAUAAAAGUAAUAAAUUUUAAUAAUAAUAAUGACAGUAAUAAUCAUAAAUAAUAAUUAAAAUAAAUAAAAAUAAUAAAAUUUAAUAGUAAUAAUCUUAUAUAAUAAUAAUGAUAAUAAUAAUAAUAAUAAUAAUAAUAAAUUAAAAUUCUUUUCAAAUGUCAUUUUAUUCCAAAAAUGGACUUAUAUGUAAAAGUUUAUUAUUUUUAGUGGCUAUUGAAUUUUACAGAAAAUAUAAGGUAGUGUAGUGUAAUCAACCAUAAAAAGACAAAAAUUAUUGUAUGUUGAAACUGUUGCAACAUAGGCGGCUCCUCAAAUUAAUAAAUAUUUUCAAUUUUAAUAGAAAAGCUUAUUUUUUAUGCAUCUUUUUAAUUGAAAAGCUUAUUUUUUAUGCAUCUUUUUAAUUAACAAUUAUCCUAUAAUAAGAAUUAUUACACAAGUUCUAUAUUUGAUAACAUUAAUUUUAAAGAGCUAUAGUUAAUAAUAUUAUCUAAUAAUUAAUUCAUUAUUAAUUUUUCCAAUAAAAAUCAUAAAAUUUUUUGUGUUUAAAAAAAUUAAUUAUUAAACAUUACAAAAUUACUUACCUUAGCAGCGCCAAUAGCACCUGUCCGGCACCAGCUCAUUUUUUGCUUAAUUUGGAAAAUUGAUGGUAAGUUUGGUUUUCGCUUCUAGCUAUAUAUAGAAGACUGCUGGCAUAUAAACAAUUUCACAUGCCCUUUUCUAGUUGACGUGGCAAAGUAAGUUAUGAUACGGAUAUGCACGAUUUUUCUGUAAUUGAAUUGAUAAAUAUUGACACAAAAAAUAAAUGGGUUAACAAGACAUAACAUGAUGAAUAACCAUAUCAUAUUCAUGUUACACUACUCCUCAACACGAUUACGUCCGAAUGACAAGAAUAUUAAUUUGUCAAUUUAUCAUAUUUUACAUUUUGAUCAUGAAUGAGCUCUUAUUUAUUAAUUAUUAUGCUAUAAUGAUUUAAAUUUAUAAUUGUUAGUUUAUCUAAUGAAAUUUUUAUCAUAUCUUGGAUUAGUUUCAAUUUGUAUGUCAUUUAUUAUUUUUUCAAUCAAAUGAUUUAUUUUUUAUUUUUUAAAAUUUGAAUUAUGAUAGUAUUUCCACCGAGAAUUGGGUUGUCAAAUGUGUUGCGUCCUAUCAUGUCACCUGUUUAUUAUGUGAAUCGUUUCCAUAUUUGAUUUUUUUGAUAUGAUUAUUACUCGUGUCUUAUCCCUAAUUUUUUAAAAUUUAAUACGACGCAAUUACAACACGACAAAUGCGACAUAGCUAGACGAAUUGCCACCUUACUUUCUAGAGGGUAAUUGAGUUUGAGUUAGAUUAUGUGAUCAAUAUUGAAAGAUCUAAUAUUAUAAGGUGUGGUGAAAUAAGGAUCCGACUAAAAGGCCGAGCUUCCUACUAUCAUUGUUAGACGAUUUGCAUGCUCGCAGAUUUAGAAGUUGUUACUUAUUUAACAUGUUUCGACUCUUGAAGAUCUGCUAUUGAGGCAUUUCACAUGUUUAUAAGGCAAUAAUUGAUAUGACUCUAGAAGCCGCAACAUCGUCUAUUUCAUUACUAGAUGGUGUAAAACUUCAAACAAACACAACAUGCAUAUAUGGUUCGGUUAUUGCGAAAUUAUCCAAAUUAUCCUCAAAUUAUGAAUCUCAAUCAUUUACUCACAAGAACUUAGUACAUGUUGAUAAAGGAACCCACACAAACAGUUACAAAUUAAGUGGAAAAAAAAUCUUUCCUUCUUUGUGUGAUUAAAAUAGAAUGUGUAUCACAAAUAAAUAACUAAUAAAUCAACACAAUCAAAAACAAUAAAUUAGUCACAAGAGAUACAGAUUUUUAUGUGAAAAACCCAAAAAAGGAAAAACCAGGGACCGUAGUCUAAUGUAACCUUUUGUUGGAGAAUUAACGAAUAAAACACACAAAAAACACACUAUUUUAUUUCUUCAACAACACUCCUCACCAAUUACAACGCUUAUUUUUCACUCUUUACACCUUAGAGAUUUUGCUACUUCACUUGAUUCAUAAACCAAAGGGGAGAGGUGGUAUUUAUACAUGAAACAAACUAAUAACAACCAUUCAUUUAUUCAACUACUACACAAAUCCUCACUAUUCAUUAAAACCUACCACUCACCUACUUCACCAACCACACCUAACACAAAUAAUUCAAACCUCACCAACCAUACCUACUCAUGGAACCUUCCAUGAGUUGGGCUUGAAUUUAUUCAUCUUGGAUCAAGUUUAUGAUCCAACACCUCCCCUUAAACUUGAUCAUGUGACACCAAGCAAACUUCUUAAUCUUACGAAGUCUUCUUGCUUGAGUGGGUUGGUGAAGAUAUCAGCUACUUGAUCUUGUGAUUUUACAUACUUGAUUUGCACUUCUUUUCUUGCAAUACUCUCUUAUGAAAUGAUAGCGAGUAUCUAUGUGUUUGCUUCAAUCAUGAAAGACUGGAUUCUUGGAUAGGGCAAUUGCCGAUUUGUUAUCAACACAAAUCUCGUUUGGCUCUUCUUGUGGCAAACUCAACUACUUCAGCAAAUUUCUGAGCCAAAUUGCAUGACAAACACUUGAUGUGGCAGCUACAUAUUCAGCUUCACAGGUGGAUAGCGUGACAAUUGGUUGCUUCUUUGACAUCCAUGUGAAAGCAGUAUCUCCCAUGAAGAACACAAAUCUUGUGGUGCUCUUUCGAUCAUCUACAUCUCCACCCCAAUUGCUAUCGCUAUAUCCAACAAGCUUGUAGUCAUUAGAAAAUGAGUAUAACAAGCCGCAAUUAGUUGUACCGUUGAUAUAGCGAAGGAUUCUUUUUGCAGCUUUAAAAUGGGUGGUCUUUGGAUUCUUCAUGUAUCGGCUCACAAGUCCAACAACAUAAAGGAUAUCUAGUAUUGUCCAUGUCAAAUAACGUAGGCUUCCGACCAAACUUUUAAAGAAUGUUGGAUCUAUAUCUUCGCCUUCAUCAUGUUUGGAUAAUUUGACUCUGCAUUCCACUGGUGUGCUUAUAGGCUUGCAAUCAUUCAUCUUGAACUUUUUUAUAAUCUCUUUUGCAUAGCUUUCUUGGGAGAUAAAUAUGUCUUCUUCUUUUUGCUUGACUUCAAUGCCAAGAUAAUAUGCCAUCAGUCCGAUGUCAGUCAUCUCGAACUCUUUGAUCAUCACUCUCUUGAACUCUUCAAAUAAGCUUGGAUCACUUCUAGUGAAGAUGAGAUCAUCCACAUACAAGCACACAUUCAAAAUGUCUCAAGCUUUUUCUUUGACGUAGAGAGCAUGUUCAUAUGGGCAUUUGGUGAAGCCGUUCUCUUGAAAAUACUUGUCAAUUCUGCUAUUCCAUACCCUUGGUGCUUGCUUUAACACAUAAAGAGCUUUCUUCAAUCUCAAAACUUUGUCUUCAUGUUAUUUCACCACAUAGCCUAAUGGUUGUUCGAUGUAAACUUCUUCUUGAAGGAAUCUAUUCAAGAAAGCAAACUUCACAUCCAUUUGAAAAAAUUUCCAUUUGUUCUGAGCAGCCAAAGAAAUAUAAUAAUAAGUCUAAUAGUUUCAAGUUGAGCUACAGGAGCAAAUACCUCGUCAUAGUCUAUGCCAGCCUUUUGACUAUAGCCUUUUGCAACUAGCCUCGUCUUGUGCCUUUCAAUUUCUCCCUUCGAAUUUCUUUUUGUUUUAUACACCCAUUUGACACCGAUCGUCUUGUGACCUUUGGGAAGUGUAGUAAGCUCCCAAGUAUAAUUUUUCACAAUGGUUUUGAUUUCUUCAUCCAUUGCAAUUCUCCACUUCUCAUCUAGUGCAACUUUUUGGAAGUUGACUAGCUCACAAUCAGCAAAGAGGCAAAAGAGAGUGAGAUUAUCAUGUCUCUCAGUUACCUCAUAAAGAUCUUGAAGACUCCUUGUACGUUCUUCGGUUCUUUCAUUUAAGAAAGAUGGCGGUGAAUCUCCGCAUAUGGUUGAUACUGGUGAGAUAGGUGGAGUAGCAGGCUCUUGUUGUUCAUCUAUUUGUUUUAUCUGUGUAUGAUCAUCUUCUUCAAUGGGAAAGAAGUUGAAAUCAUUCACACCAGAGCCAAAAUCCCAUUCUCCUUCUUCAUCAAAAACUACAUCUCGACUGAUCACGAUCUUCCCGUUGUUUGGAUUAUAAAGCUUGUAUCCUUUGGAGUUGUUGUCGUAGCCGAUGAAGAUGAACUUCUCACUUUUGUCAUCUAGCUUGGCUCUACUUUCGUCUGGUACAUGUACAUGGGUAAUACUUCCGAAAACUCUUAGAUGGGAGAUGCCGGGUUUUCUUCCACUCCAAGCUUCUUGUGGCGUCUUGCCCAACACGCUUCUUGUUGUAGAUCGAUUGGAUAAGUAGACUGCACAUGCAACAGCUUCAGCCCAAAAUUCUUUAGGUAGCCUCUUACUCUUAAGCAUGUUUCUUGCCAUGUCGAGGAUGAUUCUGUUCUUCCUUUCUGCAACACCAUUUUGUUGGGGGGAUCUUGAAACUGUCAAAGGGCGUCGAAUUCUAUUUGCUUCACAAAACUCUUAAAAUUCUUUGGAAGUGAACUCUCCACCUUGAUCAGAUCUCAUGGCUUUAAUCUGGCAUCCACUUUCUUUUUCCACUGCAGUUUUAAAACUUCUUGAAACCUUCAAAGACUUCUGAUUUUUACUUAAAAAAAUACACCCAAAUUUUUCUUGAAAAAUCAUCUAUGAAGAGAUGGAAGUAGUUACUUUUACCAAGGAAGUUUGGAUUGAAUGGACCGCACACAUCAGUCCGAGCUCUUGAGUUUGACUCCUUUGGAAAGCUCUUUCUGAACAUCCUUCACAAAGUUGAUCAAGGUGAUUGAUGUAUGGUAAGCCUUUCACCAUGUUCUUCUUAGAUAGUAGCUCCAGUCAGCCAAAGUAGAGAUGCCCAUAUCGAAGAUGCCAAGUCCAAGAUUGAUCUUUGUGACAGGCUUUGAGACAUUUUGCAACAUCAUUUUGAAUAUUUAAAAGAAACAUUCUCACCUUUGUAAUUAGAUUUCCUUUGUCAUCUCUUAGGAAAAGACUAUAAUCUUUUAAAUAAAAAUCAUAGCCUUUUUCUAAAAGUUGACCUAAACUAAGGAUGUUGCUUUUUAUAUUAGGCAUAUAGUAAACAUUCAAAAUUAUUUGAUGACUACCAUCUUUUGCAUGAAAAAGAAUGUUACCUCUACUCUUCACUGGUACUUUUGAAUCAUCUCCAAAAGCAACACUGUCAUUCACAGAUUCACUUAGUUGCACGAACAUGCUUUUGUUUCCACUCAUAUGAUUGCUAGCACCUGUGUUAAAAUACCAUGUAUUUUCUUGACCUCCACUUGUGUCAUUGCGUGCUAGUAAAAGUGUGCUAUCUUCACCAUUUUUCUCUUCAGCAUAGUUCACUCUCUCCUCAAUUCUGGUGCUUGGCGCUGGGCAUUCUAAAACAUAAUGCCCAAACUUUUGACAAUUAUAGUACUGUACUCGGGAUUUGUCAUACCUCGAUCUUGGAUUGCUUCUGCCUCGUCCUCUGGUUGAGCUUUCUCCUUUGGCAUAAUUGGAGUUGUUGAUGAAAUUCCAACCUCGUCCAUGACCAUGACCUCUACCUCGCCCUCGACCUCUACCUCGGACGUAGUGCAUUCUCUCGUUAUCGGAGCUUUCUUCUCUUUUCUUUGGAUUGACUUCCAUUGUGAGAAGUUGUUCUUCCAUUCCUUACUUUUUUUUUAGUUUUUCUUCAUAGGCUUGCAACUUUCCUUGAAGUUGCUCGAUCGUCAUAUCCUCCAGAUCUCUUGUUUCUUCAAUUGUCACAACAAUAUAGUCAAACUUCGAGUCUACUGAUCGAAGUAUCUUUUCAAUGAUCUUUACCUCUUUUAACUCCUCACCAUUUCUUUUUAAUUCAUUGGAAACAGUCACUACCCGAGUAAAGUAGUCAGAAAUUGACUCCGACGCCUUUAUGUGUAAGGACUCAAGUUCUCCUCGUAAUAUUUGGAGACGAACCUUCUUAACUUACUCCGCUCCUUUGUAAGAGGUCUCUAGUUUCUCCCAUGCUUCUUUUGAGGAGGUUGAACCAGCAAUAUUUUCAAAAGCAUCUUCAUCUAAUGAUUGAAAGAUGAGAUACUUUGCUUUAUUCUUUUUUUCUUCAAGUCUUUUAAAUUCUCCUUCUGUGCCGCAUUUAAAGUGGUUUCAUUUUCUGGCACAAUAAAGCAUUUCUCCAUGACAUCUCAUACAUCAUGUGCACCCAAUAGAGCCUUCAUUUUAAUACUCCAGUUGUCAAACUUACUUUCUUUUAAUUGUGGAACUUGAAAUGACAUCAUACCACCGUUUGCCAUAACUCACAAAUUGAGUGAGAAUUUGGAGAUUUUGAAUGCACAGAUGAAUCCGGCACGUCGAAAAACCUUGGGAAGGACUCGGGUCAACGUCGGUCAACGAUUAACGUCGGUCAACGAUCAACGAUCAACGUCGGUUUAGUAGUCUUGGUUCGAUCUGGCUUGGUUCAGCUCUAGUUGGCUCAGUUCCACUUGAUUCGGUUCGGCUCAGCUCGGUUUGGUUUGGUUCAGCUCAGCUUGGUUCAACUUGGUGAGUCGACUCAGCUUUAGGACGGAAAAGUUCCGGCGGUGAUUGUGGGCGUGUCCGGCCUCCGAUCGGGAUGACUUUUAUGGCGUCAUGUUCCUCUCAUCUAGAUCUUCGAUUUGAUAUGCUAUAUGACUAUAUAUAGCAUCGAAAACUAGCUCUGAUACCACUUUAUUGGAGAAUUAACAAAUAAAACACACUAUUUUAUUUCUUCAACAACACUCCUCACCAAUUACAACUCUUAUUUUUCACUCUCUACACCUUAGAGAUUUUGCUACUUCACUUGAUUCAUAAACCAAAGGAGAGAGGUGGUAUUUAUACAUGAAACAAACUAAUCACAACCAUUCAUUUAUUCAACUACUACACAAAUCCUCACCAUUCAUUAAAACCUACCACUCACCUUCUUCACCAACCACACCUAACAUACCUAACAUAAAUAAUUCAAACAUCACCAACCAUGCCUACUCAUGGAACCUUCCAUGAGUUGGGCUUGAAUUUAUUCAUCUUGGAUUAAAUUUAUGAUCCAAUACCUUUCACUAUAUUAAUAAUUGGAUUAUAGCAUAAAUUAUUCUCUAAAUAAUGCUAGAGGUUAACAAUAUCAAGAAUCUUAAUAAUCUUGGCUUAUAACAGGCUAAUAUAUGUCUCUCUAACAAAUAAAUAUUUUAAAUAAUAGUCAACGAGAAAAUAAAACAAAAAUCAAGACUAGUAGGAAUAUAGAGGGCAAUACGAAUAAUUUACCAUCCAAUUUUGAAAGAAAAACGGGCUUGAAAAUACCUUCCAAUUGUCCAAUCAAAAAUUGAAACUCUUAGCCCCAAAUUCUAGUUUACGCCAUUGUUCUUCCUUUUCUCUCUCUCUCUCGUCUUUUUGCGCUAGACAAUACCAUUGUUGCUGCUUGCUUUGUUUUCUUUUGUACACGUGAUUUUCAAAGCCAAUUUAAUGGCAAUUGUCUAUUGUGCUAAAAAGUCAACACCGAAGCUAACUUUUGUUGAGCAUAUGCAUAUGGCUAGCAACUUUGGACCGCAAUUGCAUGUGCUAGCAUGAAAUUUCUUACUCUUCACCAAAGUCAGCACUGAAGCCAUCAAAAUUGAAAGAUGGCCAAGAUUUUUUCCAUGCAUUCAUAUUGUAAGUUUCGCUUAUGAAUAGAGAAGUAGAGAAAAAUUCAUUUACGUGGACAUAGGAUUUACAUUGAACCACAUAAAUCAUUGUGUCCUAUUUUCUCAGCACUUUUUUAUCACCACAUUUAUAUUUCUCCAGAAGCCGCAAUUAUCAUAAUAUUGAUAAUUGCUCAAUUUGCGCUUCCACAACAUAUUGGCUUCAACUUGUUUCCUUUAAUUACUUAACCACCCAAACUAAUGCAAGCUUUGGGCCUUGGCUACCCAAAUAAGAUGGACCCCAACAGUACAAGUGAUUGUGAAUCUUGGUAUACUAAUAAUUGAAGAUUUCUUUUUCUUAGUUUCAGGAAAUAGUAGAAGUUGUUUGUAUGAAUGGAAGUGAAACUAGGUUGGUUGUGGAGGAUAAGCAGAGUACCGUUUAGAAGUCAUAACUUAAAGUAUGGGUGUCUGUUUUGCAUGUGCAAUAUGCUAUUCUGAAGCUUGCAACAAGAUGAACCAAAGCCAAAAUCAUGGCCGAGCUAGAAAUUCCUUUUUUUUUAGGUUGUUUUGCAGUUUAUUUAUUUUUAAAAUUUUUCCUAUUGCUUUCAGGAUUUUUUUAUUUUUAAUUUAGAUAUCGAAUUUGAGUGCCGUUUGCUUUAUUUUCCUUAUUUAGAUAAAGAGAAUUUUAUUAUAUAAUAAUAUUUCAGAUUUGCCUAUUCAGACUUUUUGAACAAUAUUUUUAUUAUUCAGAAACUUUGUUUCUUUUAGUUAUCAAUCUUUUAUGUUUUCGCAUCAUCAAUAAGAUUUUUUUUUUUUGCUCGUCUCAUUGAUCCAUAUGAAUAUUCAUGAGGGUUAUUUGAAUAAAUUUUUUUUCUCAAUAAAUCUACCAUCAUGCAAAUUGUGUUUGGUCCUUGUGCAAAAUGCAAAAAUCAUAGAAAAACAUAUGUCAGUAAAAUAAUUCUAAUGUAAUUUAUAUUCAUCAAAUAAUUAAGAAAAUAUAGUAGAUAUAACUUUUAUGAAAUCAACAAGGGGAGAUUGAAAAAAGAAAAAGCGUCUAAAGCUUCAAUUUUAUUAUGGUUUGAUGACAAGUUUGGUUUCUUCUUCUAGUCUUAUGUACAUGGUAAAAGCUUAUUUAGUCCUAUAUUUGGAGAUUAGUGUCUAUUUAGUCCCUGUAUCUUUAAAAAUACCUCAAAAUAUCCUUGCUGUCAAAUUAUUGAUACCACUGCCAUUACUUUCUAUUCCUUUUGACAUGUUUAUACAAUAUUAUCCUCUUAUAAUAAUAUUUUUUCGACGUUUAUAAAAACAAAAAAAUUAAAUUACCAAUUUAAAUUUAAAAAUAAAAUAAAAAACAAAAAGAAUAUAUAUUAAUUUUUUAUAAUAUCAUGUAUAUACAAAAACAAUAUUGUAAAAAAAUUAAAUUAUCAAUUUUCUAAAAAUUUAAAAAAAAUUAACGUAUUAACUCCUCAGCAGAUUGUUUCACAAAAAUUAUUAUAUAAUCUUUUUGUUUUUAUUUUUUUGGGAUUAAAUUGGUAAUUUCAUUUUUUUGUGAAUGACAGUGUUGCUUUUGAAGAUGAUUCAAAAGUACCAGUGAAGGGUAGAGGUAACAUUCUUUUUCGUGCAAAAGAUGGUAGUCACCAAAUAAUUUCGAAUGUUUACUAUGUGCCCAAUAUGAAAAGCAACAUCCUUAGUUUGGGUCAACUUUUAGAAAAAGGCUAUGAUAUUUAUUUAAAAGAUUAUAGUCUUUUCCUAAGAGAUGACAAAGGAAAUCUAAUUACAAAGGUGAGAAUGUCGAAGAAUAGAAUGUUUCUUUUAAAUAUUCAAAAUGAUGUUGCAAAAUGUCUCAAAGCCUGUCACAAAGAUCAAUCCUGGACUUGGCAUCUUCGACAUGGGCAUCUCAACUUUGGAGGACUGGAGCUACUAUCUAAGAAGAACAUGGUGAAAGGCUUACCAUACAUCAAUCACCCUGAUCAACUCUGUGAAGGAUGUUUACUUGGCAAGCAGUUCAGAAAGAGCUUUCCAAAGGAGUCAAACUCAAGAGCUCAGAAGCCACUCGAGCUCAUUCAUACUGAUGUGUGCAGUCCAUUCAAGCCAAACUCUCUUGGUAAAAGUAACUACUUCCAUCUCUUCAUAGAUGAUUUUUCAAGAAAAACUUGGGUGUAUUUUUUGAAGUAAAAAUCAGAAGUCUUUAAAGGUUUCAAGAAGUUUAAAGCUGCAGUGGAAAAAGAAAGUGGAUACCAGAUUAAAGCCAUGAGAUCUGAUCGAGGUGGAGAGUUCACUUCCAAAUAAUUUUUAGAGUUUUGUGAAGCAAAUGGAAUUCGACGCCCUUUGACAGUUCCAAGAUCCCCUCAACAAAAUGGUGUUGCAGAAAGGAAGAACAGAACCAUCCUUAACAUGGCAAGAAGCAUGCUUAAGAGUAAGAGGCUACCUAAAGAAUUUUGGCCUGAAGCUGUUGCAUGUGUAGUCUACUUAUCCAAUCAAUCUCCAACAAGAAGCGUGUGGGGCAAGACGCCACAAGAAGCUUGGAGUGGAAGAAAACUCGGCAUCACCCAUCUAAGAGUUUUCGGAAGCAUUGCCCAUGUACAUGUACCAGACGAAAGUAGAGCCAAGCUGGAUGACAAAAGUGAGAAGUUCAUCUUCAUCGGCUACGACAACAACUCCAAAAGAUACAAGCUUUACAAUCCAAACAACGGGAAGAUCGUGAUCAGUCGAGAUGUAGUUUUUGAUGAAGAAGGAGAAUGUGAUUUUGGCUUUGGUGUGGAUGACUUCAACUUUUUUCCCAUUGAAGAAGAUGAUCAUACACAGAUAAAACAAAUAGACGAACAACAAGAGCCUGCUACUCCACCUAUCUCACCAGCAUCAACCACAUGCGGAGAUUCACCUCCUUCUUUCUUAAAUGAAAGAACUGAAGAACGUACAAGGAGUCUUCAAGAUCUUUAUGAGGUAACUGAGAGACAUGAUAAUCUCACUCUCUUUUACCUCUUUGUUGAUUAUGAGCUAGUCAACUUCUAAAAAGCUGCACUAGAUGAGAAGUGGAGAAUUGCAAUGGAUGAAAAAAGCAAAAUCAUUGUGAAGAAUAAUACUUGGGAGCUUACUACUCUUCCCAAAGGUCACAAGGCGAUCGGUGUCAAAUGGGUGUAUAAAACAAAAAGAAAUGCGAAGGGAGAAAUUGAAAGGCACAAGGCGAGGUUAGUUGCAAAAGGCUAUAGUCAAAAGGCUGGCAUAUACAAUGAUGAGGUAUUUGCUCCUGUAACUCGACUUGAAACUAUAGACUUAUAUUCUUUGGCUGCUCAGAACAAAUGGAAGAUUUUCAAAUGGAUGUGAAGUCUGCUUCUUAAAUAGAUUCUUGAAGAAGAAGUUUACAUCGAACAACCAUUAGGCUAUGUGGUGAAAUGACAUGAAGACAAAGUUUUGAGAUUGAAGAAAGCUCUUUAUAGGUUAAAGCAAGCACCAAGGGCAUGGAAUAGCAGAAUUGACAAGUAUUUUCAAGAGAACGGCUUCACCAAAUGCCCAUAUGAACAUGCUCUCUACAUCAAAGACAAAGCUGGAGACAUUUUGAUUGUGUGCUUGUAUGUGGAUGAUCUCAUCUUCACUGGAAGUGAUCCAAGCUUAUUUGAAGAGUUCAAGAGAGUGAUAAUCAAAGAGUUCGAGAUGACUGACAUCGGACUGAUGGCAUAUUAUCUUGGCAUUGAAGUCAAGCAAAAGGAAGAAGACAUAUUUAUCUCCCAAGAAAGCUAUGCAAAAGAGAUUAUAAAAAAGUUCAAGAUUGCAAGCCUAUAAGCACGCCAGUGGAAUGCAGAGUCAAGUUAUCCAAACAUGAUGAAGGCGAAGAUAUAGAUCCAACAUUCUUUAAAAGUUUGGUCGGAAGCCUACGUUAUUUGACAUGCAAAAGACUAGAUAUCCUUUAUGUUGUUGGACUUGUGAGCCGAUACAUGGAGAAUCCAAAGACCACCUAUUUUAAAGCUGCAAAAAGAAUCUUUCGCUACAUCAAAGGUACAACUAAUUUCGGCUUGUUAUACUCAUUUUCUAAUGACUACAAGCUUGUUGGAUAUAGCGAUAGCGAUUGGGGUGGAGAUGUAGAUGAUUGAAAGAGCACCACAAGAUUUGUGUUCUUCAUGGGAGAUACUGCUUUCACAUGGAUGUCAAAGAAGCAACCAAUUGUCACGCUAUCCACCUGUGAAGCUGAAUAUGUAGCUGCCACAUCAAGUGUUUGUCAUGCAAUUUGGCUCAGAAAUUUGCUGAAGUAGUUGAGUUUGCCACAAGAAGAGCCAAGCGAGAUUUGUGUUGAUAACAAAUCGGCAAUUGCCCUAUCCAAGAAUCCAGUCUUUUAUGAUCGAAGCAAACACAUAGAUACUCGCUAUCAUUUCAUAAGAGAGUGUAUUGCAAGAAAAGAAGUGCAAAUCAAGUAUGUAAAAUCACAAGAUCAAGCAGCUGAUAUCUUCACCAAGCCACUCAAGCAAGAAGACUUCGUAAGAUUCAGAAGUUUGCUUGGUGUCACAGGAUCAAGUUUAAGGGGAGGUGUUGGAUCAUAAACUUGAUCCAAGAUGAAUAAAUUCAAGCCCAACUCAUGGAAGGUUCCAUGAGUAGGUAUGGUUGGUGAGGUUUGAAUUAUUUGUGCUAGGUGUGUUAGGUGUGGUUGGUGAAGUAGGUGAGUGGUAGGUUUUAAUGAAUGGUGAGAAUUUGUGUAGUAGUUGAAUACAUGAAUGGUUGUGAUUAGUUUGUUUCAUGUAUAAAUACCACAUCUCCCCUUUGGUUUAUGAAUCAAGUGAAGUAGCAAAAUCUCUAAGGUGUAGAGAGUGAAAAAUAAGCGUUGUAAUUGGUGAGGAGUGUUGUUGAAGAAAUAAAAUAGCGUGUUUUUUGUGUGUUUUAUUUGUUAAUUCUCCAACAAAAGGUUACAUCAGACAACGGUCCCUGGUUUUUCCUUUUUUGGGGUUUUCACAUAAAAAUCUGCAUCUCUUGUGACUAAUUUAUUGUUUUUUAUUGUGUUGGUUUAUUAUUUAUUUAUUUAUGAUACACAUUCUAUUUUAAUCACACAAAAAAGGAAAGAUUUUAUUUCCACUUAAUUUGCAACUGUUUGUGUGGGUUCCUUUAUCAACAUGUACUAAGUUCUUGUGAGUAAAUGAUUGAGAUUCAUAAUUUGAGGAUAAUUUGGAUAAUUUCGCAAUAACAGAACCAUAUAUGCAUGUUGUGUUUGUUUGAAGUUUUACACCAUCUAGUAAUGAAAUAGACGAUGUUGCGGCUUCUAGAGUCAUAUCAAUUAUUGCCUUAUAAACAUGUAAAAUGCCUCAAUAGCAGAUCUUCAAGAGUCGAAACAUGUUAAAUAAGUAACAACUUCUAAAUCUGCGAGUAUGCAAAUCGUCUAACAAUGAUAAUAGGAAGCUCGGCCUUUUAGUCGGAUCCUUAUUUUACCACACCUUAUAAUAUUAGAUCUUUCAAUAUUGAUCACAUAAUCUAACUCAAACUCAAUUACCCUCUCGAAAGUAAGGUGGCAAUUCGUCUAGCUAUGUCGCAUUUGUCGUGUUGUAAUUGCGUCGAAUUAAAUUUUUAAAAAUUAGGGAUAAGACACGUGUAAUAAUCAUAUCAAAAAAAUCAAAUAUGGAAACGAUUCACAUAAUAAACAGAUGACAUGAUAAGACGCAACACAUUUGACAACCCAAUUCUCAGUGGAAAUACUAUCAUAAUUCAAAUUUUAAAAAAUAAAAAAUAAAUCAUUUGAUUGAAAAAAUAAUAAAUGACAUACAAAUUGAAACUAAUCCAAGAUAUGAUAAAAAUUUCAUUAGAUAAACUAACAAUUAUAAAUUUAAAUCAUUAUAGCAUAAUAAUUAAUAAAUAAGAGCUCAUUCAUGAUCAAAAUGUAAAAUAUGAUACAUUGACAAAUUAAUAUUCUUGUCAUUCGGACGUAAUCGUGUUGAGGAUUAGUGUAACAUGAAUACGAUAUGGUUAUUCAUCAUGUUAUGUCUUGUUGACCCAUUUAUUUUUUGUGUCAAUAUUUAUCAAUUCAAUUACAGAAAAAUCGUGCAUAUCCGUAUCAUAACUUACUUUGCCACGUCAACUAGAAAAGGGCAUGUGAAAUUGUUUAUAUGCCAGCAGUCUUCUAUAUAUAGCUAGAAGCGAAAACCAAACUUACCAUCAAUUUUCCAAAUUAAGCAAAAAAUGAGCUGGUGCGGGGCAGGUGCUAUUGGCGCUGCUAAGGUAAGUAAUUUUGUAAUGUUUAAUAAUUAAUUUUUUUAAACACAAAAAAUUUUAUGAUUUUUAUUGGAAAAAUUAAUAAUGAAUUAAUGAUUAGACAGUAUUAUUAACUAUAGCUCUUUAAAAUUAAUGUUAUCAAAUAUAGAAUUUGUGUAAAAAUUCUUAUUAUAGGAUAAUUGUUAAUUAAAAAGAUGCCUAAAAAAUAAGCUUUUCUAUUAAAAUUGAAAAUAUUUAUUAAUUUGAGUAUAUCAAGGAAAUACCAAAAGAAAAAAGGUCUUUCUAUUAUAAUAAUAUAAAGUUUAGACUGUUGGAAUAGGGUUUUCCUAACAUAUGAAGCCCUAAGCAAUUGUCUAAUUUGCCUAUGUUUAAACCCCCUGAUGGUUGUUUAAUUUUCACUUGUACAGAAAAAAUUGGAAGAAUAUGAGCAACCUUGGGACUACCAGAAUGUGGGACUUGUAGUAGGCGUGAUAGGAAUCAUAGGCAAUUGCCUAUAGGGAUGGCAAUGGGGCAGAUAUGGGUUGGAUCUACUUUGCUCCAGAUCCAAAUCCAUAAUAACAAUCAAGAUCCGUAUCUGCUCCAGAUUCGUUAUGAAUCCAUAUUUUUCGCUCCAUAUCCAGAUCCAAAAAAGAAAUAAAUAUCUAUAUCUGCUCCAAAUCUGAAAAAAAAUUAAAAUCCAAAUCUGCUCUAGAUCCGUCAUGAAUUCUAAAAUUCCGUAAUAAAAAAGUAAUAAUUUUUUAGAUUGAAAAUUGAAGGCUAAAAUGUAUUGAUAACAAAUAAAUUAUAUAAUUUUUCUCAAAAAUAUAAUAAAUAUUGUAACUUAUACUUCUACACCAAAACAACAAAUAAGAAAGAUAAUAAAAUAUCAUUCAGAAGUAAUUGCAAGAGUAAGAUCAACCUAAUAUUCUAUUGUCUCUUUCAUCAUUUUAAUAUCCACGAUACAUCUACCCUCAUUCCUACAACAUUAGAUAAUGACAUAUAAAUUAAAUAUGAUUUAUAUUCAGUCCUUUAUUAUUUUUAUUAUGACCAUAUUUGACUAAAUAUAUGAAUAACUAUAUUCCUUAAAAAUUAUUUGGCCAAUAUGAUAAAAUAAAUUACCAGGUUAUAUUACUUGGAUUGCAAUUUGAAAAUUGCAUGUACAUGCUUUGAGGCUGGUUGACCUUUAAAUUUACAAAACUAACCUUUAAGUUUUAAGAGUUUAAAUUCAUGGUAAAUACUACUAAUAUGUUAUGAAUAAAAUUUAUUAUCAUUAUCAUUCCACAAUUAUUAAGAAACUUUUAAAAUAAAAUAACAUUAAAAUAUGAGUGGAUAUGGAUAUGGAUUUAGAUAUUAAGAUAUAUCUAUAUCUGCUCCAGAUCCGUCUUAGAUCCGCUCCAGAUCCGUCUUAGAUCCGCACAUCGAUAUCCUAUGUUUUUCUGCUUUAAAAAAUACACCUAUGUUUUUCUAAAAAAAUCAUCAAUGAACAGAAGGAAAUAGUUACUUUACUAGGGAAGCUUGGCUUGAUUGGAUCACACGCAUCUAUAUGAGUGAGCUCAAGUGGCUUCUGAGCUCUUGAGCUUGACUCACUUAGAAAACUCUUUCAAAACUGCUUGCCAAGCAAACAUCCUUCACAAACUUGAGUAGAACGAUUGAUUAAAGGUAGGUCUUUCACUAUGUUCUUUUUUAAUAGUAACUCCAGUCUACCAAAGUUGAGAUGCCAUAUCGAAAAUACCAAAUUCAGGAUAGAUCUUUGUGAUAAGUUUUGACACAAUUUGCAACAUCAUUUUGAAUAUUUAAUGGAAACAUUCUAUAUUUUAAUAUUUUUAACUUCAUGAUUACCAAGAGUUAUUGAGAAUAGGCUUCGAACACUCAACGUUUAGUUUUUAUAUUAGCUAAAUGACAUAAGUCCCGAAGAAUAGUUGAUAUCGAAGGGCACCGAAUUGCAUAAAAAGUAUAAUUUUCAAGAUUUGAUCAUUUACAACCCUUUACAAGUAGUAAUAUUAGUAAUUUAAAUUAAAAAUAAAUAAAUAGAUGUCAAAGUGUUACCUAUGACCCCAUGAACCAGUAUCAUAGCAUGGUUUAUUUACUUAAUUUGAAUUAAGAGAUCCAAUAGCUUAUGAAGAUAAUAGAAUAUUUAGAUUUAUAAAUCGAUACUUAUCAUAGUAAGAAACUAACUCUAAAUAUAUAUAAUAUGAACUGUAACAUAAAAGGAAACCUUAGACACAAUUUACAUGCAGAAAAUUCACAGUUAAAUAGUUUAGUUGAUUUGUUAAUAAAUUUAUUGUUUGAAAGCUUUAAAAUGAACAUGUUAUUUUGUUUUGUAAUUGAGAAAAUUGGAGCAUAUAUAGUAUUUAAUCUGAGCUCGUUUCUGUAAGUAAAAUAUUGAAAGCAUACUUAGCAUACAAACAUAGAAUAACAAGUAUGCUUAAGAACUUUGUUGAGCUAGAAUAUACACUUAACUAACUCUGCUGACUGGACUUAAACUUACAUGUGCUAAGUAUGUAGCUCUCUUAUAUGAAAUAGGUGCUUCCUUAACAGCCCCCUUAAAACUUAAGAGGCAUAUAUGCACGUUGAGUUUUGCUCUAAAAUAGUUUAAGCGAACAAAAGAGCUUUUGUCAAAAUGUUUGCAACUUGCUUUUCACUUUGCUAACGCUUUAUCUUUAGCGGAAUGCAUAUCCAACUCAAUAUAUUUGGUUCUUGAGUGAUAAAUUGGAUUUUUGCCAUCUCUGUUACAUUAACAUUAUCACACCAAAUUAUAGGUAAUAAAGUGCAUUCGACCUUGAGUUCCAUGAACAGUGACUAAAGUCGUGUUAUUUCUGCACUUGCAGAGGUAAGGGCUUUGUAUUCACUUGCUGCACUCGACCUUGUAACUACUGAUUGCUUCUUAGACGAUCAGGAUAUUAAGUUGAUUCCUAAAUAAAUGCAGUAUGCACCUAUUGAUCUCCUGUCAUCAAUGUCACAUGCCCAGUCUGCAUCAAUGUAACCUAUGAGUUUCAUUUCUCCCCCAACUAAGAAUUAUAGCCUAUAAUCAUCAAUUCCCUUUAAGUAUCUAAGAAUAUAGGCCAUUAAAUAUUGAAGUGUUGGAGCUAUCAUCUACUAACUUAGUUUACAUAUAGCAAAGCUAUUUCUGGUCUGGUUAAAACCAGAUACCGUAAACGUCUAAUUAAGCUUGCUAUAACNNNNNNNNNNNNNNNNNNNNNNNNNNNNNNNNNNNNNNNNNNNNNNNNNNNNNNNNNNNNNNNNNNNNNNNNNNNNNNNNNNNNNNNNNNNNNNNNNNNNUCGGUUAAACUCCUUCUGAAGCAUUGAUACUGCAACCAUUGGAGUGUCAUAGCUUUCUCAUUCUAACAUAUCAACUUUAUUCAAAAAAUCCUUGAUGUACUUCUUCUGAGACAAAUAGAUACUACUCUCAGCAUAAGAAACUUCUAUUCGAAGGAAGUAUGGUAGUACUCUCAAGUCUUUCAAAGCAAAUAUUCCACUGAAAUCUAAAAUGAACUUUUCUAAUUCUUUAUUGUUAGGGCCUAUGAUCAUUAACAUAAAUCAAGAUUGGGCCUUCUAUCUCUUUUUUUCAAUAAAAAAAAAAGAUGUAUUAGUCGUAGAAUUCUGAAAUCCCAAUUAGUAGUCAAACAAUUCUUCAGCUUGUUACACUAAGCUCUGGGAGCUUAUUUUAAGCCAUACAAUGCCUUUUUCAAUUUGCACACAUCGCUAAAUUUUUUAAUAUAAAAAAAUCUUUUAGAUCAAUUCUCCAUUUAGAAAAACAUUGUUCACAUCAACUUGUCUUAUCAUUCACCUACAUAGUACAACCAAACUUAAUACCACUCUCACUGUAGAAGCAUUUAUAACAAGGCUGAAUAUUUCAAAAUAAUCAACUCUUUCAAUUUGUUGAAAUUCCCUUGCAAUAAGCCUAAGUUUGUACUUAGUUAUGCUUUUAUUAUUGUUUUGUUUAAUUCCAAAAACACAUUUGUUGCCAAUAAUCUUAAAGUGGUACUAAAAUCCAAGUCUCAUUCUUUAACAAGGCUUCUAUAACACCGCAGCCCGAACUCCGAGGGCAAAUCCGAUCACAACUCGCAUGUGAAUUUAAAUAACCCUUUACAAACGAAAAUAAUUCAAACCUCCAAUAUAAUAGGCAGCGGAAUAAUCUGAAAAUUUGGCCAAACCAUCUAUCAUCCUCAAUUCAAGUCUACCUUCUCACUCAUUAUGAAUCAUUCCUGACUUCUGGAAACCAAAUCAUAAUAAACUAUAAUGAGUAUAAAACUCAGUAAGCAAACUAGUUUUUCUUAUAUCAAAAUACAUCCAUACUUAUACAUAAUGCAAUUGGAUGAUAUGUCAUGAUCUUUUGGAAAUACUGUAAAACAAAUUCAUAAACAUCUAUUUAUGUCGCUUUCAAACUUUUUCAUUUUCUUUCAAUGAAAUACAUAUUCUGCAAUUGUGGCACUUUGUAUUGUGCGUGGCACUUUGCACCAUGCAUGGCACUUUACGGCACUUUGACCCUCAAGAGGUGGCCCAUGCAUAGUCUCAAGAGGUGGCCCACACAACUUCAAGAGGUGGUCCCCAAUGCAAAAUCUCAUAGAACAAAAAUUUCAUUUGUUAAAAUCCACUUUCUCAUUCAUAGAAAAAUCAAUGCUUUUUCAUACUUAUGCCAAUGAACCAUCACACAUACAUAUGCCCAUAUACAUAAUCAUGUUCAACACAUACCAACACAUCACAUAGACACAUGGGCAGAGACAUCUAAAUCCAUAUUCGUAUAUGUAUCAAAAUAGGCUUUUCACACAAGUCAAACAUAUAUAGAAUAAGUUAAUAAUUGUCAUAUCUUGUAUUUGUUUAAGGUGUUGGAGGUGAUUGAGGCUCUUAGAGGCAUAGAGGUGUGUUAAUUUAAAUUCUUUUGUCGAGGUAAGUAACUUCAUUCCUAGUAUACUGGAUAUGUACAAGUAUUUUGAUAUUAUUAUUAUAAGUAUAAAUGUUUUUAUACUACUUAAAAGAUUAAUGGAUUUUCAUAACAAAAUUAACUUAUGAAAAUGUUUUCAAAACCUAAAUUCUUUUUAACAAAGUAUUUUAUAAAUGCUUUUAAAUAUGUAAAUUAUUUAUGACAUGACUACCUUUUAUGGUUUUAUCUAUAAAAUAAUUUGCAAGCCUAAAUUGUUGUUAUGGACAUUUAUGAAAUUGAUACGAAUGUUUUUGUGCUUAUGAAUGUUUUUGUCCUUAUGAAUAUUUUCAAUUAUUUAUGAUUGUACGGGGGCCACCUCUUGGGACUAUAUGGGGGCCACCUCUUGGGACUAUAUGGGGACCACCUCUUGAAGGCUAAAGCAUCGCAAAGUGCCACAUACAGUGCAAAGUGCCACGUAUAAGUCAUUAUGUUUUGGCUCAUUGUCCGUAGUUAUUCUGAUUAUGAUUCUGAUCGUAUAAUACGAUAUAUGUUUGUUCUGGACCAGUACUGGGUUUUUGUUAUGAGUGUGCAUAUGAUAUUCUGAUUCUGUUUCUGGCCGGGUCACCGGUACUAUAGGUGACACUAUGUGACAUGAGCUAACCUUUUGUUUUCUGUGAAUGUGAUAUAUGAUUUGCUUUCGUAAGUAACUAUGCUUUUGAUAUUCUGAAUUACAAUGAAUUUAUGUUAUUUUAUCAUGAUAUAUCGUUUUAUGAAAUUUAUGGAUUAUGAUAUAUGUUUUAAUUAAAGGAAGGCUUGCAAUAUUUUUGGUAUCGAUAGGCUUAGUGAGUUAGGAAUGGUUUUACUUACCGAGUUGACGGCUCACCCCUCGUCAUUACUUUUUGUAGAUUAAGUUCCAUUUGAGAGGUGUGCUUAGCUUUGGAGUUAGAGAUUUUGUUUAUGUUUGCUGUUUGAAUAAGAAGAGGAAUAGACUCACGUUUUUUUUUAGUUUAUUUCUGUUAUGAACUUGUAAUUUGGAGUUUGAGACUUUUGUUAUUGCUAUGUUUCGGGAGAGAUUAUUUAGUGUUAGACGUAUGAAUUUGUGGAUUUAUUUGAAUAAGAAUUUGAGGUAUUUUCAGUUUGGAAUUUAUGAGUAAGGAUUACGAUUUGUAAGUAACCUCCUUCUUUACGUGCUCCGCACGUGUUAGAUUUGUAACACCCCAGCCCGAACGCCGAGGGCAAAUCCGACCACAACUCACAUGUGAAUUUAAAUAACCCUUUACAAAUGAAAAUAAUUCAAACCUCCAAUAUAAUAGGCAGCGGAAUAAUCUGAAAAUUUGGCCAAACCAUCUAUCAUCCUCAAUUCAAGUCUACCUUCUCACUCAUUACGAAUCAUUCCUGACUUCUGGAAACUGAAUCACAAUAAACUAUAAUGAGUAUAAAACUCAGUAAGCAAACUAGUUUUUCUUAUAUCAAAAUACAUCCAUACUUAUACAUAAUGCAAUUGGAUGAUAUGUCAUGAUCUUUUAGAAAUAUUGUAAAACAAAUUCAUAAAAACCUCUUUCUAUCGCUUUCAAACUUUCUCAUUUUCUUUCAAUGAAAUACAUAUUCUGCAAUUGUGGCACUUUGUGUUGUGCGUGACACUUUGCACCAUGCGUGGCACUUUACGGCACUUUGACCCUCAAGAGGUGGCCCCCGCAUAGUCUCAAGAGGUGGCCCCCAAUGCAAAAUCUCAUAGAACAUAAAUUCCAUUUAUUAAAAUCCACUUUCUCAUUCAUAGAAAACUCAAUGCUUUUUCAUGCUUAUGCCAAUGAACAAUCACACAUACAUAUGCCAAUAUACAUAAUCACGCUCAACACAUACCAACACAUCACAUAAACACAUGGGCAGAGACAUCUAAAUCCAUAUUCGUAUAUGUAUCAAAAUAGGCUUUUCACACAAGUCAAACAUAUAUAUUGUUUAUUGUGAUUCGUUUUAAAGUCUAGUUUACUUACCUCUUGGCAUCCUCAUGCAACAAAUGUGUAUUGAUAUCAUCAACCUAAAAUCAUCAAUAAAUAUCUCAUAAGAUAUAAUCAAGUCUCAAUCAUAAACUCUAAUGUCCUCAACUAUCUCAAUUUAAGCAUCUCAUAAGCUCAACCUCAAAUGUCCUCAAUAAUCAGUUCUCAAAACAAAACAGUCCAUAUUCUCCGAUUUUUAAUAAAUUAUUCCCUCAUUGGAAAAAUCUCAAAUUUUACAGAUCAUAUGCUGACAUAUUGAAAGUUUAUUGAUAAAAAUUUCAUAAUUUGAUUCCUUCAAAAACUAUUGAAAAUAAUUAACAUUUCAGACAUCAUCAAUACUGUCAAACAAUGUUCUGUUUUGAACACACUUGUUUCAAAAAUCCAAAACAAUUUAUUUCUUUAUCAUAAAAUCCUGAAAAUUUACAGAAUCAUACUAGACAUGUAUAAAAAUCAUGGAUCCAAAUUUCAUAAUUUUUGAAGAAGUACAGUUAUGGUAAAAAUAAUUUCGUAAUUCACGUUAUUUAUUGAAAUCAGAAAUUUCCAGGUUUUCAGACUUGAUUUUGAAAAAUCGUAAUUAAUUGAAAUCUUAUCCGAUUAACUUGAAACAAGUUUCAAAACAUUCUAGAUGAUGUCUAGUUUAACAAAUCCAAAAAUCAGAAUCAAAAUCAAUUUGUAAAAAUUACUAUGAGUUUCGUAAUAAUUCACUCUCAGCAUACUUCUGCAAAAUCUUAGGUUUCUACUUCUAUUGCAAUCAUGCUUGUCCACAACAAUUUAAUAGAAACCAAUAAUUAAAACUUACCUCCAAAACUUCUCCCAACAAUAACAACUUGAUCCCAUAUGUUGCCUAUGGCAGAACUAAGAAGAAGAAGAAGACUUUCUUCUUCUCUUUUUCUUUUUUUUUUCUCUUUUCUCUCCAUCUCUCUCUCUCUCUCUCUCUCUCUCUCUCUCUCUUUUUCUUUUCCUUCCUGCCGUUUUUUUUUCAACCGAUCUCUCUUUCCCUCUCUCUCUUAUAAUGGAAAAUACAUCUUAUUCUAUUUAUACUAGGGUAAAAAAGAUUACUAAAAACUAAAAAGACUUAAAUACCCUUAGGAGAAUUGGGGUAUUACACCUUCUAUGUAACAAUGUUAUAUCAUCUAGUUUGUAAUUACAAUUAUUUGGAAUAGAAUUAUAGCAAGCCUUGGUAAAGGCAUUUAAAUUUAUGAAAAUCAAGAGAGACAUUUGUAAAAGAAAGCAUAGAGAUUGGUUUAUUCAACUAAAAAUGAGAUAGGUAAGAUACAGGUGAUGAGGAAAAAGGAUUGAUCUCAACAACAGAUUGUAAACACCUUUCUGAGUAAGGCCUUGUGGAAGAACUUGUCCCUUUCUACCCUUCACAAAGCAAAUAUUUCUAUAUAAUUUAAAAAGGGAGGAUUAUCGGAGUUGAGUUUAGAAAUGCUCAACAAAUUCAUUGUAAUUGAAGGAACAAGUAGCAUGUCUUUAAGUUUUAUGGUAGUGUGCAUGGAUGAAUUAUUAGAAGCUUUAAAUGACGAAAAAACAUGUCCAAUAUGAGUCAUAGACAAAUCUUGACCAUUUUUAAUAAUAAGCUGCUCAGUAUCUUUAAACUCUUCUUUGAGAUACAUAUUCUCCAUGUUAUUGGUCCAAUGAUGAGUUGCUCCAUUGUCCAAAUGCCAGCCAUCAUCAGUUGUCCCUUCAAAAUUAGCCACAUAAGCUACUCCAGGUGCAUAAGCUUCAAUCCUAGAGUACUAGUAAGCUCCAAUGUAGGACUAUAUGCCAAUGGCAUAUAAUUGAAAUGUUCAUAGUCAUCAUAACUUUGAUGAGAAGCAGAACCAUCAAAGUUAGCAAAAUAAGCUGCUCUUAGUCUUUUGCCUUUGCCAAAACUCCUUGAAAUACAAAUAUAAUCUUUAACAAAUCUGCCAACAAAUAUCUACACUAUGACCCGUCUUGAAACAAAUCUGACAUAUUAGUUCUUCUAUAUUUACAAGAGUUCCUCGUGCUCCAUUCAAUUUAGGAAAUCCAUUCUUAGCAAAUGGAGAUGAAUGCCUAGGUACUUGAAAUGAAAGAAGACCAUCAGAGUUUUGACUAAAAAAUUGUCCUAUACCAUAUCAAUUUUUAAAGUUUCCAACAGGCAUUCUUUGAGUAUGAUUCUUGCUUCUUCUACCAAAGAACAUGUUUCUACCUUCAAUGUGUUGUUUUCUCCUAAAAUUGUCCCUAAGUUGAGCAUAGAAUGCCUUGGGAUAAUAUGCAUUGCUAUAUGUAUAAUUUGCAUUAAACACAUUCUUAUAAUCCUAUUCUUGCUCUAAUCUAGUUUCAUGUGUGAGCAGCAAAGCACAUGCAUCAUCGUAAUUCAUAUAAGGACCAGUUAUAAGAGUAGCAAUAUCACGAUAUCCUAGUCUUAGUCCAUUAAGUAUUGUUAAUAUAAGAUCUUUCUUUGUUAGAGAACUAUUAGCACUAGCAAGCUUUUUAGCUAUUGAUUUCAUUUGGUCAUAGAAAUCUUAAACACUCAAUGAUUCUUUUUUAAGAGUCUUUAAUUCAUACAUAAGUUGAACUACUCGAGCUUCAGAUUGCACUCCAACUUUCUUUUCUAGAGUCCUCCACACAUUAAAUGAACUUUUGCAAUUUAUAACAAGGCUUAGAGUAUCUUCACAAAUCAAUGAAAAUAACCAUUCAAGUAGAGUCUGAUCCUAUGAUCUCCAAUUUUGAUAUUCAAGAUUAUCAACUUUCUGAGUAGAUCCGUUAGCUUCAGCCAAAAGAAGAUGCUCCCAAGGUGCUGAUUUUCUUCCAUCAAUGAAGUCCUUCAAUCAAUUGCCUAUAAUGGAGGCCAAGACCUGAGAACACCAUAGCAAGUAAUUCGAAUGAUCUAGCUUCAUCAGAUUAUUGAAAGAGAAAUUAAUUUGAGUUUGCUAAUUUGUAUUAUUUGUCAUUGAGUUUCUAGUGGAUGUGUGCAUAUUACUAGAACUAGCUUUGUUUGCCUCUAAUAUCAUGUUUGAAAGCUUUAAAAUGAACAUAUUAUUCUGUUCGGCAACUGAGAAAAUGAAAAAGAAUGUUCUAGAUUUUUUUCUAAAUCUUGAUUCUUUUUCACUAACUACAAAAUCUAAAACAUUACAGCAUAUACGGCAUUUAUAAUGAGCUCGUUACAGUAAGAAAAGUAAUGAAAACAAACUUAACAAACAAAAAUAGAAUAACAAGUAUGCUUAAAAAUUUUGGUGAGCAGGCAUAUACACACAACUAGCUCUGCUGACUAGACUUGGACUUGCACGUGCUGAGUGUGUACUCUUUUAUAUGGAAUAUGUGCUUCCUUAACAGGUAGAAAUUUAAAAUUAAAAUUUGACAAGAUUAAUAAUAAUCUUAAAUUAUUUUUAGAUAGUUUAAGAGAAAAUAGAACUAGUUUUAAAAAUUUAGAAGAAGAAUUAGAUUUAUAAAAGAUCAAAAUAUUGCAGAAUUAGAUAAGAUCUCAAGAAUAGAAGAAAAAAGAUUAAAGCUAAAACAAGUAGAUAAAGCUAAGGAUUUAGAUGUUAUACCCAGUUGAAAAACUUUGGAUUAUUUCAUUUCAAUCGAUUAUAUUUUCACAAUCAACUUUUACUUUUUCUUUUUCUAGCCAUGUGAAUCGGUUGGUUUGAAAGGAAGUGGUUUCGACGACGAACCAUUUAGAAAAGUUUUGGUCUUGGAUUAGGCUUUAAUUCAACAUUGGGUUUAGUUAUAACUUGAAGGCAUGUAAUCAGAAAUGUGUUAUGAAUGUUUUUUCUAGGUUGACAAUUUAGUACAGUAUAUUUAUUUAAUACAUUAACAAAUAACAAUAAGAAAAGGCAGCUUUUUGACUCUUUCUACCUGAAAUGAAACUUUUGAUUGAUUGCAAAGCAAAGAACAAACAAGAGCUGCAUUUAUUCCAGCCAAACAAUCACGGCUUGAACUAUUAAUUAAAAGUUUUAAGUGAGGCACCAAAUUCAAAAAAGAAAAUUACGUAAGGCACAAUCCUCUGACUUUGGAGCCUAUUAAUCCAUGUGAUAAACGAAUUCUUAUAAUUCCGGAAACCCGUGCUCCUUACUCUUGUUCAUGCUAACUAAAUAACCCGCACCAAUAGUCAUCACCAUAUCUGUAUAUGACCAAACAACAACCUCAUUCAAUUUCGUUGGCCGAAGCUGAUUAUCUCUCACAAUCUCCUCCCACAGACUUUCUUUACCUUUCAUAAAAUUUUAGGAAAUUAAUUGACAAAAUAAUAAUAAAAAGAUGAGAUUGAGAGAAGUGAAAUUAAGGUUCAUGGUAUGGACAUGACAAAUGGGUAUGUUGAAUUAAUUUUAGGGAGAAUAUCCACCGUCCACCUGUUUUUUACACAUUUUUCAAAAAUACACAAUUCUUUCAUUUUUUGGCUGGAAUCCACCUAAAGUUAUAUUUUGUUUCACUUUUCCACUUCCGUUUGAAAUCCGUUAAGAAAACUAACGGAAACUUAAAAAAUAACUAUUUUAACCCCAAAACGAAAAUUACAAUUUCACCUUAAAAAUUACCAAAAAUAAUCAGAUUAAAUCUAAUUAUUUUUUUCAUUGGUCAAUAAAGAAAUUAAUUCCACAACCAUCAAAUGCAGGUUUUUUUUAAAUAUGUUUGUAAUUAAAAUGCUAAAUUAUAACAGUAGUAUUAAAAAUAGCCCAAUCUCGCAAACCAUCAAUUGAAUUUAAGAUAAGUAGAGUUUUAUUAUUCUUUGAAUUAUAAUCUCUAGUAGUUAAGUUUUUUUGUACUUCAUUAACGUACCAAUAAUGAUAUUCAUCAUUAAAUCUUAUUAUUUUUGGCAUUUUUUAGGGUGAAAUUGUAAUUUUCGUUUUGGGGGUAAAAUGGUCAUUUUUUUAAGAUUCCGUUAGUUUUCUUAACGGAUUCCAAACGGAAGUGGAAAAGUGAAACAACAUGUAACUUUAGGUGAAUUCCAGCCAAAAAAUAAAGGAAUUGUGUAUUUUUAAAAAAAAGUGUAAAAAACGGGUGGACGGUGGAUAUUUUCUCUUAAUUUUAACAUUUUCGCUUAAUUGUAUAAGGUUGACUUCAAUUAUGGGAAAUUUAAGAAUACAUAUUGUUGUUAAAAAAUUAGUCCUCAAAAUAGUUUUUGAUUGCAGUAUUUAAACCCAUCAACUUCUUCUAUACACCCAUUUUAAAAAAUAAAUUUAUCAUUAAAGUUUUAAAAUUUUAAAUUUUAAAUUUUAAAAUUACCCCUCACUAAUCACUUUCUUUCUUACUUUACAAUUACAUACUCUCCCUUUAAUAUUAUGCAAAUUAAACACUUAAUUUCACUAUCUUUGAAUUUUUAUUUUAUUUUAUUUUAUUUUUUUAUCUUUCUGAGUACAUCAUGAUCUAUAUAUUUCAUGCUUUCUAUAUAUAAGAAUUUUUUAAUUUCUUAAUAUUCAUUAGCUUUUAUGCUUGGUAAAAAUUAAUUUCUUAAUAUUCAUUAAUUUUAAUUACUAAUAAAAUUUUGUUGGUAUUCAUUUUUAAAUGAUGGGUUUUGUUCCUCUUAGUUAGUAAUACUAAUUAUCUACAAGUAAAAGAAUAUAUCUUAAUGGAUGAUAAGAAUGAACUUAGAUAAGAAGAAGUAGAAGUCGAAAAAGUUAAGGAAAAAGAAAGAAAAUGAAGAGUUCUUUUUUGCUGAAAAUAUGUUUUUUGUUCCUAGAUGCCUUUGGCUAUUUAUAGCCUUACAAACGUGACCAAUAAUGCAGCAAAACAACUGCAACAGCAAAGCAAAAUAAUAGGAAACAAACAUGCUACCACUUAUGCUUAAGUUAAGCAGCUUAUUCAUCCAACUACCUAACUAAGUUGACUAAGUCUGCCGACUUGACCAUCUCAACAAAUGUGACUUUAUCUGCUUCAUCAUCAACAAUGAUUUUGCCACCCACGAACAUAUUGCAUGCAUGCAUAAUUUGCACAUAUCAUUCCCCCCCCCCCCCUCCCCAAGGAUCCUUGUCCACAAGGUUGAAAUCAAGGUUGAAAUUAAGAUAGGAUUUGGAGAAACGCCAUUCAGUUUCCCAGGUUGCAUCUUGUAAGGGUGCACCCACCCAUUUGACCAAAAUUUCUGAUUUAGGCUGGUAUUUUCCCUUGUGAAUCACACGGCGAUCAAGUAUCGUUUCUGGUUGCGGAAGGAUGGUCAAAGCAUCUGAAACCGGAGGUAGAUGUGCUGAAGUAGGAACAAUUGAGCCUAAAUGCUUUUACGAUAGACCAACAUGGAAUACGUUGUGGAUUUGGGAGCCAGGGGGUAAAGCCAAUCGGUAAGGUACCGUUCCCACUCUUUCUACAAUUCGGAAUGGACUAAAAAACCGAGGGGCGAGCUUCGACGACUUGUCAAAAGCCACAGAAGUCUGGCGGUAUGGCUGUAGUUUCAAGUACACAUAAUCUCCCACAACGAAAGUGACUUCACGUCGGUGAUGGUCUGACUGACUCUUCAUCCGUUCUUGAGCUAGUCGAAGGUUGUGACACAGUUCGUAUGAUAUAUCGAUCACGUAGGUACUCAUCUACUGCUUGCACUCGAGAAGUGCCUCGAACAUAGUUCAAUAUGCUUGGAGGUGGAAUUCCAUAAACUACCUCAAAAGGUGUCAUCUUGGUGGAAGAUUGAACAGCCCAAGGAAGCCAUUCCAACCGUUUCUUAGGAUGAUCACCCACAAAACACCACAAAUACUGUUCCAGAGAGUGAUUAACUAUUUUAGUUUGACCGUCGGUCUGGGGAUGGUAACUGGAGCUCAUGCACAACUUAGUUCCUUAUAACGCGAACAAUGCUCGCCAAAAAGAACUAAUAAACACCUUAUCUCGAUCAGUAACAAUUUAUGUUGGAAUACCAUGGAGUCGUACAACAUUGGCCAUAAAUGCCUUGGCGAUAACAACUGCAGUAAACGGAUGUUUGAAGGCCACAAAGUGAGCAUAUUUGGUCUAUUGAUCAACUAUUACCAUAAUAACCGUAUAUCCAUUAGAAGAUGGUAAUCCUUCAAUAAAGUCCUUUGAGAUGGCAGUCCACAUUUGAGCCGGAAUGGGCAAUGGUUGAAGUAAUCCUGCUGGUCUCAUACAAUCAGUUUUGAACCUCUGACAAAUAUCACACUAUUGUAAAAAUUCCUUCACUGAACGUCUCAUUUGGUUGGGGCAAUAUAAAACUUUGCUUGAGGUGUGAAAGAGUUUUAUGAAACCCAAAAUGCCCACCAAUGGGUGAAGAAUGACACUCGCUCAUUAUUUUGGGAAUUAACGUCGAGGUGGGACUUAAAUAAACUUUAUUGCAUUUGAACCAAAUACCAUCACGUUGGAGAAGCUGGUAAUGUGAAUGGGAAGGACUCCUUUAAAGUAAAUCCUUGUAAAAUGAAUCAUGUUGAACUUCUUCUUGAAAAUUGGUCACCAAUCUGCUCGUGGCAUAGAAAUUGAUAACAAAUGGAACUUAACUACGCGUGAUAAUGAAUCUGCACCCUGAUUCUCUGGCCCUUUCUUAUACUUAAUUUCGUAAUCAUAUCCUCAUAUUUUUUGCAACCAUCGAGUUUACGCUGGCGUAGUAAUCCUUUGCUUUUUUGGUCGGUGUGAACUGUAAACGGUUUCCCAAGCACGUACGGGCGCCAUUUUUUUAUGGCUUUAACAAUUGCCAACAUCUCCUUCUCAUAGGUGGAUAAAGUUAAAGCUGAUCCCUUCAAUGCUUCACUGAAAAAAGCUAUUGGUCGAUCUUGCUAAGAGAGAAUUGCUCCAAUACUAAUGCUGCUAGCGUCACACUCAAUCAUAAAUCAUUAGGAAAAAUCGAGCAGGCGUAAAAUUGGUGGUGAUGUUAAAGCCUCUUUUAAUUUCUUAAAAGGUUUCUCUAUCGCCUCAUUCCAAUGAAAUCCAUCCUUAGUUAGAAGCUGAGUUAAAGGAGCAGCAGUGCCCCCAAAAUUUCGAAUGAACUUCUUGUAGUAUCCAGCCAGCCCCAAGAACCCACGAACCCCUUUUACUGAUAUUGGCCUAAGCCAUUAAAUGACAGGUUGGAUUUUGGCCGGGUCCACUGCGACUCCUUUCUCCGAAAUUAUAUGCCCUAAGUAUUCAAUCUGUGAAACACCAAAUCGACACUUAGAUUCUCUUGCAAAUAAAUUGUUAGUGGAUAAAAUUUGUAAGACAAUUUGCAAGUGAGUAAGAUGGUCUUUCCAUGACUUUGAAUAGACCAAGAUGUCAUAAAAAAAAACUACGAUAAAUUUUCGAAGAUAAGGACGGAAGAGGUCGUUCAUAAGACUUUGGAAAGUUACGGGUGCAUUUGUGAGACCAAAUGGCAUUACCACAAACUCGUUAUGUCCUUCAUGUGUUUGAAAUGUUGUUUUUUGAAUGUCCUCUUCUUUGACUCAAAUCUGGUGAUAUCUCGACCGUAAGUCUAAUUUAGAAUAAAAUUUGGCACUAUGGAGCUCAUCUAAUAAUUCAUCAAUCACAGGAAUGGAACACUUAUCUUUGAUAGUUAUAUUGUUCAAGGCGCGGUAGUCAACACAAAAUUGUCAGCCUCCAUAUGCCUUUUUUACUAACAAAAUAGGUGAUGAGAAUGGACUGUUACUUGGCCUUAUCAACCCGGAUUGUAAAAGUUCUUGCACUAUCUUCCCAUUCUCAUAUUUCUGGUAAUAAGGAUAACGAUAUGGCCAUACACUCACCGGUCCUGUAUUAGGCUGCAGUGGAAUUGAAUGGUCAUGGAAACGCCUUGGAGGUAAGCUUGUGGAUGAUUCAAAUACAUGGGAAAAGUUGGCUAGGAGUUGAGUAAUUUGGGGUGGAUAUGUUUUUGGUUGGCUGCUGCUGCAAGAGGGCAUUAUUUGGAAGAAGAAACCAGUGCUGUGUAUUCCAUUGAGCUCUUUAUCAGUUAACGCACCGAUGCUGGUCCGCUUCAAUCCUUAGAAAGUGUAAGGUACUCCUCCGACUUUAAAAUUCAUAGUUAGCUAUUUGAAAUCCAUUUCUAUGGGACCAAGAGUUUCAAGCCAUUAUGCUCCCAAAACUAAUUGGCAUGCAAUAACAGGGAGAACAUAAUAAUCCGCUGUCACCGAAUGCCCCUGAAUGGUGAGGGUGAGCGAUUGACACUACCCAACACAGUCUAUCUUCUCAUGAUUUGCAACCAUAACUUGAAACUUCGUCUUUAGUCACAGGUAUGCUGAACUUGGAGACUAUGGAUUGAUCAAUAAAAUUAUGAGUGCUGUCACCAUCUAUCAACACCAUUACAUCCUUAUUUUUCAACUUGCCAAGGACGCGUAUAGUCUGGGGAUGUUCUGUUCCAGCAAUUGCAUGAAAAGAUAUCUCAAGUACAGUGUCAUGGGCUUCUUGUUCUUGCUGAAUGUCGUUGACAUCCUCACUGUCCAAAUGGGGUAAAUCUUCCAUCAUAAAUAAUCGUGGACAUUCACACUGAUGGCCUGGAGUAAAUUUCUUAUAACAGUAGUAGCACAACCCAUUUUCACGCUGUUCUCAUGCCUUUUGAUUUGUGAUUCGGCAGAAUGUUAGUGAUGGAUUUAUAGAAUUUUGGUUCAGGCGCUGGUUCGGAGGAGGUUCUAACACACUUGCCGUUGGGUUGGGCAGUGGCCUUUGCGUGAUCAAGGAAGAUUGGGAGUGAAUCGGUUGGCUUGGUUUCCGUUGAAGUUGGUUCCGUUCUUCAAUCAAUCGCGCCACUCCUAUUGUAUCAGCCAAAGUACGAGGUUAUUUGAUCUUAACAUCCAAACGAAUAUCAUCACGGAGUCCUGCCACAAAGCAACCAAUUAAAAAAUUCUCAGGUAAGCCAUCAAUUCGGUGAGAGAGUCUUUCAAAAGCCUCUUGAUAUGCUGCCACAGUUGUGGAUUGCUUAAGACGAGUCAAAGCCUCCGAUGGGUCCUCGUAAUUCGUUGGGCCAAAACAAAGGUGCACUGCCUUAGUGAAUUCGUCCCAUGUGAGUGGUCCACAAAACUUUGUUAGCCAUAUGUGCCACUGUAGUGCAAUACCUUCUAGGUGAAAAGAGGCAAUCUGAACUUGUUGGUCUAACGGGGUAUUUUUAAAGUCAAAAUAUUGUUCUGCUUUGUGGAUCCAUCUGAUUGGGUCAUAUCCAUUGAACUUGGGAAAAUCUAACUUGAGGUGGUGGUGGGAACGUUCAUGGAUGGUGUUUUGAUGAGAGGUUUCUUCAAGUGCAAACGGGUUGGUCUCGAGUUGGCUGGUAUUUGCUUGGCUGGUGUUUUGGUUUUGGGAGAGACAGAGAGCUUGAAGUUCGGUUAACACGGCUUGUAAAGCAGCAUUGACUUGAUCGAAGCUUGCCUCGUGUCGCCCCAAGGUUGUGGCGAUGUCGUUGCAGAGUUCUGCAUUCGUUUUGCCACAAGUGUCCAUCGUUGAAACCUGGCUCUAAUACUACUGAUAAGAAUGAACUUAGAUAAGAAGAAGUAGAAAUUAAAGAAGUUAAGGAAAAAGAAAGAAAAGGAAGACUUUUUUUUCGCUGAAAAUCUAUUUUUUAUUCCUAGAUGCUUUUGGCUAUUUAUAGCCUUACAAACGUGACCAAUAAUGUAGCAAAACAAUUGUAAUAGCAAAGCGAAAUAAUAGGAAACAAACAUGCUACCACUUAUGCUUAACUUAUUCAUCUAACUACUUAACUAAGUUGACUAAGAUGUUGUUUGUUAAAUGUCUGAAUUCUGAAAUUUUAUUAAUUUCAGACAUUUUUUAAAAUAUGAUUGUUUGUUUUUUGGAACUUAUGUCUGAUUUUAAGACAUUUACAUCUGAAUAGAAAAAGUAAACUUUUGUGACUUUUAUCUGAAUGGAAAAAGGUCUGAAUGACAAGUAAAUAUUAUAUUAUGAAAAUAUCUCUGUAAAAUAACUUAUUUCCUAAAAUAUAAAAUCUAAUCCUAUUUUUUUGUUUUAAUUUAUAAGAACAUAAAUGUCAAAUAACCAAGUUUAAGAUUUUUUUAUUGUAAAAAUAAAUAAGAUGCCACUUAUAUUCAGAUAUUUAAAAAAGAAAAACAAACAUGUCAUUCAGAUUUUUGUAUUCAGACCCAUUCAGACUUUAGAAAAAUUCAGACCCAUUUAGAUUUCAAACAAAAAAACAAACGCUACCUAAGUCUGCCGACUUGACCAUCUCAUCAAAUGUGACUUUCUCUGCUUCAUCAUCAACGCCGCUUUUGCCACCCACGAACAUAUUGCAUUUGCACAUAUCAAUGGAUUGAUGGGAAUUUGUAAAAUUGAAAGAGAAAGAGAAGACAGGAUAAAUUACGUAAUUUUUUAAAAUUAUUUAGUUUAUAAAAUUUUUAAUUAAAAUGAGGAUUUAGAGAGGAAAUUAGUGAUUUCAUAUAGCCUUAUCCUUAAUUUUUAGAGUACAAAUAUUAAUACCCUAAUAAUUUUGUGCGUUAUAGCUCCUUGAGUAUCUUGUAUUACAAGUGAGUGAUCCAAAUUCAAAUUGAUAUUUGACUUUCCACAUUAUGGUAGGACUAUACUGCAUAAUCAAUACAAAGGGCACACUCAUGUUUGGGCUUACAUGUAAAUCCUAAUGACCUAGAUUAUAUCUAAACCUAAUGUUGGGGGAUUUUAACUCCACCGAAGAUCUUGAAAGCAAAAAUCCCAAACAAAUUAUUAAUAGAACAUAUAGAUGAACAAUAAAACCAAUCAUAUAACACAAAAAUUUAUGUGAAAACUCCUACACUCGACAAAAUUAUGCAACUAAGGAUGACGAGAGAAAAAUUAACUAUGUGCAAAAUUAUUACAAUUACUUUAGUAUUUUCCUCAAACCCAAAGCCCCAAUAACACUCAUUCUCUCAAUAGUCUUAUUGUUUCUCUCAUAUUAGAAAUUGUCUACUUGCUUAUUUUUAUAUGAACAAGCAAAAUGAACAUCCUUAUAUAGUGAUUGUUUCUUAUAAGAGAAGUAUUCAUUAUGUUAUACAAAUUGUAUUCCUCCUUGAAUAAGUUAAGUCUCAAAAGAGAAAUUAUUUAUUCUUUAAAUAAGAAUACUCUAAAAUAAGAAAAUAACCUAGAAAAUCCUUAUAUUGGAAAAAGAGACACAUUUCCUAGCAAUCUCGACCUUGGCAAGUUUUUCAAUCAAGCGAUAAAAUAUAAUCCACCGUGUAUCCACAAAGCAUAUUGUCUUCAUCUUCUUUACUGUACUAAAAUCACAUUCACAUAGGGCUUAUAAGAAUCACUCUAUCAUGGGUAAAACCUUGUUUUCUAUUCAGCAGCCAUAAUUCACCACACUGAGAAUCAUCAUACUCCACUUUAUCUAGAGUACGCAUGUUUAACACAUCUUGAUCACCUUACUAAAAAUCCCACUCUCAUGUUUCCCUUCUUUGAGUGUCCUCAACUAGUAACAUAAAAAUUCUGCCACACUCCUUGUAUAAAUGUCAAACUAUGCCUUGCGUGCAAAUCUUAUAGACCCACUUGCAAUAACAUAUCCUCUUCCAUGGCAUGCUAAAAAGGAUAAAUCAAUCUAUUGUAGAGAAAAAAGACACGCCAGUAGCUGAGAUAAUCAAUUUUUCAUAUAUUAAUUUAAAGCUACUUGCUAAAAUUGCUUCAUUCUAACAAUCUUUAUUAAGGUGCCUUGAUUAUCUACACAUCUCUAGGAGUUUUCACUAGUGGGAACAUGGUUUACAUCGCAUUUGCUUUCAUUGUGUAACAUAGAUUGGAUGAACAUAUGUCUUUGACUUCAACAUGUCCCAAGCCAAAAUUUGUUCUCCCAUCAAACUUUUCUAUUUUACCUUUACUAGUUUUGAAAUCCUCAUUGUUGACAUAUUUGCUCUGUAUUGCAACCUUAGCUCUAAUAGCACUUGUUACAAAAUUUCAAUUUCACUCAAGAUCUUGCAAGUAGAAAUAUCAAACAAAUAAUAUAUAGAAAAUAUAGAUGAAGAAUAAUACUAAUCACGCAAUACAAGAACUUUACAUGAAAAACUCUAAUACCAGAGAAAAACCAUGCUGCCAAGAAAAGUGAGAGAAAAAUUAUUAUGUGAAAAUUAUUGUAACUACACUAGCAUUUUCCUCACACCCAACACUCUAAUAGCACUAAAUCUCUCAAUAGACUUGUCGUUUCUCUCACAUUAGAAAUUGUCUACUUACCAAUUUUUAUAUAAACAAGUGAACCCAACCUCCUUAUAUUUAGUGAUUAUUUCUUGCAGGAGAAGUAUUCAUUUUUCUUAUACAAGCCGAAUUCCUCUUCAAAUAAGUUAAUCUCAAAGGAAAAUUUACUUAUUUCUUGAAUAAGAGUUCUCUUAAAUUAAAAAAAAAACAUAGCUAAGAAAUUAUUAUUAAAAAAAUGACACAUAUUUCUUAACACCUAAUGUAGUAGUAAAGAACCAACCGCAACACUAUUUUAAUUUUGUUUACAUUAUAUCUAUUGUUAAAGUUUCGAUAAGAUUAAAUAUAAAUGUAAAUUUUUAUGCAUACGCAUUAAAAUCGACAUAAACAAUUUUCCACUCUUCCCCAAGAAUAAUGAUAGUAGGCUAUCAACAAUCUUUUAGAUUUUCUACUAACUUUGAGUAUUGACCCUUUUGACCUAGUAAAAUUACAAUUAUACCCCCAACCUUAGGGAAUAAUUAUGAAAAGAUGACAUAAUUGCCCAUAAACUUUAUUUUAAUUUCAUUUUCUAACCCAUUUUCUUUCUCUCUCUGAAUAAAGCUCUCCAGUUAAAAAUUUUUGGAUGAUUUCAUUUUAAUCAGUUAUAUGUUCACAAUCAACUUUUCUUUCCCUUUUCCCUCUUCUUGUCCUUUGAAUCAGUUGGUUUCGACGGACGAAGAAAUUAAAGAAGCAUUGGACUAGGAUUAGGCUUUGAGCAUCGAGUGGUCAUAACUUGAAGGCAUAUGAUUCAGAAAUGUAAAAUGAAUGUUUUCUCAGCUCGAAAUUGAGUACUGUAUUUAUUUAACUCAUUAACAAUAACAAAGGCAGCAGUGUAUUUUUAUAUCUUUUUUCUGCCUGAAACGAAACUUUUCAUUUAUUGGAAAGCAAAGAACAAACAAAAACUGCAUUUCUUCCAGCCCAACAAUCACAAUUUGAACUAUUAAUUGAAAGUUCUAACUAACGCACCAAAUUGAAAAUAAAAAAUUACUGAAGGCACAAUCCUGUGACUUUUUAGCCUACCACUCCAAGUAACGAAGGAAUUCUUAGAAUUUCUGUGACCCAAGAACCCGUGCUCCUUACUCUUGUUCACGCUAACUAAAUAACCCGCACCCAUAUUCAUCACCGUAUCUGCAAACGACCAAACAGCAACCUCAUUCAAUUUCGUUGGCUGGAGCUGGUUCUCUCUCACAAUCUCCUCCCACACACUUUCUUUACCUUUCAUAAUUUCCUCCAAUCUCACUCUCUCACAACCCUUUCCAUCUUCAAGCCCAUAAUCCUCAAUCUCAAACUGCUCAGCCAACACUUUCCUAAAAUCUUCCACUUAAAAACAUCUCCAUUGGUGCAGUUAAAAUCUUCGUUCCUUGCAUUUGAAUCCAGUGCCGCCCAAAUUUGCUGCUCCGCAAUCAACUCUGCGUCCGAAACUUGUUGGAAGCCUUCCCAAGUAUCUAUAGUGCCAUAAAAUAGUAAAGGAACGCCUUCGUGAUUACAAAUAGCAGCGUACACGCAAAGAGUGGCUAUAAUAUUCAUUAAACUAUAAUGGUGCGUUUACUUCAUGGAAUGAGAAUUGGGUGGAAUGGGGUGGAAUGGGAAUGAACUGGGAAUAGGAAUGGACAUUUUCAUUCCCAACCCUCCAUGGGAAUGAGAUUCUCAUUUCUUAUUCUCAAAUUGUGUGGGACCCAUAUAUUUUUUUCUCAUUCUCAAAUUACAUUUUACUAAGUAAACAUAGAUUUUAUUAUCAUUCUCCAUUUCAUGAAGUAAACACGCCAAAAGAUAAAAACCCAAAUAUUCCGAAAGUUCGGUGUACGGACCAAGUCGAGCCCUCUCUUUUGUCAACUUCUUCAAAUAAUAUAUCUUCUAGAGUAUAGUAAAAUAGUGAAAUGUUUAAACUUGGCAAAUCCUCAGUAAAAGGCGGAUCGUGAGACGGUAUUUUACCAAUAAACUCGAGUGGUCCCAUGUAAUAUUUGCCUCCGGUUUGGAGACAAAUGUGGCGGAGAUUUGGUGCGUUUGGGAUUACAGAACGGAGCACGUUAUGCAACAUGGCGCCGUUGAUCUGGCAAUUCUCAGCUUCAGUGCGACGACCGUCCCACGUCACGUAGAAGAUGUGGGUGACGUCAGUGAGUUUUGAGAGCUUGGCUUGUGUGUCCUCUUGGUCGGAAACAUCGCAUUGGAGGUAUUCAACGGGGUAAGCGGCGUUCCAGUUAGGCCUGGGGCGUCGGGCCACUCCGUAGACCUUCCACGGGCCGCCGGGGGUAUCUGGUCGGGGUAAAAUCUCAGCUAGGCUGUUGCCUACAAUUCCUGUCACACCUACUACAAGUCCCACGCUCUGGUAGUCACGAGUUUGCUCAUAUUCUUCCAAUUUGUUUCUGUACAAGUUAAAAUUAAACAAACAUCAUUUUAAAUAUCAACAUGCUAUAUGUACAUAAACUUAGAGUAGCUCUUUGCCUUAGCAGCGCCAAUAGCUCCUGCCCACCACCAGCUCAUUUUUUUUUUUGGUGAGUUUGGUUUCUGAUUCUAGCUAUACAUAGGAUACUCCUGUGCAAGAGUAGGCCACGGAUAUGCACGAUUUUUCUGCAUUUAUGUUGAUAAAUUUUAACAUGAUUAAGAAAUAAGUUAAAAUGACAUGACACUAUAAAUAUCUGUGUUGCAUCCGUGUUGAACUAUUUCAACACAAUUACGUCUUUAAUUAUGACAUGAAUGCUAAUUUUUCAGUUUAUUAUAUUUUAUAUUUUGGCUGAGUUAUUAUAUAUUAAUUAUUGCCCUAUAAUGAUUUAAAUUUAGAAUUGGUUUAUAUAAUUAAAUUUUCAUAUCUUGGAUUAGUUUGAGUUUUUAUGUCAUUUAUUUUUUUAAUCAAAUAAUUUAUUUUUAUUUUAUUUGUUAAAAGUUAAAUUAUGAUAGUAUUUCUAUUGAUAAUCAGGUUGUUAAUCGUGUAGUCAUAUCAUAAUCGUGUCAAAUAGUAAUAUGUGAUACUCAUCAUGUCAUGUCACCCAUUUAUGAAGUGGGUUGUAUCGUGUUUGAAUUUUUUGAUACAAUUAUUAAACAUGUAGGAUCUGUAUUUACUAAAAUUAACAUGAAACAAUUACAACACAACAAAAAUACGAUUCAGCUACACGAAUUGCCACUUUAGAAGGUAAUUAAGUGUUCAGUUCGAGUUAGAUUAUGUGAUCAAUACUGAAAGAUCGAAUAUGUUUAGGUGUGGUAAAAUGAGGCUCCAGAUAAGGUCCAAGCUUCGUACAUAUCAUUGUCAGACAAUUGGUGCUCGCAGAUUUAGAAGUUGUUACUCAUUUAAUGUGUUUCACUUCUAUAAGGGUCUAAUAUUGAGGCAUUUCGUUAUCGGAUGCUGUAAAACUUCAAAUUAACACAACAUGCAUAUGUGGUCCCAUUAUUGUGAAAAUGUCAAAAUUAUCCUCCAAUUACAAAUCUCAGUCAUUUAAUUUGCUCACAAGAACUUAGUACAAGUGCUUGUGAAACUUGAUAUACGAAUAAAUGAAUAUUUCCUUUCCUUAAUUUUAGGAAAUAGCUGAACUUGUUCUAUGAAUGAAUAGAAUAUUUUUUUCUCAUUGAUUAAUCCUUGUGAAUAUUUACGUGGGUUAUUUGAAUGAGCAAUUUUUUUUCUCUAUAAAUAUACCAUUAUGAAAACAUUUUGGCCCUUGUGUAAAAUAUGAAAAUCCUAGAAGAAAAAUGUGAAUAAAAUAAUUCUAACGUAAUUUAUACUCACCAAGAAGGUGAGAUAGAAAAAGAAAAAGCGUCUGAAGUUUCAAUUUUGUUAGUGGUUUGAUGAAUCUCUACUCUCACCUUGUUAGGUAAUUAAUAGUAAAACAAAUUAAUACUUAAAUGAUGAGAUAUGGAUAAACGAAUUUAUGAUUUAUGGUACAGAUGGGGUGAAAAAUGGUCUUUGUUGACACCAUUUUGGUGUUAGCAACAUGUUUUGCUGGCAUCGAGUUUUAUUAUAUGCAUAGCCCGAGUCAAUGUCACACUAAAAUUAGAAAACAGCAUCAGCAAUUUACGUUACUAUGGCAUAUAUGAAAACCAUUUUGACUCCACGACAUCACGUACAUAAUGAUUUUAGGGCGUGUUUGGUAUCCCGCACAACAUAGUAUUAAAACACUGUUUCGCAUUAACUUAAUACUAACUCAUGUUUGGCGUUAAAUUCAACUGGCGUGGUAUUGCAUUAACUUGGGAAACUAAUGCGGUCAGAUCCGCAUAAACCAAACCCGAGGGGGGGUUCGGGUUUACGCCGCAUCGUAUUAGAGCAAAUCAAGAAAAUAAAAUUGAGAAAAUUUUACAGCAUGUUCACGAUGAAAUUCAUAUCACCCAAUCUAGUACCACCAAAUCGACUUGGCAAUCAUCGCUCGACGCCAUCACCGACGCUUUUACACUGCCGCGCGACACCAUAGCCAUUGCUCCAUGAAGACACCUUCACUGUGGAGAAGAUAAAGCUCAGAGAAGAAGAAGAAAGAAGGAGAAAAAGAGGAAAAGAAAAAGGGAAAACAAAUUGAAGAAGACAAAGAAAAUAGAAGAAAAGGAGGAAAAAAAAGAAAAUGAAAUGAAGACGAAGAUAAAGCCCAGAGAAGAAGAAGAAAGAAGGAGAAAAAGAGGAAAAGAAAAAAGGAAAACAAAUUGAAGAAGACAAAGAAAAUAGAAGAAAAGGAGGAAAAAAGAAAAUGAAAUGAAGACGAAGAAAGAGAAAAAGAGAACAAAAAUGAACGAAGAACAAAAAGAUCUGGAGAAGACAAAGGUAGGAGAAAGAGUAAGCAGAUAAUGAUACAUUGAAAAGCAUUACCUAAAGAAAAAAAAAGGAGAGGGAGGAAAUUAAAAUAAAUAAAUAAAACGUUAAUAACUAUUAUUUUCUAAAUAUAUAUCAUUUAAAUUAAUUAAAAAAAAUUAAUACAGUGAAGUACCAAACACAAUAUAAUUAAAAAUUAUAAAUAUUAUUUUAUAAUUUAUAUAAUAUAAAUUAAUCACAAAAAAUUAAUACAGUACAGUGUAACACCAAACAUAGUAUAACUAAAAAUUAAUACAGUACAGUGCAACACCAAACAUUGUACAACAUUAUUAUAAUACAGUGCUAAUGCAAUACAACAUAAUACAAUACAGCAGUAUAAAAAUAAUGCAAUACAGCAUAAUACAAUACAGUGUGUCAAACGCACCCUACGGUAUCAAAGGAAUUCUGAUUUUAUGAUAUCAAUGGAUUGAUGAUUCCAUGGUAUCAAAGAAAUUAUAGUUCUGUGGCAUAAACAUUUAUUUGAGAAAAAUAAAAAAUAAUGCAAAACAGAAAUUACAAAUUUACAAUUGUAAUUUGAUUUUUAGUCUCCAUUGAACAAUAUGAAAGAGAAUUACAUUGUUUAUAUGUACUCAAAGUGCCAUAAACAUCCAACAAAAGAGAUACAUAGUCUUAUUUAAAAGUAUAAUCUAACAACAUUAACAAUUUAAUCAAUUAUGCUAAAGUUCAUAAAAUAAUCAAUGAAAAAAUCCAUAAACUUUCUUCAAAAUCUAACAGCAGCAACAUACUUGAGAAGUCAGCAGCAUCUUUAAUAACUAACAACCAAAUUUAACCAUCACAAGCAAAUCAACACAGCACAUUCCUGAGAAGUAAUAGAGGAAUAAAAAGGCAAUUAUACAUCAUCGUUCCCAGCAAAAGCCAUAGAAUAAAGGCAGCCAUAUAGUUCCCCAAAUAGAGUAACAUCAACCAAAACAAGACAAAACACAUCUCUUUUUAACAAUCUACAACUCUUCCUUGACAAAACCUAUCAAACUGAAAGAAAAAAAUAAUUUAAUGUGGAAAAUAGCACCACCUUUUUUAGAAGGUGGUGCCCACCACUUUUCCCUGUUUUGAAUGCGGUUGUUGCUGCAUUCUUUGAAUCAACAAAAAUAAAAAGAAGAAGGAUUUGGUGCCGACCAAAAAAAAAAAAGAGAGAAGAAAAAAGAGAUGCCGGGCCGAAGAAGGAAAAGAAAAAAAAAAUUAAAUAAUUGAUGAAUAGUGCCAAAACUUGCUCUAUAAAUAGAAACGAAGAGAAUGAGCAAAUUCAUUCCAUUGAGAGAGAAGCAUUUCUUUCUUUUAGAGUUGAGAGUAUUAAGAGUUUAAUAAACUCUUGAGUGAUUAGUGUUCUGAGAGUUUGAGUGGAUUGAGAUUUUGGGAAAUGAGCUAAAGUACUACAAUACUUGUAACUCCUUUUCACUAGUAAAAUAUUUCCUUCUGUUUUCGCCCGUGGACGUAGGCUAAAAGUCGAACCACGUAAUUUCUAGUGUCCAUUUUUGUGCUUGUUCUUUAUUUUUCUUCCAAUUUUACUUUAGCUGCGUGUCUGCUUCACCCAUCAAUUUCCUAACAGUGGUAUCAGAGCUAUUAGUUGUAUUUUUGGAGUUGGGUACUAUUCACGUAAGGGUACUAUUCACAUAUACGGUAUUGUUCACGUAUACGAUACUAUUCACGUAUAUGGUAUUGUUCACGUAUACGGUACUAUUCACGUGAAACGGUGGGAGCGAUUCAAGAAUUUGGCGGUACAAAAGAAGGGAAUAGUGGUGUAAGUAAAGCAACUGUGUGAUUUUGUACAUGUCUAGGAAAGUUCUGUCACAAAGGCGAUAAGAGCUUAAGGAGUUUGGGUUUUAAGUGAGACCAUUGUGACCCCUCCAAUCUUUCCUGGGAACUUUCCUGGUGUGCAUUCACACACAUACUCACAACUAUUCAAGGUGGUACACUAGCUUGUGUGCAGUAUUUAUCAACAAAAUGGCGGCAAAGUAUGAAAUUAAGAAAUUUAACAGAAACAAUUUUUCGUUGUGGAAAAUGAAGAUGAAAGCUGUAUUGAGGAAAAAUAAUUGUUUGGCAGCAAUUGGAGAAAGGCCCAUGGAGAUAACUAAUGACAAGUGGAACGAGGUAGAUGGUAACGUCAUUUCUGAUCUACACUUGACACUUACAGACGGAGUAUUAUCCAGUGUGGCAAAGAAAAAUACAGCGAAGGAAAUAUGAGAUACUCUCACAAAAUUGUACGAGGCCAAGUCACUACACAACAAAAUCUUCUUGAAGAGGAAACUUUAUACUCUUCGGAUGGCGGAAUCUACAAUGGUGACCGACCACAUCAACACCUUAAAGACUCUAUUUUCACAACUCACAAUGUUGGGUCAUAAUAUAGAGGAAAAUCAAAAUGCAGAGCUUCUACUUUAAAGUCUACCAGAUUCGUAUGAUCAACUCAUCAUCAACCUGAUGAACAACAAUCCAGUGGACAGUCUAGUUUUCGACGAUGUUGCAGCCUCCGUAUUAAAUGAGGAGAGCAGGCGGAAAAAUAAGGAAAACAAACAAGUAAGUUCGCAGCAAGCGGAGGCACUAUCGGUGACGAGAGGGAGAACAACGGAACGUAGCCUCAGUGGGAGUCAAAAUCACGGUAGAUCAAAAUCCAGAAGUAAGAAGAAUGUUAAAUGCUACAACUGUGGCAAGAAAGGGCACGUCAAAAAAGAGUGUUAGAGUAACCAGAAGAGAAGAGAGGGCAAAGAACCUGAGUCAUCAAAUGCUCAGGGUUGUGUAGCAAGUACCUCGGAUGAUGGCGAAAUUCUUUACAGCGAGGCAACAACUGUUUCAGAAGGCAGAAAAAUGACUAUCUGAUGUCUGGCUUAUAGACUUAGGAGCUACCUGGCACAUGACCUCUCGGAGAGAAUGGUUCCACACAUAUGAACCUAUCUCAGAAGGAUCUGUAUAUAUGGGUAAUGAUCAUGCCUUGGAGAUCGCUGGUAUUGGUACUAUCAAAAUAAAAAUAUUUGAUGGUACAAUUCGCACAAUUGGGGAAGUACGACAUGUCAACGACCUAAAGAAAAAUCUAUUGUCUUUGGGACAAAUGGGUAGUCAUGGGUAUAAAACUCAUGUGGAGAAUGGAAUUAUGAAGAUCGUUAAAGGCGCGCUUGUAUUGAUGAAGGCAGAAAAGAUCGGUGCUAAUUUAUUCAUACUUAAAGGAGAAACACUACAGGAGGCUGAUGCGUGUGUCGCAUCAAAUGGAGAAGAGUCAACGAUGAUGUGGCAUCUCAAACUUGGCCACAUGUCAGAACAAGGUUUGAAGAUUCUCUCUGAGCGAAAAUUGCUUCCGGGGCUCAAAUCGGUAAGUUUACCAUUUUGCGAGCAUUGUGUUACAAGUAAGCAGCAUAGAUUAAAAUUCAGUAGAUCUAUUGCUCGAAGUAAAUGCAUUCUAGACUUGAUUCAUUCUGAUGUUUAGGAAUCACCGGAUAUAUCCAUUGGAGGUGCAAAAUACAUGGUGACUUUCAUUGAUGAUUCUAGAAGAUGUUGGGUGUAUCCAAUUAAGAAAAGUCAUAUGUAUUUCCAAUAUUUAAAGAAUACAAAGCGCGAGUGGAACUUGAAUCUGGUAAAAAGAUCAAGUGCUUGAGGAUAGAUAAUGGUGGAGAGUAUACAGACGGCAAGUUUCUUGCUUUAUGUAAGCAAGAAGGUAUUUAGAGACAGUUUACGGUGGCAUACACUCCUCAACAAAAUGGAGUGGCAGAGCGGAUGAAUAGAACUCUUACAGAACCGAUAAGAGUUAUGUUGAGGACUGCUGGUUUACCCAAUUCAUUCUGGGCAGAAGCAGCCAAAACUGCCUGUUAUAUAGUAAAUCGAUCGCCAUCUACAGCUAUUGGGCUGAAGACAGCGAUGGAGAUGUGGAUUGGAAAGCCAGCUGAUUAUUCCUACCUACAUGCAUCUGGAUGUCUUGUGUACGUGGUGUACAAUGCCCAAGAAAGAACAAAGCUGGAUCCAAAAUCUAAAAGAUGUAUCUUCUUGGGAUAUGCUGAUGGAGUAAAGGGGUAUCGUCUGUGGGACCCCACUGCCCACAAGAUCGUCAUCAGCAGAGAUGUUAUCUUUAUAGAAGAUCAACUGCAAAGGAGAGAUGAAAAUGAUAACAGUGUAAAAGAAAAGUCAGAGACUAUACCGGUAUAUGUGGAAAAUAAUCCAGAAGAUUCAGAUUCUUCUGAAGCAACACCAGAGCACGAGGAACAAGAACCAGUUGAGUCCGAGGCUCCAGAAGUUCGUCGGUCAACUCGUGAGAGACGACCGCCAACGUGGCACUCGGAGUAUGUCACAGAGAUCAACGUUGCAUACUGUCUUCUAACAGAGGAUGGAGAGCCUUCAACUUUCUAUGAAGCUUUAAACAGCUCAGAUGUUGCUUUGUGGAUGACAGCAGUGCAGGAAGAAAUUGAAGCUCUACACAAGAGCAAGACAUGGGAACUUGUACCACUACCACACGGAAGAAAAGCCAUUGGAAACAAAUGGGUCUACAAGAUCAAGCGUAAUGGCAAUGACCAAGUGAAGCAGUUUCGUGCAAGAUUGGUAGUGAAAGGAUAUGCUCAGAAAGAAGGUAUUGACUUCAAUGAGAUAUUUUCGCCGGUGGUUUAACUCACAACAGUCAGAAUAGUCUUGGCAAUGUGUGCUACAUUUGACCUACAUCUAGAGCAGUUAGAUGUGAAAACUGCAUUUCUUCAUGGAGAACUUAAAGAAGAAAUAUAUAUGCUCCAACCAGAAGGUUUUGCAGAAACAUGAAAGGAAAACUUGGUUUGCAGGUUGAACAAAUCUCUAUACGGUCUCAAACAGGUGCCGAGGUGUUGGUAUAAGAGAUUUGAUUCCUUCAUCAUGAGCCUUGGAUACAAUAAACUAAGUUCAGACCAUUGUGUAUAUUACAAAAGGUUUGAAGAUAAUGAUUUCAUUAUUUUGCUGUUGUACAUGGAUGACAUGUUGGUAGCAGGCCCCAACAAAGAUCGAGUCCAAGAAUUGAAGGCACAGUUGGCUAGGGAGUUUGAAAUGAAGGACUUGGGACCAACAAACAAGAUUCUAGGGAUGAAAAUUCACCGAGACAGAAAUAACAGGAAGAUUUGGCUUUCGCAGAAGAAUUACUUGAAGAAAAUCUUGCGGCGCUUCAAUAUGCAAGAUUGUAAGUCAAUUUCUACCCCACUUCCUAUUAAUUUCAAAUUAUCCUCAAGUAUGUGUCCUAGCAAUGAAGCAGAGAGGAAGGAGAUGUCUCGAGUACCAUAUGCAUCAACAGUGGGAAAUUUAAUGUUCGCUAUGAUAUGUACUAGACCAGACAUUGCACAAGCAGUGGGAGCAAUCAGUCGAUACAUGGCGAAUCCUGGUGGAGAGCAUUGGAUAGUUGUGAAGAGGAUUCUGAGAUAUAUCAGAGGAACCUCAGAUAUUGCAUUAUAUUAUGGAGGAUCAGAGUUUACUGUCAGGGGCUAUGUGGAUUCAGAUUUUGCAGGAGACCUUGAUAAAAGGAAAUCCACUACUGGUUAUGUGUUUACACUUGCGGGAGCAGCUGUAAGCUGGGUUUCGAAACUGCAGAAUGUUGUGGCUUUAUCUACAAUAGAAGCAGAAUACAUGGCAGCUACACAAGCUUGCAAGGAAGCUAUUUGGAUACAAAGAUUAUUGGAGGAGCUCGGGCACAAACAAAAGAAAAUUUUUGUGUUUUGUGAUAGUCAUAGUGCCUUGCACAUUGCAAGGAAUCCAGCUUUUCAUUCCAGGACAAAGCACAUAGGAGUUCAGUAUCACUUCGUUCGAGAAGUAGUGGAAGACGGAAGUGUGGAUUUACAGAAAAUCCAUACCAAGGAGAACCUAGCAGAUGUUUUGACUAAGCUGAUCAAUGUUGACAAGUUUAUCUGGAGUAGAUCCUCUUGUGGCCUAGCAGAAACGUAGGCAGCAUGAUUAUGGCGAAGCAGAAAGGAUGGUGUAGAGAUUGAUUGUUUUUCAAUCUAAUCUCCAAGUGGGAGAAUGUGGAAAAUAGCACCACCUUUCCUAGAAGGUGGUGCCCACCACUUUUCCCUGUUUUGAAUGCGGUUGUUGCACUCUUUGAAUCAACAAAAACAAAAAGAAGAAGGAUUUGGUGCCGACCAAAGAAAAAAAAAAGAGAGAAGAAAAAAGAGAUGCCGGGCCGAAGAAGGAAAAGAAAAAAAUAAUAAUUAAAUAAUUGAUGAAUAGUGCCAAAACUUGCUCUAUAAAUAGAAACGAAGAGAAUGAGCAAAUUCAUUCCAUUGAGAGAGAAGCAUUUCUUUCUUUUAGAGUUGAGAGUAUUAAGAGUUUAAUAAACUCUUGAGUGAUUAGUGUUCUGAGAGUUUGGGUGUAUUGGGAUUUUGGGAAAUGAGCUAAAAUACUACAAUACUUGUAACUCCUUUUCACUAGUAAAAUGUUUCCUUCUGUUUUCGCCCGUGGACAUAGGCUAAAAGCCGAACCACAUAAUUUUUAGUGUCCAUUUUUGUGCUUGUUCUUUAUUUUUCUUCCAAUUUUACUUUAGCUGCGUGUCUGCUUCACCUAUCAAUUUCCUAACAUUUAAAACAAUGCUUAAAAACAAAUUAUCAUAUUCAUAUAAAACUAGUUUUGGCUCUUUAAACCAUUAAACAUGAGCUUCCUGAAUAGCAAAGCAUAUCAGUAAAACUAUAAAAAAAGAAAAAGAAAAAUUAAAACACUUGGAGUAGAAUAAAGUACAUCAGUGGCCUUAUCUAACAACUAGUUAGUACACUUGCGGAAUAAAUGGUUGGUAAAGUCGAAGAGUUUAUGAAGUAUAACAAACAAGUACGUUUAUCAAAUUUAGAGAUGAUUUAAAAUUUAAUAUUGUUUAUCUCAACUUCCCUGAAUGUCUGGGUACUCAUAUGAAUAAUUUAAAAUAAAUCAAGCACUAGAGACAAACUUUAAUGUUGUCAUCAAUGGUGCACUUUCCUUUGUAAGCAUACGUUGACAUUUUAAAGCAAAAUAUUCUGAUCCAUCCGUAAUGUAUAAGAGCUUUGCCAUUUGAAUAUACGACAUUGCAAUUUUAACAUGUAAUUUAGCAGAUAAUAGUCACGUAUGGACCUGUCCUAAUAUCCAAAUAAGAUUGAAAAACUAAAUUGUAGAUCAAACACAUAAAAGUUGAUCAUCUAUCCUUUCAAUAUUUAUUUUUAAUAAAAUCAACUUCCAACUUGUAGGCUUGAAUAAAACAAGUGAUAACCUGAAUUCCCAAAAGAGAGAGUUAGGCAAUUGUACAUUAUUUAUGCCUUGGAGUCUUUUUGUUAAACACAUGAUGUGUUAACAUGAAAUGAACACCUUAAUCAUUUCAAACAACCAAAUUAAGUACAUGAUGGCUCUAGUGGAAAAGGUACAGAAUGCGAAAUUACAAAAUGUAAUUAUAACAUUAUUGAAAAAUUUUAGUGAGUCAACAAUUGAAAGUAUAUUGAUCAAAUUGUAAUAGAACAUAAAUUCAUAUAAGUAAACAACAAGUAAAAGUUAGUAAACAGGCUGCAGUAAAUCGUUGGAGCAGCAAUAAAAUAAACAAUAGAAAAGAAAAUGAAAAACAUAAAGUUUAGAAAAAUCCCGAGGCCUGUUAAACAACAGUCUCCUUAAAACAGAUUUACCACUAUUACGGUGCUUUUAGGUUUAUUGGUAUCUGUUUCUCAGGAUACAACGGGAACAAAUUAUUCGUCAAGCACGCACAAAUAAUUUUGGCAAACAGUAACAAUGCAGAAUCUCGAUCAAAACAGAACGUCAGAGGAGGAAAAUUUUUUUUUUCAAGUGCUCUGUGUGUUUGUUGUGUAUAAAAGAGAAAAUGAAGACUCGCUUUUAUAUACAUGAGGGUAUGUAAUUGUUGAAUAAUAAAAUUGAAUAUUUGAAUUUAAUAUUUGAUUUAAUUUGCUUCUGUAACAGCCCAUUUGAAUUAAAAAUAUUCAAUUUUGUAACAGUUCAAAAUUUAUUCACAAAUCAAAACUGCUUUUGAUUUUUAAUUGUGCAAAACUGUUACAAAAUUUAAAAGGAAAGGAAAUAAAAAAACGUGGCCAUGCAGGCCUGGAUGAUUUUGGGCCGACAUUUGUGUAUGCAGGACGUGUGGACAUACACGAGUUCAACCAAAUUGGGCUUGGAUUUGCACCCCCCUGCACACGCGCGAACGGAGAGAGUCUCUAUCUUUAAAAUUCUUACUCAUGUAUGGAUGAUUAUCUAUAUAUAAACACAAAUCAUUUAGCUUAUUUUUCCCUCAUGGGAUAAGUUUCCAUUUCCUUUCAAAUUUCCAACUACAAAAGUGCACUUUGAGAGUCAAUUUCUCAUUCACCUAAGCAUCAUUUUUAGUAUAUAAAUAUACCAUUUCGAAGUGUUCACAGAGUAGAAUCCGAACCUCUCCAGAUUUUCAACUUUCGCUAAGUGGGUCCCACUCAAAAUGUGCCCUUAAAAUAGCUUCCUAAUAUGUUAUUUUUUCAACAAUCCCCCACAUGAAUGAAAAUUGGCAGUAAAACAAAAAACCGCUAAAUUUGACAUCAAAACCACUUUUGACCUUAAUGAUUGAUAACUCUAUGAAAUGAGAGUUAUUAUGGCAAUUUUAGACUUAAAUCAAGAUCACUUAGAGAGUAAAUGAUGUGUUUUUAUUGCAUUUUUGUUACAUUUUGCAUAAACAUUCAUUUUAGUUUAGUCUUAAUAAGUUUUGCUUGAUUUAAAGUAAUUCGUGCUCAAAUUGUGUGCAUAAUUGUAGGUUUCAGAAGCUUAUAAUUCAUGGAAGGAAUGUCGAUGCAAUAGGUUGGCAAAAAGGAGGAAGAACAUGACUAUAAAAGAAUUGAAACAAAUCUGGAACAGUACAGUUGUUGUAGCAACCAUUGCUGUAGCCGUUGUUGUAGCAAUCCUGGAACAACGACAGAGAAAAUUCCACGCGGGAUACUUGCAGAAUUGCGAUCUGCAGUUUCCUAAUCUGACUUAUGCGCACCUUAGGCUUCCGUUUACCCUAAUUUUCAGUUAUAAAAGAAGCACACAUCAUAAGGAAUAGAGAGAGCCGUCACCCAAGGAGAAAAACACAAAGAAACAAAAGAAAAACAAGAUUCAAGAGAGAGAUUAAGGGCUGCACAAGAGGAGAAUUUGCAUAAAUCAAUUGGGAGCUCAAUCAUUCUUAUUCUUCUAUUGCUUUCUCGUUUUCUAUUUAUUUAUGGGGAUGUGUUUCAUGGCUGAAACUUUGUUCUUUAUUUUUCUUUUAUAAACCAUGAACUAAAUUUAUUUGUGGUUGAGUGAUAAACAAUUUUGAUAGUUUAUUGACUGAAUAUAUGUGUUGCUGCAUGUUUGCUGUAGCAGUUUGUUUUGAUAGUAUUUAUUUUUAUUCGUUAUUUCGGUUGAUCACCCAUUUAAUGAUACAAGUUAUGAGAGAGCCGCAAAAAGGCCUAUCUUAGUGUAACAUAUCAGAACAAUACUUGAUCUUAAAUUGAGUUUCCCGGAUUAAGUUUUACUUGAGUCCCAAAAGGGCCAUGCUUGAUUUAAGAUUAGUGAUGAACUAGACAUAAGGAUUCACCUUGUAGGGUAAAUAGAACCUAAGCGUGUAAUGCUAUGUCUUAUGUUGGCAUAGCAACUGAUCAUUGUUAGGUUGCAUAUAGAUAUAAGAUAUCCAACAUGCGACGGCUAAGGAUACAUAAGAAUUCUGCCUAAAAUGUUGUAGCAACCGAAUCAAACAUUAGAAAAAUAGUCAAGACCAUUAAGAAAGUUUAUUCACUCAACUACUUUAUAAUCCCAUUGAUUUUAUCCUUGAGAUUGAAGUGAUAAUUUACUUUGUUGCAUUUUAUUUAUUGCGUUUUUAUUUUAAUUAGUAUAUUAGUUUCAUCAAUUGUUUAUCUUAAUUUAGACACAAAAUCUGCACUGUUACGAUUGCUGUAGCAAAUCUGAUAACAUUAAUCCCUGUGGAGACGAUCUUGAAUACUCAUCACUUUAUUACUUGUUGUGUACACUUGCACAUUGACACCAAUAGCAUUAGUAUUUAUACACCAACAAUGAUCGAGUUCACUGAAUCGAAAUCUUGCAUAGGAUAGGUAGGUCUCAUCCUUUGAACCUUCCCUUGUGAUAGUAUAUUUACUUUACUAGCUAAUCAGUAGAUGCGAUGUCUUUGAACUGUUAUGCCGUUUGUGUAAACGAUGAUAUACUACACACGGAUAUCGCUCUUAACAUUGUUGAGUUCUAAUGGUUAUGUUCGUUUUGGCCUUGAACAUCUACCUAGUUCUACAAGAGUUUCUAAGAAUUGAACCCUUAUCAGUUCCUUUUUAAGCGACCCUACUUCUCUCUCACAUAUCUUAAUUAAGAGUAACCCGCAUUACUCCAUUUGGAUUUCUGACGUAUAAGAAUCAUUAAGAGCCUAGCUUAACCUUUCCCAUGCGAGCAUCAUUGUUUCAUCGUAGAAAUGGUCAAAGAGGUAACCCUCACAAGAAUAUGACCCCCACAGUGAUCCAACUUUAGUCUUUAAUAAUUAGGUUGUCCUUUGAACCUAGAUCUUGGGAUCUCCAGUCAACUAAGUUGCGUAUUCCUUCGUUAUUGACUUAUCAUUCUAAGGGUUUUAGUCCCAUUCCCCUCAAGGAUUUUUCUACUAGCUCUUGUUUUAAUCCUUUGGUUAGUGGAUCCGCGAUGUUAUCCUUUGACCUUCCAUAGUCAAUAGCAAUAACUCCAGUAGAAAUAAGUUGUUUAAUGGUAUUAUGUCUACGACGUAUGUGUCUAGACUUACCAUUAUACAUGUUGCUUUGUGCCUUACUAAUAGUUGAUUGACUAUCGCAAUUAAUACAAAUUGUAGGCACAUGCUUUGGCCACUUUGGAAUACCCUCUAAAACAUUUUGUAGCCAUUAUGCUUCUCACCAUAUUUAUCUAAUGUAAUAAAUUCAUAUUCCAUUGUAGAUCUGGCAAUUAUUAUCUGUUUAGAAGACCUCCACGAUACAACUGCACUUGCUAGUGUAAACACAUACCUACUAGUGGGUUUUGAGUCUUUUAUAUAUGAGAUCUAGUUAGCAUCACUAUACCUAUCUAAUAUGCUGGAUACCUAGUAUAAUGAAGUCCAUAGUUAUGAGUGUAUCGAAGAUACCUGAGUACUCUUAUGAUAACUUUUCAAUUAUCAGCUCCUAGAUUACUCGUAUAUCUGCUAAGUUUACUUAUUGUAUAGGCUAAGUCUAGUCUAGUACAGUUGUUGGUGUAUAAAUACUAAUACUAUUGGUGUCAAUGUGCAAGUGUACACAACAAGUAAUAAAGUGAUGAGUAUUCAAGAUCGAUGCCACAGGGAUUGAUGUUAUCAGAUUUGCUACAACAAUCUUAACAGUGUAGAUUUUGUGCUAAAAUAAAAUAAACAAUUAAUGAAACUAAUUUACUAAUUAAAAUAAAAACACAAUAAAUAAAAUGCAACAAAGUAAAUUAUCACGUCAAUCUCAAGGAUAAAACAAUGAGAAUAUAGAGUAGUUAGUGAAUAAACUCUCUUAAUGGUCUUGACUAUUUUCUAAUGGUUGGCUCGGUUGCUGCAGUAUUUGCUACAGCACUGGGCAGAAUCCUUAUGUAUCAUCAGCCGUCGCAUGUUGGAUAUCUUAUAUCUAUAUAUAACCUAACAGUGAUUAGUUGCUAUGCCAACAUAAGAUAUAGCAUUACACGCUUAGGUUCUAUUUACCCUACAAGGUGAAUCCUUAUGUCUAGUUCAUCACUAAUCUUAAAUCAAGCAUGGCCUUUUUGGGACUCAAGUAAAACUCAAUCCGGGAAACUCAAUUUAAGAUCAAGUAUUGCUUUGAUAUGUUCCACUAAGAUAUGCCCUUUUGCGGCUCUCCCCUAACUAGUAUCAUUAAAUGGGUGAUCAACCAAAAUAAUGAAUAAAAAUAAAUACUAUCAAAACAAACUGUUACAACAAACAUUCAGCAACACAUAUAUUCAGUCAAUAAACCAUCAAGAUUGUUUAUCACUCAACCACAAAUAAAUUUAGUUCAUGGUUUGUAAAAGAAAAAUAAAGAACAAAGUUUCAGCCAUGAAAUACAUCCCCAUAAAUAAAUAGAAAACGAGAAAGCAAGAGAAGAAUAAGAAUGAUUGAGCUCCCAAUUGGUUUAUGCAAAUUCUCCUCUUGUGCAGCCCUUAAUCUCUCUCUUUAAUCUUGUUUUUCUUUUGUUUCUUUGUGUUUUUUUCCUUGGGUGACGGCCCCCUUUUUUCCUUAUGAUGUGUGCUUCUUUCAUAGUUGAAAAUUAGGGAAAACGGAACCCUAGGGCGCGCAUAAGUCAGAUUAGGAAACUGCAGAUCGCAAUUCUGCAGUUAUCCCGCAUAGAAUUAUCUUUGUCGUUGUUCCAAGAUUGCUCCAGCAAUGGUUGCUACAGCAACUGCACUGUUCCAGAUUUGUUUCAACUCUUUUGUAGCCAUGUUCUUCCGCCUUUUUGCCAGCCUAUUGCAUCAACAUUCCUUCCAUGAAUUAUAAGCUUCUGGAAACCUACAAUUAUGCACAAUUUGAGCACGGACUAAACUAAAAUGAAUGUUUAUGUCAAAUGUAACAAAAAUGCAAUAAAAACACAUCAUUUACUCUCUAAGUGAUCUUGAUUUAAGUCUAGAAUUGCCAUAAUAACUCUCAUUUCAUAGAGUUAUCACACCCCCAAACUUAAAUCGUUACUUGUCCUCAAGUAAUGACAACAACACUCACUCUGUAAUCACACAAUCAUGCAACAAAUAACUUAACUAUGUCAUCAAAUUUGCAAGGAUUCUUCCACCCUCAAAUCACACUCUUAAUCAUACAAAAUUGCCAUAGUAGUUCAGUUCUAGACGUAGGCUUCAUUCUGUCCAAAGUGUGUAUGUGCCACUUUGAUCAAAUUCUAGAGGUGCUACAACAUGGCACAAACUUUGUAUACAAUUCAGAGGUAGAACACAAAUAUAUUCACAUAUGGGGGAGCAGAACUCACAAUUAUAUUCAAACUGUGCUACAACAAUAAUAAUUUUUUUUUUCAGUUAAACCCUUCAAUGCAACAUUAAGCUUUCAUGUGAAUGCCUAUCACUUGUAAUGACGACACCCAAUUACUCAUUCAAAGUACAUGUCAGAGUUGCUACAGCAACGCAUUCAGGAUGUUAUAUUUAGGUCAUACCUGUGGACACCUUUGACUCAAGGCUGAAUAUGGGGCUCAUGAACAGACCAAGUUACUCAGUAUUCUAGGUAGCAGACCUCUUUAUAAUCAUUUUUUUUCUUUUCUUCUUUUUUUUUUAUAAUUGCUGCAGCACUGCCCGUAGCUCAUGUUGCCUUUAGACUCAAGUUUGCAUAUGGGGUGCAUACUCAACCCUGGUUACUCAGCAACUUAAACUAUUGGAGCAGAAUUUAUUUCAUAACAGGCACAGUCCAACAAAAAUUUUUCCCCAAACUUGAGAUAUUUUAUACUCUUUUUUUUUUCUGGCUCUGCUACAGCAUUCUCAUAAAACUCAACCAAAGUCUAAGUGUCGGGACAGAAGUUCAACCUUCAUCUAUAACUAUUUUUACUUGGCUUUCUCAUAAAUACUGAAUAACACUCAAUUUAUCUUCAUUAGGUUUUCAAAUCCAUACACAAAUAUUAGAUAACAGAGCUUUACACAACACAAGCAUAAACAUAUGCACUCAGAAACACAACCCCCCCAAACUUGAGUGGUGUUGUGUCCUCACAAGCACACAAAAUAAAACCACAUAAACUAGACAUGCAUACACUAAAUAAAAGGACAUGCAGAAUGAAUUAGAAAAUUAAAACUAAAUGAAAGAAAAUUUUUGCAGCAAGAAGUAAAAUAAACUAGCGGUUAGGGGUACUGCUAUGUUGCUAGAAGCACUGUUGCAGCACAGGCCAUAAAGGGGUCACUUCUUCUUUGAUCCACUUCUCAAACACUCAUCAUAAAAUUUGAUCAAUCUAUUUGCUGCUGGAAAAGCAAGAAAUGCCUCUGUUGUUUGAGAAUCUUCUGUUAUAUGUCAUGUUGUAAGUGAUGCUGCAGCAAUUCCUUCAUGUUCUUUUUGCCCACAUUUUUUUCUUACUGUAAUUUAAUACAAAAACAUAAAAAAAAAAAAUUAGAUGCACACUUAAAAUAACAAAAAGACAAACUAAAUAAUUUAAAAGCUAAAUUCAUGCCUUAAAAACUUGAAACAACUUCCCUUAUUGGGUUGCCUCCCAAUUAGUGCUUGAUUUUAGGUCUUUCAGCCUGACUUUUCUUGUUUGCUCAACCUGGAUCAUUCAAGAACAUAUCCGUCUUUAGGCUGUUCACAUCAUCUCUCAUACAGUGCUUCAUUUUCGACCCAUUAACCUUGAAUUCUUGUUGGUAUGGGGUGAGUUCCCUUUGUUGGAUUUGCUCGUCAAUUCUGAAGGGUUGCUUCUCUCCUGACCAUGUUAUGUUAGCUGCUUCAUGAUCUUCACCAUCAAGUUCUUCCAAUGUUACAGCAUUGAUUGCUUCCUCACUGCAGCAACUGUGUAAUUUCUCUGCUACAACAAAGUCCACAACACUGAUAAAAUUACAAUCUUCAAUCUCAUCGGAACUCUUCAUGGCAUCCAGCACAUUGAAUUUAACUUGCUGGUUAUUCACCCUCAUGGUUAAUUCUCCUUUUUGAACAUUAAUUAAAGUCUUUCCCGUGGCUAAGAAAGGUCUCCCUAGAAUGAUUGGCACUUCUUUGUCUGCCUCAAAGUCUAGCACAAUAAAAUCUACUGGAAAAAUAAAUUUAUCCACCUUCACCAACACAUCUUCAAUCUUACCUUCUGGAUAUACAUGAGAUCUGUCAGCAAGUUGUAAAGUCAUUGUUGUUGGUCUACAUUCACCAACUCCCAAUUGCUUAAACACUGAUAAAGACAUGAGAUUGAUGCUAGCCCCUAAAUCACAAAGUGUUUUGCCACUGUAUUUAGUGCCUAGGGAGCAUGGGAUUAUGAAGCUUCCUGGAUCCUUCAUCUUCUGCGGUAUCUUACUCUGAAGCAUUCGGCUACACUCUCGUGUUAGAGCAACUGUCUCAAAUUCUCCAAGUCUUUUUUUCUUUGUCAAGAUAUCUUUCAAAAAUUUCACAUAAUUUGGCAUUUGCUCUAGAGCUUCCACAAAAGGAAUAUUGAUAUGUAGUUGUUUCAGCACUCCUAAGAUUUUGUUGAACUGCUUAUCUUGUUGCUGCUUCUGAAAUCUUUGAGGGAAGGGUGGUGGGUGUCUAAACUACUGUGCUGCAGCAGGUUGUGCAGGCUACUUCUCUUUUGCUUUACUCGGUUCUGUUGAUGUUAAUGUUGUAACUGCCUCACCGCUAAGUGUUGGAUCAUAACUUUCUGCAAAUGUUGUAGUAGAACUGUGUCGAUUUACAUUUUGAAAAGUGAAAAAUUAUGACUCCUUCUCUACUUGAGUGUCUUCUUUACCUUUGUUGGAAUCAAUUCUCCUUUUUAGUACACCAAUUGAACUAUCAAUAUCUUUUCCAGAUCUCAAGUUAAUCACUUUGCAGUGCUCUUUCCCUUCUCUUCUUGGGUCUUCUGUGUUGCUGGGUAAACUGCCUUGAGGUCUGUUGCUUAAUGCUACAGCAAGCUGUCCAAUUUGAUUUUCCAAGUUUCUCAAAGAUACAGUAUGACUUUGGACAACUGCUUCAUUCUUCACAAUAUAAUCCUUAAUCAAACCUUCAAGGGAGCUGAGUUGAUCAUUGUUGAUGCUUCUUUGCUCUUGAUUUUACUGAUAAAAUCCACUAGGUUGAGCAAGUCUGUUCUGUCCACUGAAUGUUGUAGCAGGUUGAUUCUGAUUACUCCAUGAAAAGUUCAGGUGCUGUCUCCAUCCAGGGUUGUAAGUGUUUGAAUAUGGAUUGUCCUGGUUCUGUCUAUUGAAGCUGCCACAUAAUUGACUGAAAUUGGAUUCCCAGGACAAUUGUCGAAUAAAUGCCCUUCUCCACAAUAAACGCAAGACACAUCAGAAAUUUGGUUAACAGUUGCUGGAGCAAUACUCAUAGCCUUUACCAGCUUUGUUAAUGAAGCUACUUGGGCUGACAAUGCUGUCAAGGCAUCUACUUUAUGAACUCUUGUUGUUCCUCUUGCUGCAGCUUGUCUGGUUGAUGGCCACUGAUAGUUAUUGUUGGAUAUCCUCUCCAAAAUUUCAUAAGCCUCAUUGUAAGACUUAGAUAACAAGGCCCCAUUUGCUGAAGCAUCCACCAUCAAUCUAGUGCUUUGGUUGAGACCAUUAUAGAAAGUUUCCAACUGUAUGCAGCAAGGAAUACCAUGAUGAGGACAUCUCCUGAGUAACUCCUUAAAUCUCUCCCAUGCAUCACACAAGCUCUCAUCUUCAAGUUGAUGGAAAGAUGUGAUCUCGUUCCUCAACUUUGCAUUCUUGGUUGGCGGGAAGUAUUGCAUCAAAAAUUUAUCAGCCAAAUCAUUCUAUGUAGUGAUAGAAUCUAGUGGUAGAGAAUUCAACCAUGCUCUUGCUCGAUCUCUCAAAGAAAACGGGAAAAGUUUGAGUCUCAAUGCUUCCUGCGAUGCUCCAGCAAUCUUGAAAGCAUCACUCACUUUCAGAAAUAACUUAAGGUGUAGAUGAGGAUCUUCGGAUGGCAAACCAUUAAAUUGCCUCACUGUUUGAAGCAUUUGAAACAUCACGGGUUUGAGUUCAAAAUUGUCAGCUUGAACGUCGGGUCUAACUAUUCCCGGAUGUAUGGCUUGAGGAGUCAACACUACGUAGUCUCGAAUGGCUCUAUCUCUAUCGUUCGCCAUGUGAAUAAUGUUGUUGUUCCCUGGUUGCCUUUGAACACAUUGAUCAUUCAGACUUUCAUGUACAUUGACUGGUUGUAUCCCCUCUCAACGGUUCAAGUUUCUCAAAUCUUACAAAUCAUCAAUUGCUACAGCAGCUUGUAAUUCCCGAUGCUCUCUUCUCAAUCUCCUUGCAGUUCUUUCAAUUUCUGGAUCAAACUGGAAGUCAAUAGAUUUAUAUUUGCGCAUGUAAGGGUUGCUAGAUCACCUAUGUCAAUAAAAUAAACAAAUUAAAAUAAAAUAAAAAAUUAGCACCGUUAAAACUAAUUUCACAAAUCACAAUGAACAAUCAAUCCCCGGCAACGGCGCCAAAAACUUGUUGGUGUAUAAAUACUAAUGUUAUUGGUGUCAAUGUGCAAGUGUACACAACAAGUAAUAAAGUUAUGAGUAUUCAAGAACGUCUCCACAGGGAUUGAUGUUAUCAAAUUUGCUACAGCAAUCUUAACAGUGUAGAUUUUGUGCUAAAAUAAAAUAAACAAUUGAUGAAACUAAUUUACUAAUUAAAAUAAAAACACAAUAAAUAAAAUGCAACAAAGUAGAUUAUCACAUCAAACUUAAGGAUAAAAAUAAUGAGAAUAUAGAGUAGUUGAGUGAAUAAACUCUCUUAAUGGUCUUGACUAUUUUCUAAUAGUUAGCUCGGUUGCUACAGUAUUUGCUACAGCACUUGGCAGAUUCCUUAUGUAUCCUCAGCCGUCGCAUGUUGGAUAUUUUAUAUCUAUAUGCAACCUAACAGUGAUCAGUUGCUAUGCCAACAUAAGAUAUAGCAUUACACGCUUAGGUUCUAUAUACCCUAUAAGGUGAAUCCUUAUAUCUAGUUCAUCACUAAUCUUAAAUCAAGCAUGGCCCUUUUGAGACUCAAGUAAAACUCAAUCCGGGAAACUCAAUUUAAGAUCAAGUAUUGCUUUGAUAUGUUCCACUAAGAUAGGCCUUUUUGCGGCUCUCCCCUAACUAGUAUCAUUAAAUAGGUGAUCAACCGAAAUAAUGAAUAAAAAUAAAUACUAUCAAAACAAACUGCUACAGCAAACAUGCAACAACACAUAUAUUCAGUCAAUAAACCAUCAAGAUUGUUUAUCACUCAACCACAAAUAAAUUUAGUUCAUAGUUUGUAAAAGAAAAAUAAAGAACAAAGUUUCAGCCAUGAAACACAUCCCCAUAAAUAAAUAGAAAACGAGAAAGCAAGAGAAGAAUAAGAAUGAUUGAGCUCCCAAUUGAUUUCUGCAAAUUCUCCUCUUGUGCAGCCCUUAAUCUCUCUCUUGAAUCUUGUUUUUCUUUUGUUUCUUUGUGUUUUUUUCCUUGGGUGACGGCCUCCUUUUUUCGUUAUGAUGUGUGCUUCUUUUAUAGUUGAAAAUUAUGAAAAACAGAACCCUAGGGCGCGCAUAAGUCAAAUUAGGAAACUGCAGAUUGCAAUUCUGCAGUUAUCCCGCACAGAAUUAUCUCUGUCAUUGUUCCAAGAUUGCUACAGCAAUGGUUGCUACAGCAAUAGCUACAGCAACUGCACUGUUCCAGAUUUGUUUCAACUCUUUUGUAGCCAUGUUCUUCCUCCUUUUUGCCAGCCUAUUGCAUCAACAUUCCUUCCAUGAAUUAUAAGCUUCUGGAAACCUACAAUUAUGCACACAAUUUGAGCACGAAUUACUUUAAGUCAAGCAAAACUUAUUAAGACUAAACUAAAAUGAAUGUUUAUGCAAAAUGUAACAAAAAUGCAAUAAAAACACAUCAUUUACUCUCUGAGUGAUCUUGAUUUAAGUCUAGAAUUGGCAUAAUAACUCUCAUUUCAUAGAGUUAUCAACAGUUUGUCAAGUACAUUAGGCUGCCUAUCACUCUAGCGUAUUCUACUUUAGAAAUUCCCUCUCCACUAUUUAUAGAUAGAUGUAAACUCGUAUCUAUAACACAAUAGUAUCAUCUUUAUUAACUUUUCUAAGAAUUUUAUCUACAUGAUGAGUUUGGCUUAAAAAAUGUCCAUUAGAAGCCCUUAAGAUUUUAAUCCCCAGAAUGACAUCUGCAAGACUGAUAACUCUAUGAAAUGAGAGUUAUUAUGGCAAUUUUAGACUUAAAUCAAGAUCACUUAGAGAGUAAAUGAUGUGGUUUUAUUGUAUUUUUGUUACAUUUUUCAUAAACAUUCAUUUUAGUUUAGUCUUAAUAAGUUUUACUUGAUUUAAAGUAAUUCGUGCUCAAAUUGUGUGCAUAAUUAUAGGUUUCCAGAAGCUUAUAAUUCAUGAAAGGAAUGCUGAUGCAAUAGGCUGGCAAAAAAGAGGAAGAACAUGUCUAUAAAAGAAUUGAAACAAAUCUGGAACAGUGCAUUUGCUGUAGCCGUUGUUGUAGCCGUUGCUGUAGCAAUCAUUGCUGUAGCAAUCCUGGAACAACGAUAGAGAAAAUUCUGUGCGUGAUACUUGCAGAAUCGCGAUCUGCAGUUUCCUAAUCUGACUUAUGCGCGCCCUAAGCUUCCGUUUACCCUAAUUUUCAACUAUAAAAGAAGCACACAUCAUAAGGAAAAGGGAGAGUCGUCACCCAAGGAGAAAAACACAAAGAAACAAAAGAAAAACAAGAUUCAAGUGAGAAAUUAAAGGCUACACAAGAGGAAAAAUUGCAAAGAUCAAUUGGGAGCUCAAUCCUUCUUAUUCUUCUCUUAUUUUCUCGUUUUCUAUUUAUUUAUGGGGAUGUGUUUCAUGGCUGAAACUUUGUUCUUUAUUUUUCUUUUGCAAACCAUUAUCUAAAUUUAUUUGUGGUUGAGUGAUAAACAAUCUUGAUGGUUUAUUGACUGAAUAUAUGUGUUGCUGCAUGUUUGUUGUACCAGUUUGUUUUGAUAGUAUUUAUUUUUAUUCAUUAUUUCAGUUGAUCACCCAUUUAAUGAUACAAGUUAGGAGAGAGCCGCAAAAGGGCCUAUCUUAGUGGAACAUAUCAAAGCAAUACUUGAUCUUAAAUUGAGUUUCCCGGAUUGAGUUUUACUUGAGUCUCAAAAGGGCCAUGCUUAAUUUAAAAUUAGUAAUGAACUAGACAUAGGGAUUCACCUUGUAGGGUAAAUAGAACCUAAGCGUGUAAUGUUAUAUCUUAUAUUGGCAUAACAAUUUAUCACUGUUAGGUUCCAUAUAGAUAUAAGAUAUCAAACAUGCGACGGCUAAGGAUGCAUAAAGAUUCUGCCUAGUGUUGUAUCAGAUACUGCAGCAACCGAGCCAACCAUUAGAAAAUAGUCAAGACCAUUAGGAGAGUUUAUUCACUCAACUACUUUAUAUUCUCAUUGAUUUUAUCCUUGAGAUUGACGUGAUAAUUUACUUUGUUGCAUUUUAUUUAUUAUGUUUUUAUUUUAAUUAGUAUAUUAGUUUCAUUAAUUGUUUUAUUUUAUUUUAGCACAAAAUCUGUACUAUUAAGAUUACUGUAGUAAAUCUGAUAACAUCAAUCCCUGUGGAGACGAUCUUGAAUACUCAUCACUUUAUUACUUGUUGUGUACACUUGCACAUUAACACCAAUAGCAUUAGUAUUUAUACCCAACAAAGACCCAUGUCUUUCAUGUCAAACUUAGACUUCAACAUAUUCUUGGUAGAUUUAAUCAUGUCAUCAUCACUCCCAACAAUGAGCAUGUUAUCACUCCCAACAAUGAGCAUGUUAUCAACAUAUAAAUAUAAAAUGACAUAGCCAUUUUUUGUUUCUUUGACAUAAACACAUUUGUCACAUCCGUUGAUCUUAAAGCCACUUGUGAUCAUUAUACGAUCAAAUUUUUCAUGCCAUUAUUUUGGUGCUUAUUUCAAGCCAUAUAACGACUUUACCAAUUUGCAGACUUUCUUUUCUUGUCCUGGAGCUAUAAAACCUUCAGGCUACUCCAUGUAGAUUUCUUUAUCUAAAUAUUUAUUUAGAAAAGCUAUCUUUACAUACAUUUGAUGUAUUUCAAGAUUACGCAAAGCUGCAAUCGCUAUUAUCAUCUGAAUGGAAUUUAUGCUCGUAACAGGAGAAUAAGUAUCAAAAUAAUCAAGGCCUUCUCAUUGCCUAUAACCUUUAAUUACAAGUCUAGUCUUGUACUUGAUCCAUCGGCUUUCAUUUUCCUUUUAAAAAUCCAUUUAUACCCUAAAGGUUUACAUCCUGGAGGAGGGUCGACUAGCUCCCAGGUAUACCACAAAGUGCCUUCAGGUGAAGUUAUAGCUUCUUUGAAGCUUUGAGGUUCACUUUCUAACAAAAACGUCAUAAAGUCUAGACCAAAAGACUUUUCUAUUCGAGCUCUUUUGCUACAUCUAACCCCAAAUUCUUGUUCUUCUUCUUGAACUUCUUAUUCUUGAGCUUCAUUAUUUUCAUCAUUUUGACUGUUUUCAAUGGUAGUUUCAUGAAAUUGUCGUAGUUUUCUCGAUUCCAUAACUCUAGAAUUACAAAGAAACAUAUGUUUGAAAAACGAUGCAUUUCUUGAUUCUAUUAACGUAUUUUUGUGGACAUCUAGAACUUUAGACUUAUGCACAAGAAAUUGAUAAGCACUACUAUUAUGUGCAUAAUCGAUGAAAAUGCAAUCGAUAGUUUUUUGUCCUAUUUUUACCUUCCUAUGCGAAGGAACCAAUACUUUAGCAAGACACCCUCACACUCGUAAGAAUUUAUAAGAAGGUGCUCUACCUUUCCACAACCCAUAUGGGGUUUUAUCUUCUUGCUUAUAGGGUAUCUUAUUUAACAAAUAAUUAGCUCUUUUCCAGAAGCUUCUCCCCAUAUAUUCUAAGGUAACCCAGAAUUUAUCAGCAUUGCAUUCAUCAUUUCCUUUAAGGUUUGAUUCUUUCGUUCUGCUAUCCCAUUAAAUUGAGGUGAAUAAGGGUCCGUGAAUUGAUGUGUGAUUCCACUUUGUUCACAUAAUGUCCCAAAUGGAACAAUACACUCACCACCACGGUCACUCCUUAAUUCUUUGAUUUUCCUGUUAAGUUGAUUCUCAACUUCAUUUUUAUAGAGAAUAAAUUUCUCUAAAACUUUAUCUUUACUUUUCAACAACUAUACAUAGUAAUAUUUUGUUUGAAUAGAUUUAAAAUCACAUAUAUCACUAUGUUUUAAAUCAAGUAGUUCAGUGUUUCUUUUAAUUGUUUGAAAAGAUAACCUUGUUAGUUUUGCCUCAACAUAAGUUUCACACUUAUGUUUUAAAUCAAUUUAGAAAUUGGGAAUAUGUUUAAUGUUAAUUAAUUUAUGCAAAGAAUUAAAAUUAACAUUUCCUAAUCUACCAUGUCGAAGAUUAGAAGACUCAAGCAAAUAAGCAGAAGAACUAGCUUUAUCAUCAAUUUUUGGUUUUACAGUCAUUACAUUAAGCAUAAACAACCGAUCAUUGACAUAACCUUUUCCUACAUACAUUCAAUUCUUAGACAAAACUACCCUAUCUUACUCAAACACCAUCUAGAAGCCAUGUUUAUUCAACAAUGAUUGAGAUACCAAGUUCUUCCGAAUCUCUGGCACGUAGAGCACAUUGUUCAGAGUCAACUCUUUUCCAGAAGUCAUCUUCAGAAUCAUCUUCCCUUGACCCUUGAUCUCAGACGUAGCUGAAUUCCCCAUAAAUAGCUUCUCUCCAUUGCUAACAGCUUCAAAUGAAAUUAACAACCCUUUGUCUGAGCAUACAUGUCUAGUUGCUCCUGUAUCAAUCCAUCAUUCUUUCGGAUUAGAGCCGACCAGAUUCACUUCAUAAACCAUUGCUGAUAGGUUAAUGUUUGAAACAUUUUAAGUGAUGUUUUCCACUACAUUUGCCUCUCACUUCUUCUUAGGCAAUCUGCAAUCUGAAGACUUGUGGCCUAUCUUGUCACAGUUGAAGUACUUUCCUUGAAAUUUUGUUUGCUUCUUGAAGACUCCUCAUUUUGGACUCAACUUUUUAUUUUUCUUAUUUUUAGGUCCAUGUUCAAUAAAAAUUUGCCUUAGCCAUAGAAACAGCCCCUUUAUUUAUGCAAUUAUGUUGUCUUCCUCACUUCAAAGCUUAACAACCAGCCUUCAAUGUUCAUCUCCUUGAGUUUGUUCUUCAAAUAACUCUUGAAAUCUUUUCAAGAAGGAGGAAACUUUUCAAUAAUAGCAGACACUUGAAAGGUUUCACUCAACAUCAUCCCUUCAGCAAGGAUUUCUGAUAGUAUGAUAUGAAGCUCUUGUAUUUGGCUCAUUACAGUUUUAGAGUUCACCAUUUUAUAGUUUAGGAAGUGGCCAACAAUAAACUUUUUAGUACCAGCAUCCUCAGUCUUAUAUUUUCAGUCUUAGGACUCCCAUAGCUCCUUGGCUAUUCUUUUUCAAUAUAUAAAUUAUACAAGGUAUCACUCGGCUCAUUCAUUACAUAAUUCUAACACAAGAAAUCUGAAUGAUGCUAUGCAUUAAUGGCACUGAUAGCUUGAACAUCAGUGUCACCCUCUUUGGGUUUAUAAGCAUCAUUCAUCAAGAACCUUGCAAGGUUUAACAUGGUCAGAUAAAAGAACAUCUUUUCUGGCCUUUCUGUGUGAUUCAAAGGAAUACCCACAAAGGCUGAUUCUUUCACAACAGAGGGCCUAGCAGCACAAGUUAAAACAGAGGCAGUCUCAGUUAUAGUUGGUACUGCAUCAGUGCUUUCAAUUACCAUCUCAACUUAAAUAUGUUUUAAGAUUAUUAAAAAUUUGUAGUGAAUCAACAAUUCAAAGUAUAUUGAUAAAAUUGUAACAAAACGUAAAUUCAUAUAGGUAAACAACAAGUAAAAGUUAGCAAACAAGCUGCAGUAAAUCAUUGGAGCAGCAAUAAAAUAAACAAUAGAAAAGAAAAUGAAAAACAGAAAGUAUAGAAAAAAAAAACUCGAGGCCUGUUAAACAACAGUUUCCUUAAAACAGAUUUAACACCUACUACAGUACUUUUAGGUUUGUUGGUAUCUGUUUCCCAAGAUACAACGGGAAUAAAUUUUUAGUCAAGACGCACAAAUAAUUCUAGCGAACAACAACAAUGCAAAAUCUUUAUCAAAACAUAACGUCAGAAGAGGAAAUUUUUUUUUCAAAUGAUCGGUGUUUUGUGUAUAAAACAAAAGAGGAAGGUUGCCUUUUAUAUAAAUGAGGGUAUGUAACUGUUGAAUAAUAAAAUUCAAUAUUUGAAUUGAAUAUUUGAUUUAAUUUGCUUUCGUAACAGCCCAUUGAAUUUAAAAUAUUUAAUUCUGUAACAGUUCAAAAUAUAUUCACGAUGUAACAGCCCAUUGAAUUCAAAAUAUUUGAUUCUGUAACAACUCAAAAUUUAUUCACAAAUCAAACCUGCUUUUGAUUUUUAAUUGUGAAAAACUGUUACAAAAUUUAAAAAGAAAUGAAAUAUAAAAACGUGGCCAUGCAGGCUUGGGUGAUUUUAGGCCGACAUUUGUGUACGCAGAAUGCGUGGGUGCAAAAUCUUAGGAUAGCUGAUAAUCGAGCUUAAAUCAAAGAUAUGAUUGAAGAUAUGUUUAGAUUAAAGAUUGUAAUGCAGUGUAGUAUAAUGUAGGUACUAUAGUGAAGCUUUGUUUAUUUUAUGAUUGACUGUUCCCUAAUUCGACACCAAAGACAGUUAGAGAAUUCGAAGGAUAAAUCACAAAUUUUUAUUAAAGAAAGUUCAUGAACAUUAUAAGAACAAUUUUCAUACUCUCACAUAUCACUCUCAGAAGUUUUGUUUUGCUUCUUAUGCUUUCUUCCUCUUAGACUUGAUGCACACAACACAAAUUUCAAGGGUAUUUAUAGUACCCAAAACUUAAUUAUAACCACACACAUAAACUAAACAAAUUUAAUCACAACUACUCAUUUAUUCUCAAUCGCCACACUAACUAUCAACUUAACUCAUUCCACUUCACCAAUCACACGAACCACACCAAUCACACCAACCUUACCUACUACCUAAGCUCACAUAAUUUAGAAAGUUCUAUGAGAUGGGCCAGGCUUUGUGUUUUUUGGACUUGGAUUAAAACUAAGUUUUUAAUCCAACAACCCCCCUUAAAUUUGGUUUAAUAAUGCCCAAUAAAUUUCUAACCUGAAAGAAUCUUCUUGCUUUAGCGGCUUGGUAAGAAUUUCAACAGUUUAAUAAUUUGAUUUGACAUACUUUGAUUGUAUUUCCUUUCUUUUGAUGCACUCCCGUAUGAAACGAUAACAAGUAUUGAUAUGUUUGUUUCGAUCAUCGAAUACUAGAUUCUUGGAUAGAGUGAUUUCUUAUUUGUUAUCGACAUAAAUCUCGGUUGGCUCUACUUACGACAUAGCCAACUCCUUCAACAAAUUCUUCAGCCAAAUUGCAUGACAAACACAUAAAGUAGUAGCUAUAUACUUAGCUUCACAAGUUGACAGUGUAACAAUAGAAGCAGUAUCUCCCAUAAAGAACCCAAAUCAUAUGGUGCUCUUUCGAUCAUCUAUAUCUCCACCCCAAUCACUAUCACUAUAUCCAAUAAGCUUGUAGUCAUUAGAAAAUGAGUAUAACAAGCCGAAAUCAUUGUACCUUCAUGUAGCCAAAAUUAAUUGUAAUUAUAACAUGUCAAGCCCCGACCCCAAGCACGUGAGAAUUGCAGGAUUAUUAUAAUGAUAAUUAGGGAUAUCAAAUAAAAACUCAUGAUUAACAAUUAAAAUGGCAUAAACUGAAUUUUUACCACAAACAUAGACAACCUAAUUUUCAAAUUUUAUUUAGAAUUCGAUACUAAUCCAAACACAAUGAAAUUUUUGGAAUAAUAAUAAACUUGUAAAUAUACCACAUAUAGAAAUUUUUAGUCAUUUGAUAAUAUCUCACUAGGUUUUCACUUAAUUAGACUGCAUCAAUCAAAACUAUCAAUAACAAUACAGCAAAAAUUUGUGCAUUUAUUAAAAAUAAAGUGCCCAAAAGAUUUUGAUACAACUACCAUCAAUGAUAAGCUCAAGGGAAAAAAUGAUCUUUUAGCAUUUUGAGUCCCAGAAGAUUAAACAAAUGUCAUUUUUAGAAUCCAGAUGGUUGAAAACCUUACGAUGUAUGAUAAUUGGGCUUAAAUCGAAGAAAUGAUUGAAGAUAGGUUUAGAUUGCAUAUUGUAAUGCAGUGUAGUAUAGUGUAGGCAUUAUAGUGAAGCUUCGUUAACGUUAAGGUUGACUGUUCCCUAAUUUGACACCAAGGACGAGCUCUCUAAAUGUGCGCAAUUGUAAUCUCCUAGUAGUAAGGUCCCACAGAUCCACCCAUCGCUCCAUUAGUCAACCCAACCCAAGUCCAUAAACCACAUGACUAGGAGUUGACCAAAGUUGACUUUUGAUUUGUAUCAAAUCGAGGACCUAGAUCAUGCCACAUCACUACAAAUUUAAACCCUCGGUCGUUUGCAAUUUUAUGGUAGGUUUUAUCUUCUAUGGUUACUUAAAAAUGGGCAAUCCUCUUGCCAAAAUGGUAAAGAUAGUGAAGGAUAGCAGUUGCAAAAAUUGAAAUUGGCAUUGUGCACUUUGUAGCCCGUAUUCAUGAAGAAAAAUUAGUGAAAGGGCUACAUCUUUAAAAGAUAAAAGUCCAAUGGAAGCUUGGACAAUUCAUGCUUGGGAAAUAAAAUAGUAGGUGAUUCUAUUAGUACUUUUAAUUUUAAGCCCUUAGGUUUUUAAAGAUAUGAUUUGUUGAAUCCUUAAUCCAGUAUUGUUGGAUCUUUAAUCCAACAUUAGGCUUAAAAGUAAAUUAUUACAUGUUGCAGGUUGUCAUAUAAGAUUAAACCUAAUUAAAAGUGACCUAUUAAGGUUUUCGGUAAUUUAGGCUUUAAUACAUCAGAUAAAAUGUGGGAAUUUAAUGUGUAGAGACUUAAGGGUAAUUGUUUACUUUCAUAAUGGGCUGAAAUAGGAAUACGUAAAGACGACAGGAAAAAUUAUCUAUAUAAGUGGUUAUAGUCCCCAAAUCAUACGUAUUGUUCUAUUCUUUUUGACAUCUCAUCAUCAUAGAAAGAGCACAAAGAAACUUAAAGGACUCUCUAAGAGAACAUGUUGAUCUGGAAGGCUAACCACAUGACUUUAGAGAGUAAUUGCGUAAUUAUGAAUUCAAGUACACUUUCACAUAUUCAUUUAUUUAUUUUUAGUGAUACAACAUAAUGUUCUUGGACUAUAAAUGAUGUUUUUCACCAAAUGCUUAAUUAUGUUCUAACAAGUGGCAUCAGUGCCUCUUCAUGUUAAAUCAUUGAAAUCAAAUUUAUUUUAAAUUAAUGAUUAAAGUUUUUAGUGCUCUCAAAUUUAAUAAUUAUGAAAUUAUUGAGUUUGAGACCAAAAUUGGUGAAAGAAAAAAUAUUGAAGAAAACACAUCUGAUGGAAAUAUAUGGCAACCGCAUGGAAACAUAUAUAUUCGGUAUCAUAAAGACUUGCGGUCAGCGGUUGCCAUGAGGUUUCAUGGCCAUCGAUAAAGCUAGUAAGGCUGAAGCAGAUAGAGAAAGUGGCGACCAUGGCUGUCGCAUCAAGAAUCAAGAUAGUAAAAAAUAAAAAUGGAAACAGGAGAGGUGCAACUAUUAGGCUGUGCCAGAAAAAAGCUACGGCCACAAGCCAUGAUAGAUUUAGUGAAGCGGCAGUAAGAAGAAGCGACUGUCAUGGCCAGUGCAUGAAGAAGAAGAAAAAUUUUUAAAAAUUAGGGUUUUUUUAACAUUUGGGGGCUGGUUCAGGGUCCAGUUCACCCGAUUUGGGUCUAGCCCAAACCAAUCAAUAGUUGACCAUUGACCGAUCAAUAAUUGAUUGUUGACUAUGACUUUGACCCUAAUUUUUUAUUUUCUAUUAUUUUUUGGUAAUUUUAGUACAACUUUAAAUUCAAAUAUUGGAAUGUUUAUAUAUAUUUUAAAAUGAAUCAAUUAAAGCAACAUAUCACCAAAGUAACCUAAUUUGUGGAAAUUAUUUUGUUUUACAAUAUAAACGGUUGUGUGUAUGUAAUUUCUCUAAAUGUCAAUCGGCCCAAAGGAGAAUUACAUGUGGGUCUGUAGUAUCAAAUGCGUGAUGAUUAUUCUAUUUUAUAUGUCAACAAUAAAUUGGUCCAAAGGAAGAUUUAUUGUUUUACAUUUUCUUAUUAUCAAUUUUUUAUUACUAUACCAAGAUAUCACUUACAGGUUAAUAUUUUGUCCAAAGAUAAAAUAUUAAUGGAGUGUCCGGUAUCUUGAGAUGGGGUAUACAUUUAUUUGAAUUUAUUUUUAUUUUAAGACUUAUAUGAGCUCGUAUUGUUUGUUUGUUGUUCUAUGUUCAGUUAUGACUCCUACUAAUAUCAUUGCCAACAUCAAUUCCACUCUUAUGCUAAACGGCUAUAAUCUCACAAUCAUAGAUCUCGACCUUGCAUUAAGGGUUGCUUCUCCCCCAUCCCUUACGAAGGAGAGUACCCAUUAAUGACAAAAGAGAAGUUGAAAGGUAUGAGAAAUCAAAUCACAUGUGUAUCAUAAUCUUAAAGAAGGCCAUUCCGGAAGAAUUCAGGGGCUUAAUGUCUAAAAAGAUAAUUAUAGGUAAGGAAUUCCUUAUAAAAAUUGAAAAGAGGUUUGCCAAGAACAAAAAGGCAAAAGUAGUACAAUCUUAACAAUUUUAAUUUCAAUAAUGUAUAUGGGCAAAGACAAAAGAAAAAAAAGGAAUAAGGAUGAGAAAACUACAGGUACGACACCUCAAAAGAAAUAACAAAAUAGAUUGGGUAAUUUGAAAGAUAUUAGUUGUUUCUUCGGUGGAGCUGAAGGGCGUGGUUUGAUUUAUUCUGAGGUUAAUUUAUAUUCAGCUUAUUUCAUGAUUCAAAACUAGUUAGUUUCGGUUUCUUGUCAAACAAUGAUAAUCUUUUAUGAUGAAAUACUAGCUAAGUAACCCAAGCGAGGGAGAAUUGAGUUUCUAAAAAUUAUGGAGAACUUACAUCAAAACAUAAUGCAAAUAUCAAAUAAAAUUAUGCAAAUAGCAAAUAAAUCACAACAAUCAAGAUGCAAAGAGAUAAGGGAAAGAGAAUCAAACACAAUAUUUUUAUAUGGUUUGGCAAACCCCGCCUACGUCCACGCCUCCAAGCUCACCGGGCUUGAGGAUUCCACUAAUAAAGCCUUUCAACCCAAGGCUUCAAAAUCUUUACAAUUGACUUCCAAGGUGUCAAUCAACUUUGACAAUAAAAGGUUAUCCCAAACCUUUUAACCCAAGUGUUUCCCAUACUCUCAAACACUUAAUUUGAUGUUUAAAAUGAAAAUUACACAAAUUUUUCUUCACACAAUAUGUGUUUACAAAUGAAAGGCCAAAGUGUGAAUUGAUGAAAAAUCAACAAGAUUUAAGCACAAAUAGGAUUGAAUACAAUAAUAGGUCAAUCACGAUUGUAGAAUUCGUUUUUGUUUGAAUUUGAUUGAGUCUUUUUAUAUUUGGAGAAGAAAACUAGGCGUCAUUGACUUUCUAGGAAUAAUUAAAUCGCCGUUAACUGUUAUCGAAUCAUUGUUUUGACUUUGUACAAGUUAUCGUUAUGUUGAAUUUUAAAUAUUUGGUUCACCGUUUGAAGUUGUCAGUUUUUCAUUUAAUUCCAGAGACCUACAGGAUAUUUAUCGGCUAGCCGUUUGUGCUAAACGAUUCACCAGUUGCAAACUAAUUCCUCUUUGGAAUUUUUCGGUUAGCGGUUAUCAGUAAACGGUUUACCAAUUCUAAAGAAUUUGCUCUCUGGAAUUUUUCGAUUAAUUGUUUCUAAUAAACGAUUCACCAUUUUCUUCCAGAAUCAAAAUUAUAAAACUUCCUUUAGAAAACAGUUUGCCAAUUUAAAAUUAACGAUUAUCCGUUUAUUUUCAUAAUCUUAUUUAUGUCUAAGAAACUUCAUACGGCCUAAGAAUUUGAUCAUUUAAAGACUCCAACUUUGUUAAUUCAGUUUGUUAUCAUCAAAAUGAAAAUUUAAAGAAAUAACCACAAUAUUUUAGCAUUUUACAAAUUUGACCGCAAGUUUUUUUUAAUCAAAAUUAGCCUAACACUAAAUUUGAGGAUGAAAUUGCCCUUGUCAUUCUCACCCUUCUCUCUCGCUGCAACCUCUCUCUUAUAGAAAGUUCUCUCUCACCAAAAUCUCUCACACAUUGUCGACAGCUUAAAGUGGCGUUCAAAGUCCACAAGCAUCAGCGAAUAUCACUGCAAUCAUAUGGAAAACUACCUUGUGUGCUAAGUUUUUCUACUUGUUAUAGUUUAUUGUGAUUCCUAAAUGACUGAUGGAACUAGCCUUUAAUGGAUUUUGCAAAGCUCACAUUGAUAAGUUCCUGUAGUCUUAGAAGAUUUUUGGCAUGUGUAAUUAAAUUUUAGUACAUUUUGGGAUCUAUUAAGUGUAAUAUGCCUUUAAAUUUUGGGAGUUCUACUGUUGAGCUUUAAUUUUUGGGAGUUCUUCUGUUGAGCUUUUAUUUUUGGGAGUUCUUCUAUUGAACUUUAAUUUUAACACUUCACAAAUGUUUAAAUGGUCUCAUUAUCAAUAUGUUUUCCACACUUUUGAGAUAUUGAUUGAUAGAAAAAUUACCCUUAGACCUUUUAAGGUUUGGAACACGGCAUGACAAGUGUGUAACUGAAGUUCUAUAAUGAGCUAACAAACUCAGUAAUUAUUUACAACUAUCAAAUGAAGCAGAACACUCCAAUCUUAUCAUUAACCAAUUGCCAUUAUAUGUUAAGAGUAUAUAAAUGUGCAAGCAUAUAUAAGUAAUAAACUUCUGUUUCUUUUCUUUUAUUUUUAUCAUCUUUGGCAUCAUUCAAGUGUUGGGGCAAGAGAAAACUUUUGGUGAAAACCAUCACUUAUAACCCAGGAACAUUCAUGUUGUAUCACUAAAAAUUAAUAAUAAAAUUAUGCGGAAGUGUACCUGAAUCCAUAAUGUUUAAUUCCUCUCUAGGGUUGUGUGGUUGGUUUUCCAAAUCUACACAUUCUCCUAGAGAGUCAUUUAAUUCUCUCUGCGCUUUCUCUCCAAUGAUGGGAUGUCAAUAGAUAAUAGAAAGAUACGUGUGACCUGAAGAUCAUAACCACUUAUAUAGACAACAUUUUCCUGUUGUCACUAGGUAUUCUUAAUUCUGCCCAUCAUAAAAUUAGAAUACUAUUGGGUCUCUACACAUUAAAGGUUUACACCCUAUUAAAUACAUUAAUGCCCAUAAUACCGUAAAGCUAAAUAGAUCACUUUUAAUUAAGCUUAACCUUACACGACAGUCAGCAACAUAUAAUUAUUCACAUAUAAGCCCAACGUUGAAUUAAGGAUCUAACAAUAUUGGAUUAAAAAUCUAACAUCAAGUUGUCGCUCAAACAAAUGAAUGAUGUCGCUAAAACAAUUAGAAGCUAUAGAACUUAAACGAGACGUGAGCUUAAAAUGGAAUCAAUAAACUAGAAACAUAUUAUAAUAAGUAUUCGAAUAGAAGAAGAAGAAGAAGAAGAAGAAGCUAUUAACAUGAAUUUGAACAAAGGUUACGAAACAAUAGCAUUGGUAGGACCUAGCUACUAAUGGAACUCUUACAAUUGAAAAACUACUGGCAUAAAAUAACUUUUGGUCAGCGAAAGAGUAUCUAUGCAUCAAUGAAAAGUAAUAAAUAAAUAAAUAUUGGAUCGACAAUUAUAAAUUUCUUGAAAAAAAUAAUAGAAUAUAGAAGAAAAGCCAUAGCACCAUUUGCAUAAAGAAACAAGAAUAACAACUGAAUCUUUCUGCAUUAAUUAACUAAUAACAACCAAGUUUCGAUAAUAAAAAGACUAAUUUUUCUGCAUCAUAAAAAGUAAACCCGAAUGAGGCAAUUCAUCAAGCACUAAACCUGCAUUCGAAACACAAACAAAGAACACUCAAGAGAAAGCGGAUUUCACCAAAGCACCUACGAAAUUGGUAAAAAAUAUUAGACUUUCCCAGCCUAAAAGAAAAACCAAAGCAUUAUUACCAAAUUCAUUCAAAUCCAAAAGUAAAUACAUAAAAUCAACAUUCAAUUCGCCAGUACACCUAAAUUACUCUAGAAAUUCAAAUUUAUAGCUAAUUAAACAUUAUAAAAUAUUAAAAAAAUGAAUCUAAAAGCAAAAAUAUGUCGACAAUCAAAUCAAAAUCAAUUCCUCUAAUUCGAUUCCAAAUGUCUCAGGCACGGGUUGCACGAUAGAGUGAACGAGCUUGCCAAUUGUGGUACCUCUAUUUACAAGCUUGAAUAUCCUCUCCAGUAACUAUUCUUUUGCUCAAGUCAAUGUGACCUUUUAGCUUGUCACACCGACCAUGACGGCUCGAUGCGGCUGACUUUAAAGAACUCCAACAAAAGGAUAAUCCUGACGAUGUUGUUGUACUUGAGCAGGCAAGCUUUUAGGGUUUAGACUUUGAUGAAAUCAAAAGGGUCUUUUGACCUAGAGCUUCAAUCUUCAAUCUUCGAAUCAACUUUUUGCUUCUGGUUCGAUCUAUCAUUAAGAUAGGGAUGGCAAUGGGGAGGGGAGGGGAGGGGACCAAUCUCCCCGUACCCAUCCCCGAUAUUUUGCGUAUGUCCCCGUCCCCUCCCCGUCCCCGUCAGAAUUACUUGAAAGAAUCCUCAUCCCCUCCCCGAAUAAUAAUAGGGGAUCCCCGAGGGUCCCCAAUCCCCGAAUAACUAAUACAAUUUUUUUUUGUUUUUGAUUUUGAGUUAAUCAUAUUAAAAUAAAAAAUUCAAAUAAAAGUAAAGUUCAAAAUAUAUCUUACAUUAAUAUCCAUUACAAAAGUCACAUACAUUAAAUUAGUGUGUAACGCAGCAUGCAAGGGAUACAAACUUCUUUUACAAACUAUUAUGAACAAAUUAAUAGUCUAAUACAAAAUUGUUACAAAUAAAAUCGAAUUUAUAUUCAAAAUUAAUUUUUUCAAUGGUGGCAUGGGCACUUUAUAAAUGUGGACUAUUCCCUUUACAACACAAUAGUUAAAUCGGAGCAAAUCAAGAGCAAAUAUUAGAUUAGAUAUUAAAAUUGUGAUUCGUUGUGGGUAAUUAUAACAUCUAAAAAUAAAUAAAAAAUAGAUUUAAGUUUAAAAUAUUUAAAGAAUAUUAAAAUUAAAAAAUUUUAGGCUAAUAAAAUCUACUCAGUCUUUUUAAUGUCCUAAAUAAAAAUUUAGAACUUUAAUUAGUUAAUUAGGCCUAAAAGUUUAAUAAUAUAAAUAUUUUGAUAUUUUUUAUUUUUAUCAAUAUUUAUAAUUUUAUAAUUUAUUUACUAGUAAUUUUAAAAAAUUAAAAUAAAAUUAAAAAUUAAAAUGGGGAAAUGGGUAGGGGAUGGGGAUUCCACCUCAUCCCCGUCCUCUCCCCGAAUAAGAAAUUGGGUAAAAAAAUUUCCCCGUCCCUUCCCCGAAUAAGAAAUUGGGUAUGAAAUUAUCCUCAUAUCCUCCCCGAAUGGGGAAAAUCCCCGAGGGUACCCGUCCCCGUGGGGAUUUUUUCCAUCCCUACAUUAAGAGGCUAGAGAGGUUGAGCCGUUUGAUCUGUUUUUGCUUUUGGUUUUGGCCUUUGUUUUAUUUUGGUUUUUUGUUUUGUCAAAAAAGAGAGGUAAACGAUUUUGUGAAGAGAGAGAAAUGAAGAGUUAACAAUUUAUCCAAAUUUGAAGUCCAAAACGACAUCGUGAACAAUAAAUAAAAUAAAAUAUAAAAUCUUAGUAUGAGUGAAGAUUUAUUAUCUUAUAAUAUCAAUAACUGUUGAUACUGGUACGUUAAAAGUGUUAAAAACUACUUAAGUCAUUAAAUACUGAUAUUCCUUUUUUUAAUAUUAAACCUAAUAUCAGUGAAUGGAGAAAUUGUAUAGUAUAUCAGAGGCAAUACAACCAAUCGAUGCAUGUAUGACAUGUGUAAUUAAAUUUAGGAUGGGCCUAUUUGCAGUCUAAAUAUUUCUUUGAACACUCUAUUACUUUACACACUCAUACACAAAUUAUAAAAGAUUAAGUUUUACUUUGUACACUCUUUAAAAUUUCAAAAAUAUCCUUACUUAAACUAUUUAAAUUAUUUAACUUUAUUUACUUAAAAAACUAAUAAAACUAUUCAGCACACCAAUUUUAAGAGAUUUAACAUGUACUUACAACAAUAUAAUUAAGUCAAGUUGUAAAAAAAAAAUUAAUAUAAAAUUAGUUAUUAAUUUUUUAGUUAUUUAUGUUCAAUAUUGAAUUUCACACCCAAAAUAACUUGCAAUGAGAAUAUAAUAAAAAGAAUCAUAUUCCAUAGAUACUACCCAAAAAAUGAAAAAAGUCAUAAAGAUGAAGGAGAUGAGAAGAAGGGAGAAGCAUAAAAAAGAGAAGAGGAAGACGUAGAGAUGAAGCACAAGAGAAGAAUGGUGAAAGUCAAAAGAAAGUUCGUUCAUAGUACUUUUUUAUUUUAUUUUAAAAAAAAUGUAUCACACAUAUUGUGUAAUUAAAUUUUUUUUAAUAUUGAUUUCCUUAUUAUUCAUCUAAAUGUUAAAUUCAUAUAUUGAAAAUAAAAGUUUUAGGGUCCAAAAUAUGAUAAUUAAAAAUGAAUAAUGAGUGUGUUAUAUGUAUGUUCAAAACAAUUAUAUAAUAUUAACUUAUAAAAAACUGUCCUUAAUAGUAAUUCAUAGUAUGGGUAUUUUUGUAAUAUAUAUUUUUAUUAAAAUUAGAGUGUCCAAAAUAAUUUUUUGAGUGCAAAUAACCCCACCCUUAAAUUUAAUGUAACCACCAUUUGCAUAAUGAUCUUUCACAAUAAAUACAUAAAUAUCACAGUGUCAUUUGCUUGUUAUAUGGUUAAUAUAAUAUCUUUAUGCUGCAUUUACUUGUCAGUAAUUGGAAUUGGCUGUAAUCGGAAUGGGCAAAAAUUGGAAUGAGCUGGAAUGGGAAUGGGGAAUUAGAAUCAAAAUAAAUUAUUUACUUGACCUACAGGAAUCGGAAUUGGAAUGGACUGGAAUCACAUUGAUGUGUUUAUUUUAUCUUGGAUUCGGAAUCGGGAUGAGUUAAAUUGUAACAAAUUACUAAAAAGUACUUAAUGAAAUAUUAUCAUAAUUAUUAUUUUAUAUUUUAAUUAUAGUGAUUAUUUAUUCAAAAACUAUAAUUAUUAAUACAUUAUUGUUAAUAAUAUAUUAAUAUAUUAAUUAAUGGUAAUAAUUAUAUUAAUAAUUAUUAUAAUAGUAUAUUAAUUAAUUAAUUAUAAUAAAAGUAUAUUAAUUAUUGUGAUUAUUUAUGAAAAAUUACAAUUAUUCAUAAUUAUUGUGAAUAGGAUCACCCUAUAUUACGUUUAACAUAACGUACACACACUCACAACAACAAUAGCGGACCCCACCAUUAGUACUGUUGCUGUGAGUGUGUGUAUGUUACGUUAAACGUAACAUAGCACUGGCCUUGUGAAUAAUAUGUUAAUUUACUAAUUGAUUAAUAAUUAUAUUAAUUAAUUAAUUAAUUAAUUAUAAUAAUAAUAAUAUAUGAAUUAAUUAUAAUCAUAAUAUAUUAAUUAUUGUGAUUAUUUAUUCAAAAACUAUAAUUAUUAAUAAUUAUUGUUAAUAAUAUAUUAAUUAAUUAAUUAUGAUAUAUUAAUUAAUUAAUUUUAAUAAUAUAUUAAUUAAUUAUAAAUGAAGAUAAUAUGGGCAUUAUUAAUUUCUGGGAGAGGGUAAAAUAGUCAUUCCUAGGAAUGAGAGACUCAUUCCCACCUCUCCCUUGAGAAUGAGUCUCCUCAUUGCCAAAUUGUGGUAGGUCUUAUGAUUCUAAUUUUAUUUUAUAAUUUUAUUUUGUAAAGUAAAUAUUGUCAAUGAUUCCGAUUCUGGAUUCUGGAUUCUGGUUCCCUAAUUCAAGAAGUAAACGCAACAUGAAUGUAUUGUAAAAUUUCUCGAACAAAUGUCAUUUUUCUUCUACCAGCAGUGUAUACUUGAUAUUAAUAUUUUCGUUCAAUUCUAUAAGAUUGCCCUUUAUGGUAACUUUAAUUACAGUGACUGAUUCUGAUUCAGUAGAUGUUCCGUUAGAAAUGUUUUUCACUGCAUUGCAUAAAUCGAUGAAGACCCGUGUUGGGCUUACAUAUAGUUUCCAUUGGGCUGGACUGUAUCUAAACAGAAUGCGGCCUAUACAGCAUAAAUCAAACCCGGCUCCCUCCUGUUUUCAGACAGGUUUGCACUAUAUUUAUUUGAUUAUAAUAAUAAUAAUAAUUUAAAAACAUUUGUUUAUAUUUUUCAAAUAUUGUAUUGGUCAGCAUAUCUUUGCUCGCUCCUCAACUAAACUUUUCUUACAAUUGAUCUUUUGCAUGCGGUCGUUAAACUCAUUUCACAGCAAAUUUGGUACCACUUCAAUCUUCCUCUUGCGAGCUGCGUAGUGGUACAAGAAUCUUCCGUAACAAUUUUUAAUUUACCAUAGAUCUACCAUCAAAGUAAAGAGUUUAUUCUUCCCCUAGAAUGAUUGAGAAUAGGCUUGGUCUUUCAGAUUUUCUAUUAAAUAAAGUGUUGACCACUUUGACCAAAUAAAUUAUAAUUUUAUCCUUUAACUAUAACGAAUAAUUAAUGCAAAAUGACUUAAAUGUCCAUAAACUUUAUUUUAAUUUUCUUUUCUUACCCUUUUCUUUCUCUCUCCCCUUUCUAAUAAAUGCUGUCCAGUUAAAAAAUUUCGAAAGACUUCAUUUUUAAUCGAUUAUAUAUUUUCACAGUCAAUCUUUUCUUUUUCUGGUCUAGUGAAUCGGUUGGUUCGAAAGAGAGUGCUUUCAACACACGAACCAUUUAAAGAAGCUUUGGACUACUAGGAUUAGGCAUUACUUGAACAUUGGGUCGUUAUAACUUGAAGGUACGUGAUUCAGAAAUGUAUAAUGGAGGUUUUCUAAGGUUGAUAAUUCAGUACUGUAUUUAUUUAUUAACUCUUUAGCAACAACAAAGGCAUCAAUUUUUUUUUUUUCCUACCUGAAGUAAAAUUCUUUGAUUAACAAAACAAGGAUCUGACAAAAGGGUACAAUUUCCAGCCAAAACAAUCACGGGUUGAACUAUUAAUUUUUCGUGGCUUUUCAAUUACUCGAGGCACCAAAUCAAAAAGUGAAAAAAAAUAAUUACUUAAGGCACAAUCCUGUGACUUUUCAACCUAUCAAUCCAUGUGAUAAACGAAUUCUUAGAAUUCCUGAAACCCAAGAACCCGUGCUCCUUACUCUUGUUCAUGCUAACAAAAUAACCCGCACCAAUAUUCAACACCACAUCUGCAUAUGACCAAACAGCAACCUCAUUCAAUUUUGUUGGCUGCAGCUGAUUCUCUCUCACAAUCUCCUCCCACACACUUUCUUUACCCUUCAUAACUUCCUCAAAUCUCACCCUCUCACAACCCAUUUCUUCUCCAAACCCAUAAUUCUCAAUCUCAAACUGCUCAGCCAACACUUUCCAUAAAUGCUUCCACUUAAAAACAUCUCCAUUGGUGCAAUUGAAAGCUUCNNNNNNNNNNNNNNNNNNNNNNNNNNNNNNNNNNNNNNNNNNNNNNNNNNNNNNNNNNNNNNNNNNNNNNNNNNNNNNNCACAUCUCUGGUCCCAUGAAAUACUAGAGGAGCACCUUCGUGUUUACAAAUAGCUGCGUACACGCAGAGAGUGCCUAUAAUAUGCAUCAAACUAUAAGGUGAAAACCCAAAUAUUCCGGAAGGCCGGUGUAUGGACCAAGCUAAGCCCUCUCUUUUGUCAACUUCUUCAAACAAUAUAUCUUCCUGAUUAUAGUAAAAAAGCGGCACGUUUAGUCUUGGCAAAUCCUCAGUAAAAGGCGGAUCGUGAGACGGUAUCUUGCCAAUACACUCGAAUGGACCCACGUAAUGUUUGCCUCCCGUUUGGAGACAGAUGUGGCGGACAUUAGGCGCAUUCGGGAUUACAGAACGGAGCACGUUACGAAACAUGGCGCCGUUGAUCUUGCAAUUCUCGGCUUCAGUGGGACGGCUGGCCCACGUCACAUAGAAGAUGUGGGUGACGUCAGUGAGUUUUGAGAGCUUGGCUUGCGUAUCAUCCCGGUCGGAAAUGUCGCAUUGGAUGUAAUCAAUAGGGUACCUGGCGUUCCAAUUAGGCCUGGGGCGUCGGGCCACCCCGUGGACCUUCCACGGGCCACCGGGGGUAUCUGGUCGGGGCAAAAUCUCAGCUAGGCUGUUGCCUACAAUUCCUGUCACGCCUACUACAAGUCCCACGUUCUGGUAGUCUUGAGGUCGCGCAUCUUCUUCCAAUUUGUUCUGUACAGCGAAAAUUAAACAAACAUUAUUUUAAAUAUCAGCAUGUUACGUGUAUGUAUAAGCUUUUCAAGUGAAGAGAGACAAUUAGGGGGUCGAUCUUUACCUUAGCAGCGCCAAUACUACCUGCCCACCGCCAGCUCAUUUUUUGAUGAAUCUGGAAAAUUGAUGAUAAGUUUAGAGACUGCUUAUCUAUAAACAAUUAUACGAGCACUUUCUAGAAGGUAAUUUUCAGUUGAAGUUAGAUAAUGUGAAUAUGUGAUCAAUAAUGAAAGAUCCAAUAUCAUAAUGUGUGGUGAAAUGUGGUUCCGGCUAAAGGCCAAGCUUCACACUGUCAUUGUCAGUCAGUUUGCUUUCCCGCAGUUUUCAAGCUCGGUGCCAACUCAAAUAAAUAAGUAGGCCAGUGUCGGUGACCAUUGCAAUAAAAUCGCCCUAUGAUUAUUACGGAAGCUUCAGUACGUGGACCCUGAGUUUUAAACCUAAAAUCAAAUAUAUGUCUCUUUACUUUUAUAAUUUGCUUAAGGCACACCAGUCAGUUUUGGGACAAAAAGAGUCUUCGAUUUGUAUUUUCAUGGAAAUAAUCAAAACAUUUGAUAUUGAGGUACUGUAACUUUGAAAUUAUAAGUACAAUUAAAAAAAUAAUUGUAACUAUGAAUUAAAAAUUAAUAAUUUCUAGUAAAUAUGACUAUUAAAUAAUAAUUUUGAUAAAAAUAAUAUAUAUAUUAUAGUUUAUUCGUCAUACAGGUAUGAGAUUAAAUUAAUUUAAUUUAUAAAUCAAAGCUAGUAUAUACUAAAUAGUUGUAACUUUUAAGCUGUAGCUACUUAACUUUAAUAUCAAAAUAGGCCUUAGAGCCCGUUUGGAAUUAUUUUUAGGAGUUCCCAAAAGUAAUUUUGAAAAAGUAAAUGUCAAUUUUGGUGUUCGGAAAAUUUUUAAAAAAAUUACUUUUAGCAAGAUCACCCCAUCCUAUAGCAAGUUUUUCAAAAUAGGGAUGCAGUAUCUUUUUAGUAUCGGAUUUUGAAAAUCAGUUUUAUAUUUAAUACAAUUUCAUAAAUCUUCAAAUAUAUUAUAAAAAUCUAAAAUUAUCCUUAUUAAUUACGAAAUAAAAUAAUUAAUUUUAAAGAGAUUGUUAUCACCAAUUAUAUUAAGAUAACCAAAUAAAAUCAAUAAUUUAAAAUAUUUAUUUUAGUUAUCAAUUAUUAUAUAUAUACAAUAAAAAAUAUUUUUCAUACAUGUUUAUAAAAUGCGUAAAUAAAUUAAAUAAAUUUUAUUCAACAUUGUGUCCAAUUAAUUUAUUUAUAUUCUUACAACAGUUUAAUAGUAAUAUGAUUAUAGAAGCCAAAACAUCAAUUUUUUUGGUUAUCAAAUGGUGUAAAAAGUCAAAUGAACACAAAAUGCAUUUGUAGUCUAUUGAAAUAUCAAAAUUGUAAAUACACAUAGGAACCUCGUACAAGCGAUUGUGAAACUCGAUAUAUGAAUAAAUGAAGAAUUCUUUUUUUUCUCUUAAAUUUUAGGAAAUAGUUAAAGAUGUUCAUAUGAAUGAAUGGAAGUUUUUUUUUUCUCAUCUCAUUAAUUCAUGUGAAUAUCCAUGAAGUUUAUUUGAAUGAACAAUUUUUUUUUCUCAAUAAAUAUGCCAUAAUGAAAAAAGUUUUGGCUCUUGUGUAAAAUUUGAAAAUCAUAAAAAAAAUAUAUCAAUAAAAUAAUUCUACAUAAUCUAUGCUCACCAAUUAUUAGGGAGGGUAAAUGCUCAUUUAAUCCAUAUAUUUUGACAUAACUAACUUUUCAACCAUAUUAUUGUUGGAAAAAAAAAACAGUCCUUUGAUUUGUAAUUUUUAGCUAGUUAUACAAAUUUUGCAAGUUUCUAAAUCUCACCUCCACUAGGCAAACUUACGUAAAUAAUCAAAAGAGAGACGUCAUAUUUAAUUUAGAAGUUGCUCUCGUUUAGGCCCUAUUUGAUAUUGAAAUGUUGUAGCAUAGUAAGAAAAAAGAAAAACAAAGUUGCAACUAUUAAAAAAAAUUUGAUAAUGUAUAAUAAAAUAAUUAUUAAAUAAUAAUUUGACAAAAAUAAUAAAGACACUAUAGGUUUUUUCAUACAAGUGUGGGAUCAAAUCAACUUAAUUUCUAAGCUACAAUAGCUAGUGUUUACUAAAUACUUUGAUACUGUAACUUUUAAGAUACAGCUGCCCAACCUUAGGUUUAAAUCGUUUAUAAGGUAAUAAUAGACAUGACUCUAGAAGCUAAAACAUCAAUUUCUUUUCUUUUUUUAAUUAUCAGAUAGUGUAAAACAUCAAACGGAAACAACUAAAUAUGUGAUCCUAUUGUUGUGAAUAUAUCAAAAUUAUCCUCAAAUUAUGAAUCUCUGCCAUUUACAAAAAAGAAUUUAGUACAAGUGAAUGUGAAAGUUGAUAUGCAAAUAAAUGAAUAAUUCUUUUUUUGAAACGACCCGUCCCGCACCCCAGGGCGAGUCUAUCUAAACUCGUAUAAUCGAAUCGAUAAUAAUUAUGAUAUCUAAGAAUUCUAUCAAAAAUUCGACAGAAUCUCCCCUAUAAAUAAAACAUCCCCAAACCUGCAAUUUACAAAAUAAUUCAAUAUCCAUCCAUCCUUCAUAACCAACUUCUCAAGUCAACAUAUCAAAUAUCACCCAAAUCAUUCUAAUAUUAAAAUACAAUGGUUAUCCUUAAUUACAAAAUUAAUAAAUAAAUACAAUUCGCAAUAUCCCAAAUAUCAAAAUAUUAAAUCUACGACUCCUAGCACCAUCACAUGGCCACAAUUUCAAAUCUAACUAUCGUUGCUGGGUCGACUGAUAUACCUGCAAAUCUCCUGUGAGGGGGAAAAAUAUAAUAAAAAUUGGGUAAAUAUAAAACUCAGUGAGCUCAGUGAGUGUAUAGUAGUUUUUGAAAAAAUAAAUUUAUUUAAAAUAAUUUAAACUUUCUCAAAUCAAUUUCAUCAAAAUAUCAUAAGAACUUAUAUAAACAUAUUCAAUUCAAAUCAUUCAUUGAAAUAACUAUAUUACAUAAAUCUGCAUAAAAUCAAUGAAAUCAUAAUAAUUAUAAUAUCAAAUGCUGAAUAUAAAAAACUAUCAUCAAACAAGUACCCAGGGAAAUGAUCUCAUCAUAUCCGGACCUCGACGGACGGGCAAUCAGGGAACCAUCAUGCCCUGGAGCUACAACGGAUAGACGGGGAAAUCUCAUCUCAUAUCUCAUGUAUUUGAACAUCUGUAUCUCUAUAAUCAUCAUACUGCAUGCAUAAGCCCCCAAAAGGCAAAAGCGCCCAAACACACGGCCCAAAGCCUCUAUGUGUGUUCAGACGGGCCCCAAAGGCCUCUAUCUCAUCUCAUAUGUAUCUCUGUAUUCAUCUCGUAUUAUCUGUAUCUCUGUAUCUGGAGAGGAAGGGUACUGUCCAAUGAUUUUUCAAACAACAUUUUAUACACAUGUACAUAAACAUAUAAUCACAUCUGAAAUCUCAUUUUCUUUUUAUUCAACAUAUCUCAAAUCCACUCAAUUCUAAUAUCAUGCAUCUACUAAAAAACAAUAAUAAAAUCAUUAAUCAAACUCAUUCUUAAUAACAAUAAAUAUCAACACACAGAUAAAAAUCAAUUUUCUAGAAAAUCAUUAAAUCGAAGCAUCAAAUACUUAUUUAUCAAAACAUACUGCACUGUAUCAUAAAAUUAGCAUAUACUAUGAAAAUAGAUUUUGUAUAUUCCACUCACAGUGACGAAGUCUAGACUCGGUAUCAACAGUGUCUGCGGGUUAAUUCUCAUUCACGGAUCCUCCUAAUUAAGGAAAUGACAUAAUUAUUCUCCAUAAAUUUGAAAUACAACUAAUUUUACAUAAUAAUUCUCGAAGCGAAUAUCUAUCAACAAUAAACUAUUCCCACAUGCACAAAAUUACCGAAAUACCCCUACAUGCCAAAAUUACCAAAAUGCCCCCAACAUCAUUAUUUUACCAAAUUAUCCUCAGAAUCUUCAAUUAAUAAAUUGUCCUCAAUUCAGAUCACGAAAUUAUCACAAUGUCAGAAAUUACGAAAUUACCCUCGGCACGUAAAAUUACCAAAAUGUCCUUAGCGACUUAAAUUACCAAAUUACCCUCGAAAUAUCAAAUUACCUCACUGCCCUAACAUAAAAUUACCAAAUUAUCCACUGAUUCCAUAAAUUACAAAUUCACCCUAAAUUUUUAUGAAUUUACCAAAUUGCCCGUACCGGUCAACGGUGACCGGACUUCAGUCAACGACAACGGGAAGCUUAGGUCUGAUAGUUCAGACCUCGGUGAGUCCAAUGGUGGUGCCCGUGAGUCCCCACGCGCGGCGAUAGCGGUAGAUCGAAGCUCCAAAAUCUGUGAGCUUUCCGGUGGUCGUUUGCAGCAAAGACGGCGUCCCUGGUGGUCGUGGUCAGUCGGAAAGUGACGAGUGUGAGUUAAGGAACAAGAUCCGAGUGGUGGCGGGAUUAAAGGCGGCGAAAACAGGUCUUGGCCGCGAAUUUUCGAGCUCAAUCGCCGGCUUUCUGGUAGGUUCCCGGCGGCGAGGAUGGCAGGGUUAUGACGGCCGGCUUCCAAGCUUCAUAUCGGUACCAAGCUCGGCCGGUGCGGUGGCCGGAAUCGCGAGAUCCAUUCGGGUCAAAGUCGCGGGUCGGGUCGGAUUCGCGGGUCAAACCGGAUCAAUUCUCUUUCUCUCUCUCUCUCUCACGUGCCCCUAGGGUUGGCAGAAAAGCCCGGGCCGGCCCAGGCCCGCGGGCUUUAAGCCCGGCCCGUGGCUUGAAAUUAUGGGUAAGGGCUCAAAGUUAAUAAAGCCCAUAACAUAUGGGCUCAGUCAAGGGCCUAAAUGAAAAGCCUGGGCUUUAUAAUAAAUAAUAAAUAAUAUAUAUAUAUAUUAAAAAAUGUAUAAUAUAUUAUAAAAUUGGAAAAAAAAUUAAUUGCUUUACAAAAUAAAUAUAUGUAUUAUAAAAUAUAUAUAUGUAUAAUAUAUAUAUAUAUAUAUAUAUAUUAAAAAAUGUAUAAUAUAUUAUAAAAUUGAAAAAAUAAUUAAACAAAAUAAUAAAAAAAUCGGGCAAAGGGAAAGGGCAAAGGUUUUGUCACAAAAUGUCAAAAUUCCUAAAUCGGUAAAUCUCUAUUAGUUUUUUUUUUAUAUUAGUGGUUGAUUUGUACGUUGUGUACGGUAUUUGUAUUGUUAGUAUUUUUAUAUUUUGUGUUGCUAAUCAUGUAUUAGAGAAUUAUAUUUAAGUUUUUAGCCUAUUGUAGUAUUAUGUAUUGGUUAAUUAUGUUUUGAAAAUUUAUAAUUUUAUUUUUUUAAAAAAAAUUUAAAAUUUCGUAAAAGCCCGGGCUUGGCCCGCGGCCCGGCCCGGCCCAGGCCCGUCAAGGCCCGGCCCGCCCAAAGCCCGCUCAACUUGGAUGGGCUUUGAGAGGGCCUGGACUUAUUUAACAUUAUAUGGGCCUGGUCCUGGGCUUGGCAAAGCCCGGCCCAGGCCCUUAAAUUGCCAACCCUACGUGCCCCCUCUCUCUUUCCUUUUUUGGAAACCAGCUUCCCACUUUCCAUUUAUAGAAACUGGCUUCUUUUUUUUUUUUUUGCACUUAAGCUUAAUACAAAUUAAGCUAAUACCGGACCGUGAGGAAAAUAAAAUCCGACUACCUGAGCUUUUAAUCGGGCUCAAUUUAUCUCGAUUUAAUGUUGUGAUAAUUUUAAAAUUAAUAUCGAAGAGGAAAAAUUAAUUCAUGCACUUAAUUAGGAAAAAUCAAAGUGCAUAUGUUACAUUUUUAUUUUAAUUUCAAGAAAUAGCUAACUUGUUCAUAUGAAUGAAUUGAAGUUUUUUUUUUGGGCUUUCUCAUCUCAUUAAUUCGUGUGAACAUUCAUGAGGGUUAAUUGAAUGAACAAAAUUUUAUUUUCUCAAUAAAUCUGCUAUCAUAAAAAACGUUUUGGCUCCUGUCUAAAAUUUGAAAAUCGUAGCAAAAAGUAUAACAAUAAAAUAAUUCUACAUAAUUUAUACUCACCAAUUAAUCAGGAAAAUAUAUUAGAUAUAACUUUGAUGGAAUCAACAAAGUGAGAUAGAAAGAAGAAAAAGUGUCUAAAGCUUCAAUUUUGUUAGUUUUUUAUGAAUGUCUCACCAUGUUAGGAAAUCAAUAGUGUGUGUGUGUGUAAAAUGAUGAGAUUGAGAAAAAAAAAAUUAAGGUUUAUGGUAUGGAUGUGAUAAAUGGGUUUGUUUAAUUAAUAUUAACAUCUUUGUUCAAUUGUUUAAGGUUUUCCUUUAUAGUUACUUCAAUUUUGGGUAAUUUAGGAAUAAUAAGUUGUUAUUACAAAAUUUAUAUUCAAAGUUGUUUCAAGGGUGAAAAAUCUAUACCCUUAUAAUUUUGUGUGUUAUGGCUCAUCAAGUGUGUUGUAUUACAAGUGAGUGAUUCAAAUUCAAAUAGAUAUUUUCAUUGGAUGUGUUUUUCCACACUAGGGUGGGACUAUAUUGCACAAAUGGAUGGAGAGUGCAGACCCAUAUUCGGCUUACAUAAAUUUUUGUUGGGCUGGAUUAUAUCCAAACAUGAUGCGAACGACACAACAUAAAUCAAACGCGGCUCCCCCUUGAGGUUAGUCAGCUUUGCAUUACAUUUAUUUUAUAUAAUGAUAACAAUUUAAAUGCAUUUAUCAAUUUUAUUAAUAUUGAAAUACACUUUAUUUUAAUUUUCUUUUCUUACCCUUUUCUUUCUCUCUCCUCUCUCUAAGUAAUGCUCUCCGCUUGAAAAAUUUUGGAUUAUUCAAUUUCAAUCGGUUAUAUUUUUACAAUCAACUUUUUCUUUUUCUUUUUCUUUUUCUUUUUCUAGUCCUGUGAAUCGGUUGGUUAGAAAGGAAGUGGUUUAGAAGAGGAACCACUUAGAAAAGCUUUGGUCUUGAAUUAGGCUUUAAUUGAAAAUUGGGUUUAGUUAUAACUUGAAGGCAUGUAAUUAGAAACGUAUUAUGAAUGUUUUUCUCCAGGUCGACAAUUUAGCUAAGUAUAUUUAUUGAACCCAUCAACAAAUAACAAUAACACAGCAAUUUUUUUUUCCCUACCUGAAAUGAAGCUUUUCAUUGAUUAACAAACAAAAGUUACAUUUCUUCAGCAGAACAAUCACAGCUUGAACUAAUAAUUGAAAAUGUUGCUAAAUCGUGACUUUUCAAUAGCUAAGGCACCAAAUCCCAAAAAAAAAUAAUAAUAAGGAAAUUACUUAAGUCACAGGGCUGUGACUUUUUUUUUUUUAAUUUAACUCAUUAACAAUAACAAAGAAAAACAUCUCAUUUCCACGUAAAAUGAAACUUUUCGUUGAUUGGAAAGCAAAGAACAAAGAAAAGCUGUAUUUCUUGCAGCCAAACAAUCACAGCUUGAACUAUCAAUAAAAUGUUUAAGUAAGGCACCAAAUUCAAAAAAGAAAAUUACUUAAGGCACAAUCCUGUGACUUUUUAGCCUACCAAUCCAAGCAACGAAGGAAUUCUUAGAAUUCCUGAAACCCAGGAACCCGUGCUCCUUACUCUUGUUCAUGCUAACUGAAUAACCCGCACCAACAUUCAUCACCAUAUCUGCAUACGACCAAACAGCGACCUCAUUCAAUUUUGUUGGCUGCAACUGAUUCUCUCUCACAAUCUCCUCCCACACACUUUCUUUACCUUUCAUAAUUUCCUCCAAUCUCACCCUCUCACUACCCUUUUCAUCUCCAAACCCAUAAUUCUCAAUCUCAAACUGCUCAGCCAACACUUUCCAUAAAUGCUUCCACUUAAAAACAUCUCCAUUGGUGCAAUUGAAAGCUUCGUUUCUUGCAUUAGGAUCCACUGCCGCCCAAAUUUCCUGCUCCGCAAUCAAAUCUGCAUCCGAAUAUUCUGAGAAGCCUUCCCAAGUUUCUUUCGUCCCAGGAAAUAGUAAAGGAAAACCUUCAUGUUUGCAAAUAGCAGCGUACACGCAGAGAGUGCCUACAAUAUUCAUCAAACUAUAAGGUGAAAACCCAAAUAUUCCGAAAGGUCGAUGUAUGGACCAAGUCAAGCCUUCUCUUUUUUCAACUUCUUCAAACAAUAUGUCUUCUUGAGUAUAGUAAAAAAGUGGUACGUUUAACCUCGGCAAAUCCUCUGUAUAAGGAGGUUCGUGAGACGGUAUCUUGCCAAUACACUCGAAUGGACCCACGUAAUGUUUGCCUCCCGUUUGGAGACAGAUGUGGCGGAGAUUCGGUGCGUUCGGGAUUACAGAACGGAGCACGUUACGAAACAUUGCACCGUUGAUCUGGCAAUUCUCGGCUUCAGUGGGACGGCUGGCCCACGUCACGUAGAAGAUGUGGGUGACGUCAGUGAGUUUUGAGAGCUUGGCUUGUGUCUCUUCCUGGUCAGAAAUGUCGCAUUGGAUGUACUCAAUUGGGCGAUUGGCAUUCCAGUCGGGCCUCGGACGUCGGGCAACUCCGUAGACCUUCCAUGGGCCACCAGGAGUAUCCGAUCGGGGCAUUAUCUCUGCUAGGCUGUUGCCUACAAUUCCUGUCACGCCUAAUAUAAGUCCCACAUUCUGGUAAUCUUGAGGUCGCUGCUUAUCUUCUUCCAAUUUCUUCUGUACAAGUAAAAAUAAAACAAACAUUAUUUUAAAUGUCAGCAUGUUACAUGUCCACUAACUUAACUACAGAGUUGAUGUUUACCUUCGCAGCGCCAAUAUCACCCGCCCACCACCAGCUCAUCUUUUGGUGAAUUUGAAAAUUGAUGAUAGGUUUGGUUUCUGCUUCUAGUUUUAUUUAUAGAGAGGAGUUGACAACUGUGUAAAUAGACUUUCACAAUGUUUUGAAAUAGUUUACAUUAUCAUAAACAUCUAACUCUGUUCACACAUAAAGAGGAGACUGCCAAUUAUACAAGUACUUUCUAGAAGGAAAUUACGUAUUCAACUGAAGUUAGAUUAUGUGAACCAUAUUGAAAGAUCUAAUGCAAUAAUGUCUGGUGAAAUCUAAUGCACUAAUGUGUGGUGAAAUGAGGUUCCUGCUGAAGGCCAACUUCGUACUAUCAUUGUCAGUCAAUUUGCGUGCCCACGGUUCUUCAAGCUCGGUGCCAACUCAAAUAAAUUAGUAGGCCAGUGUCGGUGAUCAUUGCACUAAAAUCGCUCUACGUUUAUUACGGAAGUUUCCGUAGGGGGCCCAGGUUUAAACCUAAAAUCAAAUACGUCUCUCAAUUUUUAAAUUGCUUAUGGCACAGUAGUCUAUAACUUUUCAGCUUUCAAUAUCAAUUUUGGAAAAAAAGGGGGAUUUAAAUUUACUGUCGAGCUGCUAUUUUUACUAAUAUUUUAGAAGCAUAUGGUUGAUAGUUAUUGGAUACAAAUAUAAAACUAAUUGAAUCUUAACUAUAUAUUGUUAUACAUGUACAUGUGGUAGAAGAUUAUGAAUAGUUAAGCAUAGAUCAACUCAGUAUUAAAUCCAAAUUCCAUAAACAGUCCUUUAAUUACUUGUAGUUUCUAAUCUCAUCCUCUCCUGGCAAACGUUAUUAAAAAAAAAGCAAAAGAGAGACAUCCCAUUUAAUUUAGAAGUUGUUUCUCAUUUAAGACUUGUUUGAUAAUGAGAUAUAGUAACUUUUAAUUUACAGUUACGACAAAAAGAAAAAAAGCUAUAAUUAUGAAAUAAUUUUUUUAAAAAAUAAAGAGACUAUUAAUCGACUAGUACUUAGUAUUUUACUGUUGUAGGUUUUAAGUCACUGAUGCCCAACCUCCGUAAGAAAUAGAAUCUUAAUUUAUUUCGCUUCUUUGAGGGUUUGAUAAAGAGAUAUUUGACCUGUUUAUAAGAAAAUAAUUGACAAGACUCUAAAAGCCAAAACAUCAAAUUUUUUCGUUAUCAGAUGGUGUAAAACAUAAAAUGAACACAAUACGCAUAUGUGGUCGGUGGAAAUAUCAAAAUUAUACUCAAAUUGAAAAUCUCAGCCAUUUGCACGCGAACUUUUGGUACAAUUGAUUGUGAAACUUGAUAUACGAAUAAAUGAACUUUUAUUUUUAAUUUCAGGAAAUGGCUAAAGUUGUUCACAUGAAUGAAUGGAAGAUUUUUUUUUUCCUUUCUCAUCUUAUUAAUCCAUCUGAACAAAAAAUUUUAUUUCCUCUAUAAAUCUGCCAUCAUGAAAAAAAAUUUGGCUGUUGUGUAAAAUUUGAAAAUCAUAGAAAAAGUAUAUCAAUAAAACAGUUUACGUAAUUUAUACUCACCAAUUAAUUAGGAAAAUGUAGUAGGUAUAACUUUCACGGAAUCAACAAGCUGAGAUAGAAAGAAGAAAAAGUGUCUAAAUUUAUUAGGCUUUGAUGAAUGUCUCACUAUGUCCGGAAAUUAACUGAGACAACAAUAAUAAAACGAUGAGAUUGAGAGACGUGAAAUUAAGGUUCAUGGUAUGUGAUAAAUGGGUAUGUUGAAUUAAUAUUAACAUUUUCGAUUAAUUGUAUAAAGUUGACUUCAGUUAUGGGCAAUAUUUUUUUUGUUUUAUUGAUAAGGGAAACGAGCCUAGCAAAAGUAGCUAAGGCUUAACAGUAAGAGGGAACGCAGUCCCUAAGGUAUCGCUACGCAGCCAGAAUUCAACACCAGGAGGGGGAAAAAGAAGACUGUGGAGCCCAAGAGGUAACGAGAGAGCAAAAGUAGCAAGAAAAUCAGGUGCGAAGUUUGCCUCACUGUAGAUAUGGUGCACAAAAACCUGCCAAUUUUGAGCGAGAAGAGCCUUGAUACUCUUGACAAGGGGAGACGAAGCAUUAAGCGUAUCAUUUUGAGCCUCCAAAAGCUAAAUCACGCAUAAGCUAUCAGCCUCAACAAUCAUCGAUCUGAUACCCCCGUUCCAUGCCAUGAGGAGACCCUGAUAAAGGCCCCACAGCUCAGCAAUUGUGAUUGAACACAGCCCAAUGUUCAUUCAAAAUCCUUCAACACAUUCUCCACAAUUGUUUCUGAUUAAGCCACCAGCAGAAGCCAAAUCCGAGGCCUUACGAGCUCCAUCCGUGUUCAACUUGAAGAAAGGCUACACAGGAGGCACGAAGCCAUAGUACAUCUCUACUCUCGUGGGCUUGUCCGUUAUGGCAAUUUAAUACAUAUUGUUAUUAAAAAGUAGUGCUAAGAGAUUAGUGUUAAAAAUUGUAUGUUUAUUAAGGGGUAAAAAUGUUAUUUUGUGCUAAUAAUAUAAUUUACGUUUGUAAAUAUGUAACAUAUUAUGAAUUUCUAAUUAUUUUUCUAAAUAUUUGAUUUUGUGUGUUUAUUAGGUAAAAAUAAUAAUUUCACACAAUUUGAGACUCCAAAUAAAUGUACGGAUGUCAAAUUUGGAUUCCGAAAGCCUGAGAAAUGAGGUCCUUGUCGAUCAGGAUCUGCGACUUUUGUUGUAAAUUUAUAAGUUGUUACCAAGGUAAAUGUGGUAAUUGUGAAAUUAUAAACUUUUACUAUAUUAGGUGUGGUAAUUGUUAGUGGCAUGUGUUAGAUGUGCUUGAGUGGAUUAAGUUAGGUUUAUGUUUUAUUAGUAUGACAAAUACAUGGUUAAGAUAUACUUAGCUUUAUUUAUUUGUGUGGUGUGGAUUAAUCAUGUAUUAGUAUAAAUAGAUAGGGGGGAACACACCUCUUCACACAUUUCCUUCUCUGCUUUCCCCUCAAAUUCUUCUUCUCAUCUCUCUUUGUAAUAAAUUUUCAAUAAAUAAAAUUAGUUUUAUUUUCAAUUUUCAAAUACUUUUUUUCAUUAUGUUGUUUUUUUUUAAUUUUAAUAAUUCCUUUUAUUUCAAAUAUGUUUAGCUAAAUACUAAUAGUUAGGGGAAGAUGAAACUCUUAGUAAAAAAAUAGGAUUUAAACAAAUUCUAUUUUUAAUUAUAGAAAUUAAUUAUUUUCCAUCUAAUUUUAUCCAUAUUUUAUAUUUUGAAAUUUUGAUUUAUUGUAGACAAACAUGGGGUUUAGCAUAAUGAAUUUUUAAUAUCUUAGUAUAAAGUAUGGUAAACUAGUAUUUUAACUUAUUGUAAACAAAUUAAAUUUUGGUACACUAAGUACUUAGUUCGUAAUAAAAUUAUUGGGAAAAUAAUUGUAAUUUAUACAAUUAAUCAUUUGGACAAUAACCUAAAAAUAAAAAGAAUUUAUUAAAUUGUAUUUGUUACUAAGAGGGGAUCUAGAACCUAACUAAUUUAAUUUUAUAGUUUUGAUCAAAUUAAACUGCACAUUUUAAAAUUUAUUUUCAUUAUUUUAAAAUAAAAAAAAAUUAAAUAUUUUCUCUGUAGAUCGACCUCAGAUUCAGUGACUCACCGAGCUAUAGUUUAACUAGGCACUCUUACACUUGGGAGUAAAUUAAACACUUUUAAGUCGUGCACUUAGAUUAGCUUUUGCUGCUAUUUAAACCCACUAAUUUCUUCUCUAUAACUAUUUUAAAAAAUAACUUUAUCAUUAAAGUUUUAAAAUUUGAAAAUCUCGAAAUUACCCCACCAAUUACUUUCUUUCUCUACUUUACAAUUACAUACUCUCCCAUUAUUCUCAUAUAUAGUCUACAAACAAAACACUCAAUUUCACUUUCUUUUGAAUUUUUUUUAACAUUUCUUAGUAUAUUAUGAUCUAUAUUUCAUGCUUUCUGUAUAUAAGAAAUUUUUUCCUUAAUAUUCAUUAGCUUUUGUGUUUAGUAAAAAUUAAUUUCUUGAUAUUCAUUCAUUUUCAUGACUGAUAAAAAUUUGUUGAUAUUCAUUUUUAAAUGAUGGAUUUUGUUCUUCUUAGUUAGUAAUACUUAUUCUUUAUAGGUAAAAGAAUAUAUUUGAAUGGAUUGAAGAGAAUUUGUAAAAUUAAGAAGAGAAAGAGAAGAGAGGAUUAAUUAAGAAAUUUUUUAAAAAUUAUUUAGAUAAUAAAGUUCUUAAUUAAAAUGAGGGUUUAGAGAGGAAAUCGAUAAGUUCAUAUAGCUCUUCCUUAGUUUUUAGAGUGCAAAUUUUAAUACCCUUAUAGUUUUGUGUGUUAUGGCUCCUUAAGUAUGUAGUAUUACAAGCAAGUGAUCCAAAUUCAAUUUGAUAUUUGUCUUUCUACAUUCUGGUGGGGUUGUAUUGCAUAAUCGAUGCAAAGGGCUCACUCAUGUUUGGCUUACAUAUAACUCCUAAUGAGCUAGAUUCUAUCUAAAACUAAUGUUGGGGAAUUUUAAUUCCACUCAAGAUCUUGAAAAUAAAAAUAUCAAAUAAAUAAUUAAUAAAAUAUACAGAUGAAGAAUAAAAUCAAUCCACUACAAGAAAAAUGGCCUACUAUGACAGGCAAAAACGGUUAUCUUAGGGGGUGGAUGACGGUUAUCCUUACUGUCAUUGUAGCCAGCGUCAAGAAAAGAUAACAGACAGAAACCCGUCACAAGUUGUGAUAAAUUUUACCUGUCAUAAUUCAGUCAUACAACUUAUAUAAGGGAAAUUGGCUUUUUUUAAUUUUUAUGUUUUAUGAAAUUAAAACUGUAAUUAGUAUUUGUGGAUAAAAGUUGUGUGUCAAAUGUUGUGACUAGUAUUUUCAAUCACAAUUUUUUUUAAAAUUGACUAUUUAUUUUAUUUAUUAAUUUAAAAAAUAAAAAAUAUGCAAUUUUAGUUUCCUCAAUUUAAAAUUUAAAUUAUAAAUUUUAUAUCAAAGAAAAUAAAUUAAUAAAUGCAAUCAAAUCCAAAACUAAUGAACUAAAUUAGUGAACUUUAUUAUCCAUAAAAAUAUCCAAAGUACUUCUAAAUUUCAAAAACAUACAAUUGAAACUUUACAAUUCAAUAGUUAAUCAAUAUUUCAAACUCAAGCCAACAGCCAAAAAAGACCAAUCCAAAACCAAAGCAAAGUACUCAGCAUUCAGCAACAUCCAGCACUAAAGCUAUGCAAAAUGUAGUCCUUUUCUAGCAGCAAAAUCCAGCAGCCCCCAAGCCAAGAAAGAAGUAUCCCAUUUCAUCAAUUGAAAAUAUUAAGUGAAAUAUAAGCAUUUACACAUGAAAAUAUUAAGAAUAACAUCUACAAAAAGGAAAAAAAAUACAAGUAAUAAUAGAAUACGAAAAUACUCAGUGAAAACUAAGGCGAGACCCCUUUUUUCCCUUCUCUGGAGUAAGGCACUAAAAGGGAUUAAAGAAAUUAUGAUUGUGUUCCACACCUGGAGCUGGUAGAGACAAACUCUGGUCAUGUAAUAUUUGCCUUGGCACCGUUUGAAUAUGUCUAUAUUAGUAUCCACAAAUUCAAGGAAGAUGAUUGGCCUACCUCUUACAUAUAUCAUAUUCAAGUCCAAACAGCUUUAUUCCUCGUGGGAUUUAUUUGAUCAAAUUAAUAGUUCAGGAUGAAAAAUGGUUAGAACCUCACAGUCAUCAAAAGUUACUGUCUCAUAAUUCAUUUUAGUGCUUAUAACACAGAGGAAAUAAAAUAAAAUAUCUAAACAUACAUUUAUCAUGUAUGUAAACAUUUUUUUUCUUUUCUUUAAAUACAGAGAGGACAGUAGUUAGUUAUUUAAUUGAAAGGAUGCAUAGAAAGUUUCUUUAAACCAAUACUAGUGGUUAAGUCUCAAAAAGAAAUAUUAGUCCAAAUUCAUUACUUCCAAUCAAGCAAAAGCAUGCAGUAUCAAACAGGAAAUGCAUCCUCAGGACCCAUAAGCCAAUUUGUACUCCAUUACUAUCAAUUUCCUAGCUGGUCAAUUUUUUAUUUUUUAUUUUUAUUUUUUUGUGGGUAUCUCUUAGGUAUCGAAAGUCAAACCCUAAGUAAUCAAACAAAUUCAGAUAGUGCUUACCCAAUACAAGAUAUUGGAGAUUAAAUCCAAGAGUAACGGAAUGCAGAAAGUACCUUUUUUGAAGAAAAUGUCAGUGACGUCUUUCGAAGGUAAGGGUCCCAGUAAACAACAGGAUCCACUUUCUGAUUCAGCACAACAUUUCCACAUUUCCAAUCAAGGGAGCUUGAUAAAUACUGGAUGAUGUUAAGACCAAAAUCAGUUUUAAACGAUUUGUCUUCCAAGAUCGUACAACACGCAGGGAAAAUGCCAGUGAGUGGGUGAUCAUAUCUCUUCCUCCAGCGAGGAUAUUAUUAUAUAUACAUAUAUAUGCACACUAUAAAACUACUGAUCAUACAUUCAUCCAUUAAUAAUUUUUAUUUUAAUCGUCUGCACAAAUUAAAGGGAAAUGAUCAGCCUAUCCUCGACCUCAAGCAUGCACCAAUAGCAUUACAAAUAAUUAAACUUUUCUCCAAUCAAAUUUCUUAACUAGCUAAUAGGAAUGAUAAUUAGUAAUAAUAAGAGAUUAAUUAGAAACUUCAAAGAAAUACAACGUGUGCAUAAGAUUUAAUUCCUCAGUUCAUGUUUUUCUAAUAAUUUCAAGAUAACUAGCUUAUUUAUUUAUCAGCACAAGAUGAAGUCAUUUUAACUAUAUGUAUCUACUUUUACAAGCUAGGUAGGAGUACUAGAACUAUUGUUUAUGAAAUUAUAUUUAUAAAUAAAUACUUGUGUAUGCAUGUGAUCAAUAUAUAUAUAUAUAUAUAUAUAUAUAUAUAUGCACACACACAAAUUACAAGAUUGAUUGAUCGGGCUGAUGGAUAUAUCUAUGUAUGCAUGCAUUUAUUCCUUAGUUUUUUUCUUUAAAUUAAAUUGUAAUUCUCAAAAAAGAAAAAGAAUAAUCACAGCAACAGGCAUUUAGUCCUUAGUUUUGGAGGAUCUGUCCUUCUCCUUCCUCUGUCCUCCAAGAAUACGAGAAAUCUGUAAACCUUUAUGCACUAAAUACUUAGUUGAACAACAUUCUUGUUUGAAAUUCUAAAACAAAUGGGAACCACGCCAAGAAUGCAACCGGGGUGAAUAGAAGCAAUCCCAUCACUAUUUCAUAACCAUGAGCAAGUGUCCUAACUGAUCCCCAAAUUCCACCAUGUUGUAUCACUGGCUUACAAGCUUGUAAGAUCUAUAUACAGUUCCACGCAUCCAUAAAAAGAAAAAAGAUUACUUAUUAGAAAAGCCCCAAUGAUAAGCAAGCCUGGUCAAUAUCCCAACACCCAUCACGAUUAAAUUGGCAAGGAUCUUCAUAGCCUAAAUCAAAUUUAAUGAUAAAACUAUAAUAAUUGAAUUCCAAAAAAAAUCAAAUAAAUGUUUAAAAUUUCAAAAAUAAUUAAACAUAAAAUACCAAUCAAGUAGAUCCAAAUUUAACAAGAGCACACCGAGGAUUUUCAAAUUUUACAUGUAUAGGGUUUAAAUUUGAUGACAACACAUCUAGGGUUUUCAAGAUUUAGGUGUCUAGGGUUCGAAUUUGACAAGAACACAUCUAGGUUUCUCAAGUUUUACAUAUCUAGGGUUUGAGUUUGACAAGAACAUUAAAAUUGAAAUGGAACACAACACUAGAAACAUUAUUUACCUGUAUUAUUCAAACGAUUGCAGCAGUGGGUGAGUGAAUGAAACGACCCUCCCCGAACCCCAGGGUAAGUGUAUCUAACCUCAUCCAAACUGGAUUGAUAAUAAUCUAAUUAGUAAGGAUUUUGCCAAAAAAUCGACAGUCUCUUUUAUAUAUAUAACACUCCCAACCUGCAAAUAUAUAAGACAAGCACUCCCAAUAUAAUUCAAUACACAACAAACUCCAACGUUCAACAUCCUCAACCACAACACUGAGCUUUACUCAAGAUAUCUCCAGAAUCUCAAAAGAUAAUAUUAUAACUAAUAUUAAUAUCUCAGUUUAUUCUUAAUCCCAAAAGAAUAAUAUAACAAAAUUAUACAAUCCCAAAAGAACGAGAUAACCAAGAUGUCCUAACAAAAUCAUCUAUAUCUUCUAACACCAUCACGUGGCCAAUACUCAAAAUAUAUUUACAGUCGUUGGGUUGGUCUAAUGUACCUGCAACCUCCUGAUGGGGGGGAGGAAUAUAAUAAAAAUGGAGUGAGUAUAAAACUCAGUGAGAUCAGUGAGUGGAUAGUAGUUUUUAAAAAUCAAUUAUUACUUCAAAAGAAAUAAUCAUAUCAUUUCCAAACACGAUUUCAUCAAACCAUAUGCGAGAAACCAGUAAUAAAUCAUUUAACAUUUAAAUCAAAUUACUAACAAUGAAAAGCAUAUAGAAUACACAAAUCUGAAAAUCAUCACCAAACAAGUACCCAGGGAAAUAACCUCGUCAUAUUCGGACCUCAACGGACGGGCAAUGACGUACUAUCUAGGUACCGUCACGCCCCGGAGCUACACGGAUAGACAGGGAAAUAUCAUCUCAUAUCUCAUCAUAUCUGUGCAUACAUAAUCUAGUUCCCAAGGGAUAAAAGCACCCAAGCACACAGCCCAAAGCCUCUGUGUGUGCUCAGACGGGCCCCAAAGGCCUAUAUCUCAUAUGUAUUAUAUGUAUCUCAAUAUCUGUCUAUAUCUCAUAUUUGUAUAUUUGUAAUCAUCAUACUGCAUGCAUAUGCCCCCAAAAGACAAAAAUGCUCAAACACACGGUCCAAAGCCUCUAUGUGUGUUCAGAUGGGCUCCAAAGGCCUCUCAUCUCAUAUCAUGUGUAUCACUAUAUCUGGAAGGGAAUGGUAUUGUCUAAUGAUUUCAAAAACAAUCAUUAUACUCAUAUUCACAUACCUUUUACCCAUACUUUAAAUCAUAUCACAUUUGAAUCCACUUUUCUUAUCUUUAAAAUACUAUCAUGCUUAUUCAAAGUCGAUACGCAAAAUCAUUAACCAAACAUUUUAAUAAAAUACCAAUGCGUGAAUAAAAUCUAUUUCAAGGGAAUCAUUAAAUCAGAACAUUUAAAAUACUUAUUUCUCAAAUAUGCUUUACUAUUAUAAUUAACUAUGAAAUUAAGUUUUGUAUAUUCCACUCACAGUGACGGUGUUCACGCUCGUUAUCGUCCACGUCCGCGGACCGAUUCUCGCUUGCGAAUCCCCCUAAAUUAUGGAAACGACAUAAUUAUUUUCUGUAAAUCGAAAUUACGACUAAAUUUAUGCAAUAAACUCGAAACGAAAUUCGAUCCAUAAUUUACAACUCUCGUGUCGAUAAAAUUACUAAAAUACCCUUGAGUUCGUAAAUCAUUAACAUACUCUGAAAUCGUAAAUCACCGAAUUACCCUCGGAAUCAUAAUUACACCCAAUCCUCAAUUCUAGGAAUUACUAAAAUAUCCACAGGCUCAAAAAUUACAAAAUUGCCCUUAUAGUGUGAAAUUACCGAAAUGCCCUUCCAGGUCAAUGGUCACCAAAAUUUAGUCAACGCUGGCCGAGAAGGUCAAGUCUGAAAUUUAUGGUCACACUGAGUCCAACGGUGGCAGUGGUGACCUCCCACGCGCGGUGAUGGCUCCGGAUCGAGCUCCCAAAGUUGUAACUCCUUCAACCGAUCAACGGCAAAACGAUGUCCCUGGUGGCAGUGGAUGGUCGUAAAUGGAAGAGGGAGUCUCGGGGAACAAAAUCCAACCGGUGGUGUUACCCAAAAUCGGCGAAAAUCCCAGUGGAGCAAAGUGGAAAAGUCGAGGGUUUUCAAGCUUUGGUCGCCGGCAUUUUGGUUGUUUUUCGGUGACGUGGACGGCAAGGGUAUAAUGGCCGGUCUUCAAGCUUCAAAUUGGUACCAAGCUUGACCGGAACGGUGGCCAGAAAUGGAAGUUACGACCGAGUCAAGGUCGCGGGUUCCAGGUCGGGUUUGAUAGCUUCUCUCUCACUCUCUCACACGUGUGUCUCUGUUUUGCUCUGUUUUCCAACUUCCUCUUUUACUUAUUCUAACUUUUUAACCACCUCAUUUUAUUCCUUUAUUUAAUUCACAUAUGUUACAGUGAAGGUUCUCAGUUAGGGUAUUGAAAUUCAAUAGUGGCAGAACACGCGUUUGAUAGGCACUCCUUGUAGUUCUUGGUGAGGGCCUAAAUCAACGGUGAAAUACAAGAGAAUGUCGGCGGCAGUUCAGUGCCUAUGCAAGGAUUUUGGGCGAAAAGGGCUUUGUGAGCGUAAGAUUGAUGAGAGUGACUAAGCAAGAGACAAGAGUAAAAGUGCCAAUACUCACUGAGAAAAAAAAAUUACGAUGAGUGAUAACUAAAGAGGGUUUCAUUUUUAUUUAGUUUUAAUCUAAACGGUGUCGUUCCUUGUUUAAAGAGAAAACUUUUAACCCAAAUGGUACUGUUUAUUCUUUAUUUAUCUUUUUCAUUCAUUUUAAAAUUUUCAGUCAACCCUGCAAAAUAAACUCAAAAUAAAAAUAUUGUUUGACGACCAAAAUUAUAUCACAAACUUGUCAUUGUUUUUUGAUAGCCAAAUAAUUUAUCACUAGUCUAUCAUAAGUGCUUGAUAGAUGAAAUUUAUAUCACAAGUAUGUCAUAAACGCAUGACAAAAAAAAAAUAUCAUCGAUCUAUCGUUGUAACUCUCAACACCAAAAACUGUCACAUAAAGGACUGUCAUAAUAGGUCCUUUUUCUUGUAGUGAUCAAACAAUACAAAAAUUUAUGAAAAAAACUCUUGUACCAGAGAAAAUCAUGCAACUAAGGACAAUGAGGGAAAAAUUUACUACAUGGAAAAUUAUUGCAAUUACUUGAGUAUUUUCCUCAAACCCCAAAUCCUAAUAACACUCAUUCUCUCAAUAGUCUUAUUGUUUCUCUUACAUUAGAAAUUGUCUACUUGCUUAUUUUUAUAUGACCAAGCAAACCAAACAUCCUCAUAUACAGUGAUUAUUUCUUAUAGGAGAAGUUUUUAUUUCCUUAUAUAAAUUAUAUUCCUCUUUGAAUAAGUUAUGUCCCAAAUGAGGAAUUUCUUAUUCCUCAAAUAUGAAUUCUCCAAAAUAAGAAAAUAGCCUUGAAAACCCUUAUACUGGAAAAAGGAGACAUAUUUCCUAACAAUCUCCACCUUAACAAGUUUUUUGAUUAAGUGAAAAAAAAAAUAUAUAAUCCACCGUGUAUCCACACAAGCAUGUUGUCUGCAUCUUCUUUCCUCCACCAAAAUCACAUUCAUAUAGGGCUUAUGAGAAUCACUCUAUCAUGGGUAAAAUCUUGUCACGACUAUAAUUCUCCACAUUGAAAAUCAUCAUACUCCACUUUAUAUAGAGUACACAUAUUCAGCACAUCUCGGUCACCUUGCUGAAAAUCCUACUCUCAUGUUUGGCUUCCUUAAGAGUCAUCAACCAUUAACAUAAAAAUUCUACCAUACACCUUGUAUAAAUGUCAAACUAUGUCUUGCGUGUAAAUUUAUGGACCUGCUAGCAGUAACACAUUCUCUUUCAUGACACGCCAAAAAGGAUAAAUUAGUCUCUCGUGAAGAAAAGAGACACACCACUAGAUGAGAUUACUAGUAUUUCCAUCUACUAAUUUAAAUCUACUUGCCAAACCUGCCUCAUUCCAACAAUCUUUAUUAAGAUGCCUUGAUUGUCUACACACCUCUAGGAGUUUCCAUCAGUGGGAACAUGGUUUACAUCGUCUUUACUUUCAUUGUUUAACAUAGAUUGGAUAAACAUAUAUCUUUGACUUCAAUCUGUCCCAAGCCAAAACUUUUUCUCCCAUUAAACUUUCUAUUUUACCUUCACAAGUUUUGAAACCCUCUUUGCUGAUAUAUUUGCUCUGCAUUGCAACCUUAACUUUAAUACCACUUGUUACAAAAUUUUAAUUCGAUCCAAGAUCUUGCAAGUAAAAAUAUCAAACAAAUAAUAAAUAGAAAAUACAGAUGAAGAAUAAAACUAAUUAUACAACAUAAGAAUUUUAAAUGGAAACUCUAAUACAGGAGAAAAACUAUACUGUAAAAAAAAAAGACAUAAAAUUUUAUUAUGUGAAAAAUUAUUUCAACUACUCUGGCAUUUUUCUCACAGCCAAAACUCCAAUAACACUAAAUCUCUCAAUAGACAUAUUGUUUCUCUCACAUUCAAAAUUGUUCACUUGCUAAUUUUUAUAUAACAAGUGAACCCAACCUCCUUAUAUAUAAUGAUUAUUUAUUUCUUGUAGGAAAAAUGUUCAUUUUCCUUGUACAAGUUGUAUUCCUCUUUAAAUAAGUUAAGUCUUAAAGGGAAAGUUACUUAUUCCUUAAAUUGGAGUCCUCCAAAAUAAGAAAAUAAUAUAGAUAAGAAAUUCUUAUUAAAAAAAGAAAACAUAUUACUUAACACCUAUGCAGUGGUAAAGAAUCAACCGCAACACUAUUUUUGUUUACCUUAUAUCUACCAUCAAAGCUUCGGUAGGAUUAAAUAUAAAGGUAAAUUUUUCUGCACACGCAUUAAAAUCGACAUAAACAAUUUACUACUCUUCCCCAAGAAUUAUGAGAAUAGGCUAUGAACAAUCUUUUAGAAUUUCUAAGUAUUGACAGCUCUGACUCAAUAAAAUUACAAUUAUACUCCCUAACCGGAAUAAUUAUGAAAAAAUGACAUAAAUGCCCAAACCUUUAUUUUAAUUUCAUUUCUCACCCAUUAUCUUUCUCUCUCCUCUCUCUAAAUAAUGCUCUCCAGUUAAAAAAUUAUGGAUGUUUCAUUCUAAUGGAUUAUAUUUUCACAAUUUAUUUUUCUUUCCCAUUUUCCUUUUCAUGUCCUUUGAAUCAGUUAGUUACGACGGACUAACAAAUUAAAGAAGCAUUGGACUGGGAUUAGGCUUUGAACGUCGAGUGGUCAUAACUUGAAGGCAUGUAAUCAGAAAUGUAAAAUGAAUGCUUUUAAGCUCGAAAUUCAGUACAGUUUUUGACUAUUGGCACACCUCUAACUUUCUCGUCAAACCCCUUUUCUAUAGAUAUCCUUUUUAAUUCUUAAAAUAACCUCAUUUGCUAUACUUUCUUAAUAAACCACUGCAUAGGACGAAAAAACAAAAACUUCUAUCAAUGAGCUCUCUCUCUCCCCUCUCCCAUUUCAAGCACUUACAAUUUCUUAUUGACUAUAGCAUUCAUGAAUUUCUGAUUUUAAUCUCUAUCUAUCUUUAUUUUUCUUAGUAGGUAAUAACUUGAUUAUGUAUACAAAGACAAGUAUAUGCAUAUCUGAAAGAAAAACUUGGCGUAAGUAAAUAAAUUUCACCGAAUAAUCUUUCCUAAAAUAACUUAGUUUAUAUUUAGAUCAAAUUCUUAUCUUAUGAGAAUUCAUUGUUUUCUCAAAUUUUGUAGAUUUUAAAGUGUUUUAGAAUGGAGAAAAAAACUAAGAAAACAACAUAGGUUAGUUUAAUCAGAUAAGUUUUAUUUUUAAUAUAAUUUAAAAUAUAAAGAAUAAAUUUAUAAAUAUAAAAUAAGUGGAAUUUCAUAAGAGAUAUAGAGGAGUGCGAAUAGCGCCACUCUUUUAUUUAACUCAUUAACAAUAACAAAGGCAGCAGUUUUUCUUUUUUUUUAAUCUUUUUUCCCCCAGAAACGACACUUUUCAUUGAUUGGAAAGCAAAGAACAAACGAAAGCUGCUUUUCUUCCAGCCAAACAAUCUCAAUUUAAACUAUUAAUUGGAAGUUUUAACUAAGGCACCAAAUUAAAAUAAAUAAAUAAAAUUACUUAAGGCACAAUCCUGUGACUUUUUAGCCUACCAAUCCAAGUGACGAAGGAAUUCUUAGAAUUCCUGAAACCCAAGAACCCGUGCUCCUUACUCUUGUUCAUGCUAACUAAAUAACCCGCACCAAUAUUCAACCCCAUAUCUGCAUAUGACCAAACAGCAACCUCAUUCAAUUUCGUUGGCUGAAGCUGAUUCUCUCUCACAAUCUCCUCCCACACACUUUCUUUACCUUUCAUAAAUUCCCCCAAUCUCAUCCUCUCACUAUCCUUUUCAUCUCCAAACCCAUAAUUCUCAAUCUCAAACUGCUCAGCCAACGCUUUCCAUAAAUGCUUCCACUUAAAAACAUCUCCAUUGGUACAAUUGAAAGCUUCGUUUCUUGCAUUAGCAUCAACUGCCGCCCAAAUUUGCUGCUCCGCAAUCAAAUCUGCAUCCGAAUAUUCUGAGAAGCCUUCCCAAGUUUCUUUCGUCCCAGGAAAUAGUAAAGGAAUGCCUUCAUGUUUACAGAUAGCAGCGUACAUGCAGAGAGUGGCUAUAAUAUUCAUCAAACUAUAAGGUGAAAACCCAAAUAUUCCGAAAGGUCGAUGUAUGGACCAAGUCAGGCCCUCUCUUUUCUCAACUUCUUCAAACAAUAUGUCUUCUUGAUUAUAGUAAAAAAGUGGUAUGUUUAACCUUGGCAAAUCCUCAGUAAAAGGCGGAUCGUACGGUAUCUUGCCGAUACAGUCGAAUGGUCCCAGGUAAUGUUUGCCUCCCGUUUGGAGACAGAUGUGGCGGAGAUUAGGCGCGUUCGGGAUUAUAGAACGGAGCACGUU
rnacentral:lncRNA from 1 species